rnacentral:lncRNA from 1 species
UUUUUUUUUUUUUUUUUUUUUUUGUAAAAGAAAAUUUGGUGAAUUUGGCUUCACUCAACACUACGGAUCAAAGUAUGUCCCAAGUACUGUAUAUAUACACUUAUAGACGUUAUUCAAACACGCAACUUUUUAUAAAAAAAAUAAUUUAUUUUUACCAUUUGAAUCAACUUAUCUUGCCGUCCAUUUUGUUUUCUUCCCAUCAUUACCAUGAAAUUGACCUUGAAGCUAAAGUGCUAAACAGAUAAACUCAUACUGACAGAUCAAAGAAAAUUAAGAAUGAAUACUUUACAGCUGUAAAAGGUUAAUCAUUAUCCAUCUUCUUUUGAAGAAGUAAUUUUUUUUUUUUUUUUUUACUUCAAAUAUGUCUUGCUGUCUAGGCAACAUAGCAAAGUGGUUAUGAAAUAGGGACAGGCAAUUUCUUCACAAGUUAGUUUCCUGAUUUUCUCCAACUUUAGUAUCCCUUCUUUUGGUUCACUGGCCCUCUUGGAAUCUUGCUAAGGAUUUUUGAAUCAAAUUUUUUGUACAAUUUCUUCAUUUCUCUCCUCCCUUGGCUUGCGAGAUGAUCCACUUCAUUUUGAUGACGCUCAUAUAAAGCUGGUAAAGUUGCCAAGCUGAGGAAGCCUUCAAAUCCCAGCAAAAAAUAACAAAAGAUGCCAUGCAUGAUUAGUAACUUACAUAUGAUGACAAUAAUACAACACUAUUCCAACAACAUCAACAGAUUUUCAUCAACCUUACCAAUGUAUAAGAAGUUCAAAGAGCUGAAAGAGCUUCCGAUAAUUGACAACAUCCAGAGGAAAGUGAUUGCCUGAUUGGAAGUAUACAAAAGAAAAGGAAGGUCAGAAGACAAUGAUAACACAAUCAAUUGGCGGAAAGACAAAAUGGAACACAGCAGGAUCAAAAUGACAAUUGAGCGAAGAUGUAUACCAGAAAAAAUGUUUUUAUAUCUUUUCCAGAUGAAAUGUCAUACAAAUUCAACAAUAUCCAGUUGAUUUUGGCAAACAGCCAUCUGAAUGUAGCUUCAGGCACUGUUAUAGCAUGCAAAUCUGGGGGAUUCCUGUAGAGCAUUUGGAGACAGAAAGUUUGGCAAUAUUAGCUCAGUUAAAACUUAAAGAUGGCGAAACUAACUUGCAAUAUGAAUUGGUAACGCAGUAGAGGUAUUAGGAAAGAAAACAGUACCAAUCAACUAAUCCUGCCCCAGUGGACCAAAUAAACAUAAUUAACAUCAUAAUGAUAGAGAUGUGACACAGAAGAGUGAUGAAAUUGUAUUCCACCAAUUCAAAAAGGAGCCAUAUAAUUGUGACGCCUAUUAGGAUUGUAGCAGAUAACUUCUUGUUUUCCCACAGUAGUAUGUCUGCAACUGCAAUUGAAAAUGCAAAUGUCACGUAAACACAUCUUUCUUGUGCGAAAACAUGUACUUUUGACUCACUUUGUUCUUACAGCGUAUUCCAAUCUGGCAAUCAAGAAGAGGUUUAAUUUAAGCCUCACACAAAGGACACGAAUCAUUCAAAAAAAAAAAAAAAAAAAGGUAGCAUGUUCAAGUGCGACUGUUAUUCAUUGUAAACAACACUUGUCGAUGAAAGCAAUUUUUCACUUCUGGAGAAACAUGAUUAUGCUAAUUGCCCUUUUCAAUUUUGGGCUCCGGAUGAGAUAAUUUAAUUCAGCUCCUUAUAUUUCUGGAGAACAGGUGUAACGAACGGAUUUUGAAUUACAGGCAUGUUCAUAUAUGUAAUUAUUGGGAAAUACAUUGUUAUUUUUAAAACAACUUGAAAUCACUUCUUUAUUUCACAAUAUUAAUGCGCUUUAGCUUACAAUGACAAUACAGAAUUCUUGAAUUUCUUUGUAAUAAGGCAAGAUGGAGGAGAUAUUAAAACUUAUGAAGCAAACCAGACUAGAUUACCAUAAUAUCCAUGGGAAUUAUACGCAGGAUAUUAUAUGGAAAAAAAAAAAAACACUCUUAUGUUAGGCUGUCUGACAUUUGAGAAAUAAUCUUAUAGAGAAAGAAAACUAUUUUGGAAAAGCAAUACAAAAAUUCGUUCGAUUUCGAAAUAAAAGAAUAUAUGGCAUCAAAAGUUAAAAUGGUAAAGAAGAACAGGAUAAAAAGUUGAGAAUCACCUUUUCCCCCUCCAAGGAUCUGAUGCAAGGAUCUUUGACGACCAAACAAUCUUAUUGGAGAUAGCGGCUGUUCAUCUGAAUCUGAGGAUGAGCUCGACAUGGCUAAUCGAUCUUCCAACAAAGUAUGUCAAUAUCAGUGCUGCUAGCUAUUCAUAUACUUUAGACCUUAUACAGCAUUGUCAUAUAUAUGCUGCAGUAUGAUUCUAAUCUUAGCCACCAAGACACAUUUGGCAAGUAAGAAAGGUAUGGCUUUGGCAUGGCUGAGAAGAUAGCCUCCACUGCAGGGGCUCAGAACUCAUUAAAUUAAUAGCUCAUCUUCUUCAAUCCAUUUUUAGUCUUCCUUUAAUAGCUGAGAACUUUCUUGACUCAUUUAAACAUCCAAGUAAAGAAACUGGUCAUGGAUUCUCUGUGUUUCAUUUGGUAGUUGGCAAUGAUCACAUGAACAGAAAAUUCAUUAUGGAUUCUCAAAGGAAAUAUGCGAGAGUUAAAAAUCUCUUGUACGCUGCAAAUUUGAUCCUUAAGGUCUUUGUUAAGCUCUAUACACUAGGGGAACUUCUUGACUAUUUCAUACCUAGCAGAAAUUAAUCUUAUUUUGUCACCAUAAUUGAGCACCGGAUCCAUGCUAACAAGUGACCACGGUAUACAAACAAGAAAUCCAGAGUUAUGGGAACAACAAAUAUAAUUGAUAAACAAGUUAAUGACCAAGUAACUCGUUUUCAAUAUUGUCUGAUCCACUGAUUAAAAGUAGAUUGAGAUCAAAAAAUAAAAUAUCCUUCUCGAGCUUAACCUAAACUGCGGACACCCUUCCACCGGAUUUCAACUAGACCAAUUGAAGUAUUAUUGAACCGGGCUGCCUGCCGUGCUGUGGACGUUAACUUUGUCAGAGUCACAUUUGUCGGAUUUUUUUAAAAAAAUUUUGGCAAUAUUUUGAGGAAUUAGCUAGCCCGUUUUUGGUUUUUCCUUUUUUUUUCCUGAUAUGUAUCAUUUUACAAAUUUUUAGUCACCAAAAAAAAGGUUAAAGAAAAUGAAAAGGCAAAUGGGAUGAUGCAUCAAAAAUAAAGAAAAUUUUGACCAUUUUGCAGAGAGGGCGAUAGGCAUGAGCAGCUAUCAUGAUUGCGCUAGUCAUGACUCACACCAUCAUCAUUGUAGCACUCAUGAUUUUAAGGGCACGCAAAUUCUUUCGUUCAAAUAAUCGCAGAUUGAGCUUGUACGCCUUUAGGCACUGCAGAGCCGGAGUGGGAUUUGGGGUGGCUUUUUCUCUAGGAGGAAAUCUUUGACCAGAAUAGGAGCAAUUAGAGUUAUAUUGCUUGCUAUUAGCAUACUAAUUAAUCACAAAAUCCAUUUCAUUGUGAGUAUAUUACUAAACAAUCAUUGAUACAUCACUUUUGCAUUGUUGAUAGAUGCUGGAAAUCAUUAUAGCCUAUAAACAGCCUCCUCCCUAGCCUUAUCAUUGCCAAAACCAAUAAAAGCAUGCAUCAUGAUCUUAAUGACAUGAUAGAACUGAUUUAGAAAAGGACUUUAGCAAGGACCACAGGGAUUAGAACAAAACAGCCCUCUUCAUCAUUUGCCAAGGCGAAUCUAUCAAUGUUGGCAGGAGAAUUCCACAGCAAAAGAGCCUCAUAUCCGAUGUACCUUUUCAUAUUUAUGCUCCAAUCUUCUGACAACUCGUGUAUUGCACAAAUGUAUACGCUGAAAGAGCUCAAGCAAUAGACUGUGGGCAUGCAAGUACCUUGACCUAAGCUGUGUUGGUAGAUCAAAAAAGAAAAUUAAUAAGAAAUGAAGAAGAAAAAGUGCCACAGGCAUUGCAGGAAACUGAGAGAUUGAGAGGUUAGCUUCUCCAAGAUUUGAAAGGUUAAUAUGUAUAUUAUAAUUGCAAACUCAUGAAUAGGAUUUGGUAAAUUUACACAGAAAAUUCACUACUGCAUCAUCCACUAAUAUGAACGUAUACAUUGAUUGUGCCUGCCUCCUACUGGUUGAAUUACAAAUAAUGCUAAUGUUUCGAACCUUGCAUUAGGGAUAGAAGACGAAAACAUCACAGAAUUGACUGAUGUUGCAAGUAAAUUUUGCACUAAGCUUCAGUUCUUUGUUCAACUCCUCUAGAUCCCGUUUAUCACAACCUUAAAGUACUGCUAAAGGAACUACUCCUGUAACAGAAGUGGUUUUUGUAGCCCAUCAUUUGUAAUACUUCAAUCAUGUUCAAGACUUCACGUUCAAGAAAUUGAAGGUCCUAUUAUAAUUGUACUAAAUUUUUCAUGAACCAGGAGUUUAAAGGGCAACUGGACAAGGCAAAGACUACACAUGUGAUCUGAAAUGGCGGAGCGAGCAUGCCUCCCUUGCAUCACAUCACCGAAAAGGGCAAAACAACUUCAGUUCAGGGUUGGAAGGCCAUCAUUUCAUUCAUUUGCAGGCCAUAAUUUUGGGCCCUGUGGUCAAAAUAAAUACUAUUAUGGACAUAGAAUGCUACUGCAUUUUUUUUUCUUUUACCUAUAUUCUGUCUUUUUUCUGCUAAUUCCUCUUCGUGGUAGUACAAUCUCUAAUGAUGAUUUCUGUUCACGAACAGGGUUUGCCUAAUUGAAAGUGCAUCGCAUUUCCAAUUGUUUACAGUGUCAAAUUUGACAGUAUAGUUGAAGUCGGCGGACCCCAUUUGGAGCUUGGACAAAGAACCAGUCAUGUAGCUCCAUCAUGCAGGAUAAUAGAGGGGUAAUAUCAUGAUCUCAUGAAGGACAAUGUGAAAAUGCAGGACACUUUAAAGAGUCACCCUUUUUGACUUUGUGAAUUCUUUAUCCUAAAGCCUUAAAGAGAAAAGCAGAUAAUCUUUUGAUUUUCGAUGAUUUUACUAUCUUUUAAGUACCGCUUUAUUUUGCUGUACAAAGAAAGAUAUAUGAGGAGGAUGGGGAUAAAAGAGGGAGCCAAAUAGUUAAAAGGACAAAUUAAGUGCAUUGGACUUUUACUUUUCCUAUACCGAUUUCACAUCGACCCUUUCUUUUUGUUUAUAAAGCUUUUCGUUUCUGAAUAAAAUACAAAGUUGUGAAAAUAUGUUGGUAAACUAAUUGCCAUCUUGUGGGUAUAGCUGUAGUGGGGGAAAAUAAUAAUGGUUGAGAAUAUGAUUACCUGUUGAGUUGAGGCUGAGUUCCUGGAAGAAAUAAUGUGGAGAAAAUGCUAGCCUGCAUGCUUAGAAAGAUUACCAAUAAGAAGUAAUCAUUGACAGCACUUAAAAAAGUUGCAAUUGAUUUACCUAUAACUGGAUUUAAACUUUGGCUCGAACAAGUAAUAGAUUUUUUUUUUUUUUUUGCUUGGAUCAAUGGAUGUAAUUCUCAAUGCUAUAUAUAUAUAUUCUUUUUUUUCUUUUCUUUAGAAAGGGCUUGUUUUCUUCAAAUUAAUCAUACUCUGUGAAUGUCUAAUUACGUUGAAACAAGUAAGAACAUCUCUAUCCUUUUCUCACUUAUUCAUAGCAUGAGGGUUUCUUUUUUGGUACAACAUGAUUUGUGUUUCAAGUUAAUCGUAAUACUUUAGAAAGUCAGUUUCUACAUUAAUUUAUCAAACAUGAUAAAGUAGUCGGAAACAAAAGUAAAACUACAUUAUGAAGCCAAUCAAAAUAAUCUACCGGGAAACAUUGUGGUAAAAUCAAAUUUCAUGUUUGCCAAAUUAGAUGUUUAUUGUGCAAUCUAGUAUUACUUUUUUUUUUUCCUUAUUUUCCCCAAUCAAAGUUAACUAGAUUCUAAAAUGAGCGUGCAAAAGGGAAAAUUGACUGCCCAUGAGACAAGAAAACAUAUUUUGUAUCCAUUUUCAAGCAAGAAAAGCCCGAGACAAGUCAAAAAGUAACAUUUAACUAGGGUCACUUUUUGGUAUUUAAAAUAACGAAAAACAAAAAACUAGGAGCUCCUUCUAUAUUUCUUUUGCGGGUCAAGGAAUUAAAUUUCAAAUUCCUCUGUUAAUGCUUUAGUUUUUUUAUUUUAUCAGUAGAAAUGAGUUAUGAGGUAUAACUAGGGUUACAAAUGAGUUGAAUCGAGUCGAGUAUUGAUCUAAUCGAAUCGAAUCUUGACUUAGUUUUAUCAAACUCGACGAGCUGCCAGUCUAAAUUUCAAGCUCGAGUUCGACUCAAAUUCUAGUUGACUUCGAGCUUGAAAAAAUAAAAAAUAAUUAUUUUAUUUUUUAAAAAAUAAAUAAAAUAAUAUCUUUUUCUUAAUAAAUAACUCAAGCUCGAUUUAGUCGGCUCGCGAUCUGCUCGAUUCGUUUGCAGUGCUAGGUAUAAUAAUCUUCAUACUGCAGCCCGAAACCCCCUUCCCCUCAAAAGUCCAAACCCAAAAAUAAAUUAAUUAAUUAUAAAAAAAGUAGUCUUGGACGUAUUCUGAAUAAUUAAUUGAGAAACAGAUAAUUUUAUGUCCUUUUUUUUUAAAAAAAUUGAUAUAUAUGAAAACACAUAACAUGAUGAACACUUAAAAAAAAAAAAAAACUGGUAAACGAAACAAAGAAUAAGUGCUUACUUGCUAUUAGAAUUUUCUCAUUUUAAGGAUGACUAAUGAUUGUUGCAUGGUGAAUCAGUGAUGAACUUUUUUAAAAGCAUGAAAUGUUUAAGCCUAAAGUUUUAGCAUAGGUAUGGGGUGAAAACUUUAUCAAUAUCACCACCUCUUUUCAGCCAUCUCCUUCCUCUAUAAAUUGAGACAACAGCCAAAUCCCACUUCAUCCAUCUCUCUCCAUCUCCCAAUCCCUCUCCCAAACCAGCAAUUCUUCAUCAUCAAAAACAUCAUGAAGCACCUAGCAUUCGUUGCAGUUCUUCUCUUGGUUCUUGGAGGGAUUGAGAAAGCAAAAGCAGUGACUUGCAACCCUUUGCAGCUGAGCCCAUGUGCAAACGCUAUAACAUCUUCCUCUACACCUACUGCAAUCUGCUGUUCCAAGAUAAAAGAACAGAGGCCAUGCUUAUGCAGCUACAUGAGGAACCCUAAUCUCAAGAAGUUCAUCAGCUCUCCUAAUGCCAGGAAGGUGGCCAACACUUGUGGCACUCCAUUUCCUCAAUGCUAAGAGUCCAUUGAUUAUUUCUGUUUUUAGCAUCUGGUCUUAGUUAUAUAUAUAUAUAUAUAUUGAGUCUAUUAUGGUCAUGUUUUGCAUUAUCUAUUCCACCUAGCCUAUGUUCUAUCAUCUCUGUAUCACUGUGGAACUUGUGUGGCGAGUGAUCAGUCUUUGGUGUCAUAGUUAUUAUGGGAAUGGGCGCUGUCGCAGUACAACCAUGUUGUGCUUGCAUUGGACUAUGUUUUACUUUGCUUAUUGUAAUGAAGAUUGAAUAAUUAACGCUAACCCUAUCUACUAUUUUGUUUACGCUCUUUUUUUUUUAUUAGUGAAGCGGUAAUUGAAGGAUAGAGGCGUCUAUAGAUUACAUUGAGAUACAUGAUCAACAUAUAUAAACAUACUGAUUUCAUGAUGGUACAUGGUCAACCAUAAUUGACAGAUUAAAAAUUUUGCAACAAAAGUUGCAUGCGAUGUAAAUUUGAGUGAGCAUUAUAAACUUGUACUGUCAUCUCGACUCACAAAAAAAGUAUAAAGUCACCCAAAUUUCUAGUUUAAAAUCAUGUUAUACCAUUUGGUACGUAAUAGUCUGCAUAUAAAAUGCUUUAAGUAACACUAACAAAUCAAAUUACAUUCAUAAUAUAAGGAAAAUUUUAAUAAUGCUCCCUUAAUUAUUUGUUAACAUCACUUCUUAUAACUUUUUUUUACUCCUGCAAAAUGAUAAAAAAUGCUCAUACUCUGCAUUUUGGCUACAAUUUCAUUGAAAAGGGGUAGUUGUAAAUUCAAUGCAAAAUGGGAAUUUGACUAACUCACAUGGUCAAAAAGGUCAAGAGAAGUGCCGUUGACAAAUAAGAGAAUGCAAUUAACACCUCUCCAUAACAUUAUACCAAGUCAACCUUAUUAAGACUAAAAGCUCUGCAAAGUUUAAUUUCAUCAUCGAAUUAAAUAAAGUUCAUUUUUGUUUACGUAGGUCAAGUGGAUCGAGUCUAAGCCACACCACACCAAUUAUUGUAUUUAAUAAAGAGCUCCAUAAUAUUAUACCAAGUCAACCUUAUUAAGACUAAAAAUUUUACAAACUUUAAUUUCAUCAUCGAAUUAAAUAAAGCUCAUUCUUGUUUACGUAGAUCAAGUGGAUCGAGUCUAAGCCACUCCACACUAAUUAUCAUUUUUAAUAAAGAGCUCCAUAAUAUUAUACCAAGUCAACCUUAUUAAGACUAAAAAUUUUACAAACUUUAAUUUCAUCAUCGAAUUAAAUAAAGCUCAUUCGUAAAAAGCUCAUUCUUGUUCACGUAGGUUAAAUGGAUCGGGUCUAAGCCACUCCACACCAAUUAUCAUUUUUAAUAAAGAGCCAUCUAAUUUUCGAGAUGGUUUGUAGGUGUGUCUUUCUUUCUUGCUCAAAAUGGUCAUUUAAUUUUUGGGAUUGUUUGUAGGUGUGUUCUUUCUUGCCCAAAAUAGAAAACCAUUUUUAGUGUUUUGCUCGGAGCUUUCUUAAAUGAUUCUGCAAUUGAUUUCUAAGGACAGUGUCAGAGUAAGGUUUAGCUGAGAAGAAGUGAUUUUAUCUACUAACAUCCAACAAAGGACUAAAGAAAGGAAAACCCUCGGGAAAAACCUCUGAAGUGCAAACCUUUUCCUAUAGACAGAUACUUUAGAUACAUAGCUCAUUAAGGACCUUUCCAGAUCUUCUAAUUUUCAUCAAAAACAUACCCCAGAAACUAUUGAUACACAAGCACUACAACCAAACCAUGAUUAGACCUUCAAUUCCUGUUGAUUCUCCAUAUAAUGGGAUGUUGUCAUUCCAAGUCCUUCAGUGUUUUGCUUUUCCCAUCCACCUGUAUCUGCCUUGGCAUGAGACCAGUAGUAGAAAAUGGAGCCUAUCAUGGAUAGCAAGGUCAAUGCAGCCCCAGCAGCAAAAACACCUUUGCGAAGGGUAGCACAGGACAAGUCAUUACCACCAAAUAUGCCUCGGUAUUUAGUAUGGUAAGCAUUCCUAGCUGAGCCAGCCAGUAAGCAUGCUUCGGCUCCCAAAAAGCUUACCCUGUGCAUUUCUUUCAGUUAUUAACGGGCAAGAAAAACAAUAAAACACGUUGACACACUUAGCUAAUCCAAAGAAUUUAUGGAGUGAAGAAUUUAAUAGUCACUAUGAGGUGCCCUCAUGAAAUAAUGAGGAGAAAGGAGGAAAGAACAGAAUGAAACAGAGUUUGAAAAAUCAUGUUAUUUCAAUCAGAAAUAUCACGCGAUAACCAAGCAGCUGCAAAGAAAGAACACUAAUGCAAUGGAAAAGAACACCAACUGCUCUCGCCAGCUCCAUUUUGAACAAAAUUAAGAGCUUCGAAGAUCAAAUUCUGUUUUGCAGGUGUGCCAAAAAAAAAAAAAGGCUUAGCCGGGCCUGCAGAAAUUAUUGACUGAAUGAAACUUUAUUGAAUCCAAAAACACAAAAAACAUGACAAAGAAGGGGAGAAACAAGAAUCUCUACCCUCCAGAAUAAAGGAAAAGAAGAAUCAAAGAACAAGAGAGAACUAGGGGAAUGGCAAAACAAAGGAAGCAUGCUUAAUCAAAGCAUGAAAUUUCUGGAUCUGACCAGUCAAUUUAUGAAGCAACCUUAGGGAAUUAGUUUAUACAAGUUCAGCGGAACCAUCCAAAGUAUACUUCAAGAGAAUUGAGAUCAUAAAUGUCAUAAGAAUUUUUAUUUCUAGGAACGCCAAAAAAUAUCUUCACAAAAUGUGAAAACAGGGUUCAGAUUCCACCUUUAAACUUUUGGACAUGCAUACAAACCAGGAAAAAGUGAAAUAGCUCAACAAGAAUCUCUAGAAUUUUAUCUUCUCACUCUGAUCUAACUUCUGAAUAUGCAUAAACUAUUUUUGCCCAGUAAUUUUAUGCACAUUACUUGGUUACCUAAUACAGAUAUCUUACCCCAAACUAAACCAAGAAAGGCACAUGCGUUGGGAUUUCAAUGGCAGCAAGAAUCAGGAAGCAAACAAUGCUGAUCAAAUUUUGUUGAAAGACAUCCAGCUUCAUGCAAAUUCCCAAAAUUUAUCUACUAGAAAGUAUAAGAAUGGAUGAAACCCUGUUCUCCAACUACUACCACCCUCAUUGACAGAAGAAAGGAGCAGAUGAGCAAAAUUACAACCACACACGUGAAUGCAUUUUAUACAAGGAACGGCUGAAAUUCAACAUGCAUAUCAAACCAUACGUGACAUGUGCAAAAGUUGAAUAGAUGGAACCAUUAAUUUUCUGUAGCAACGAAAAACAUGUCAUGACAUGGAACGCAUAACAGGACAGUUCCCAAACUUCUUCAGUUCCAAGUAAGGGCAUGUUUAUUUGAUGAAACCUUUGCUCAAAAUAAUCUUAUGGCCGAUUGUGGAAUGAGAAAACAAUACAUACCCUACCAGAAGAUUUGCAAUUUCUAUGCCAGUUGAUGCAUGAAUUCUACCAUACAGGUAUUGUACACAUAUUCAAAACAUCACAUACAAAAUGCUCUAAGCAAAACUGCAUACAAUUAUUCGCUAGAAACAGAACCUAAAUGCUGAAUGAUGUCACAAGUUUAUCCCAACAGAGAAUUUGACCCCACCACAAUGACAAAUUAUCUCCUAGCCCAUCCUGCCAGAUUAAGAAUUUAAAAAACCAACAGCCAAACUCCAAUUAUUGCAAGUAAAAAUAUUUCACAUGCAGCUGUGCAGAUCAUUACUGGAAUAGUUAGUGUUGAGAAUUAUUCUACCACCAAGGCACCAACUAUCACCAGCCAACAGGGAGGUGGGGCCCAACUCCAACUCAUAGACUCGCUGGAAUCAACAAUGCUCCACUCUCCCAGUGGCAAACGUAGUAAAUCCAAAGCAGAAGGCAAGGACAUGAUAGUAAAUUGGAAAAAAAAAAUAAACCAGGGAUCAUUACCAAGAAAAGAUGAAGAAGAAAACAGCACAGGUAGUAGACCGUCCACCCAUCAUCCCUUUCCCAAAACACAAGCACUUAGUAACGCCGUUAAGCACCGUUUGACUAAUUAACAGCAACCCAAACGCCGAUAACCCGUAGACGGUCGAAGCAUCCGUACCGUACACGCAGUAAGUCGUUUCAUCGUACUUAUCCGGCAUAACAUUAGCCUUAUCGAACAUUAAAAGCCAGGAAAAAAAAAAUUAGAACUUUAACUGAGUUUCCAUAAAACAAAGAGAACCCAGAUGCUAUUUUUGGAAAUGGAGUAAAGGGGUUACCGUGCUUCGACGCCGUUCAGCUCCGAUAGCGAGAACGAAGGCUAUGAGGUGAAGAGAUGUUAUAAUUACCAAAAUGGGGAUGGAAACUCCCAUUUUUUUCAGCUGUUAUCUCCUACUAAUUUCUCACGAACAAGAAGCAACGCACAGUCCUCAAUAACUGGAACUUCUUUUCUUUUUUUGCUUUCUUUAGAAGUGUAAUGUAUGUAUAAUUGCACAAACUUCUUUUUUUUUUGGGGUGAAGGGAAUUGUUUGUGGGGCUACAGGUUUUGCGUUUUGGAAUACGGAAACUUUUCUUUUUAGGUGGGAUGCUUUUUUUUCCCUUGUUUCGGCUCGGUGGGUGGGCGUUAUAGUAUAUGGUUUGCUUUUUGGAUGGAUUCGUGGAAAAAAUAACCAGUGCAGCCUGCCGGCUUGAGGAAACCGAAAUAAUAAGGCUUGAUGACGAUAAUUUAUCAGGAAUUUAGGAGAGAGGAAAGGUGUCGGUGAGGGGAACUCUUGGGGUCCAGUUGUUUUUCAAUUUUUUUUUUGGUGAGGUUUUGCCGGUUUCUGGCAGUAUUAAGUAAAGUGUACUUUGUUUAAGUGGAAGGUGAAUGUAUAUGGAAAUGUUUUGGCAAUGCAUGAUUGGAACAUGACAUGGUUGAUCUGUACUCGAAGACGACGACAGCUGCAGCAGUACCGAUUCUUUGAGUUUAAUGACUUUGAUGAUUGAAUUUAGUUUCUGAGAGCCACCUAUGGCAUUAACAUUUAUUGUGUUAAGUUUGGCUACCGCGGUACCCGUGCUAGUUCCCUUGUUUUCUUCCCUUGUUUAGUCCAAGUAUUUUCGAUGUUGCUAUUGAUGCACACAAUUAUGUACAGUAAAAGAUGUAUUCGAGGUUCGAUUUAAAAUUAGAAAGAAAAAUUUGCUAAAUAGCUACUUAGUUUAGACGAUUGAAUGGAGGCUGGAGCCAGUUUAACCUUGAAGCCUUGAUCUGUUCGUGGAGGAUAUCUUUCAAUACUAUUGUAAAUCUCAGGGAUAUGGGUAUCUUUGCUCUCUCGUAAUGAACUUCUUCUUGGAGAACAUAUUAAUUAAGAUGAAAGCACAAUUUGUUUGUUUUCCUUUUGUUUUUCAUAUCAUUGUUGGCUAAGCCACUAAAUGCCUAAUCUUCUACAUUCUUGCAACAGCACCACACUCUUAUUUUAUGUAAACGGACUUUUCAAUCUGUAAUGCUUUUUUAUCGGGGGAUUCACCCUGUCUAAAUAAACUUCAUUGGCUGCUUUUGAAGAAAAGGAACUCAAAAGCAUCAUCCCUAGCUCAAAGUACGAAAAACAAAUGAAAAGUAAGGACGAGCAACAGAAGGUAACAGAAUAUGCAUGGCAAAUUAGAGCUAAUCAUGCAAAUGAACCAUGAAAUGCAAAGGGAUCAGACUAAGUAUUUAACUAGCCAUAGCCUGUAGAUGUAUUUCUACCUUCACAGAGUCAAUUAACAAGAAGUUCAUACAUGUUAUUUUCAUAGACCAAAUCAUAUUUGAAAACUGAAAUUUGAUGAAAGCACAUUUCACCAUCUAAGCACUGACAGAUCAGAUCCUUGAUGAUUGAUCAAGUUUUCUAAUGCAUCGUGCCAUUCUUCUCUCCGAAGUCCUCCCAUGCCAAAGCCUUUGGAUGCCUCAAGUGUGAUUUAUUUGAUAGUUAGAGAUGUUGAACUCGGCCGGCAUAAACAAACUCUGACGCUCCCAUCUGGUCCGAUCGCUCCUGUACAAGUUGGGAUAAUCUGUGAUGCUCCAAAAACAUUUGGUACAUCUCAAUCUAACGUUAUACGACCAAAAGAAUCCAUUCACUCUGUCAUUGAUGUACAAAUAACACCAUCUCAUUGGGAAAGCGAUUUGUGUGAAAUUGUAUAUGAAUCUUUCUCCUUUCCUCAGUUCAUGCAAACCCGUAUCGUUUUUUGACGACUUGCACAUGUAAUACACCGUCUUGUCACCAUCAUUGGCUAUUGUAAUCUCUAUUGUUGGGAAAAAGAAAUCACGGAUUGAUUCAAAUAUGGUCUUUCUGCGCCCUACUUCAGCGGCUUCUUGAUCUUCUGAGGCAUUGGCAUUGAAGGAGAGGAGGAGGAGGAUGGCAAAAAUGGCAAAUGCUGAAUUAGUGUUCUUAUUCGCCAUUGAAAAGCCAAUGGGAGGUAGAUGGUGCCCAGGAAGGCAGAUGGGGAUGUAAUUAGUGGCGCAUAAGAUUGUAGUUUGAUUUGCUCUGUGUGGCACAAAUUAUUUUGUGCUUGGAUUCUCCUUGACUUGCGCAUGCCUAAAGAUAGCAAAGUCAAGGAAACUUGAAAUACAUUGGACUUUGAUCUUAGUCCACUUUUUAUUCUACCACUACUAUAAUAGGGAGGGACUUGUUGGUCCCUCUUGACGGCCCUGUAUCUAAUAGAAGAAGAAAAGUCUAUUACAUAUUGAAAUGGCUUUCCAACCAACAAAAGGAAAUUUUUAUGAUUUACAAUAAAAGUAUAAUAAAAAAGGAGUUAACAGAACUAAUUAAAAAUAUUAUGAAAGAGACAAAGGAGUUGGUUUAUUACCAAAAAGAGGUAAAGGAAAGAAACAAGGUAAAUCUAGUUUAAGUUUUAUAUGCUUCUUGCUUUCCUUUCUUUUUUCUUUGUGUCUUCGUGAAAUGAAUAGCCGUCAAGACGCUUCCUGGUUCCCACGAAUGGAACAUACUUUUAUUCUUGAUUUUUAUUUAAAAAAAAAAAGGAAUUUACUCUUAUCUUAGAAUGAGCACAAAAAUGAUGCAAAGUGUUAAUAGGGUUGUAACUACAUCUAUGUAUAAUUGUUAUACAUAAGAAAAAAAAAACAUUUAUUAACAUGCUUUUCUUUUUCAAAAUAAAAUCAAUCAGAAGUUGGAAAAUCUACUUCUUUAGUUUUGCAAUAAAAUCAGUACAAAAAUAAAAAACAAACCCUUGUACAUAGAUAUCAAAGCAAAAUAUCAAUUUUUUUUUUUGUCAGCGCAACAGUAUCCCAUCUUAUGCUAAACUAAUCCCCUAUGACUAUAGAGAACGUGCCCAAGAUGCAUAGCACAUUACUAGCGAGGGUUAAUCUGACGACCCUAAAGUGGUUACCAUACGAGCUAUUCAUUGGAACCUAAGGAACAUCAAUAUUAACCUAAUCUUGUAUGUACAUGUAUCUCGUGUAUCAAUUCGGAAUGUUUUCACAAUUUUGUCUCUAGCACUUGCAAAUUGUGACUAUAUUAUUCGCACUUGAGAGAUAUAAGAGUUUAACAGUUACUUUAUUUGAUGAAAGCAAAAAUAGGUGUAAGAAACCGAAUCAAUUUUAUUUCAAAGAAAGGUCUUUUGUAUGGUUAACUUCUUUUUUUAGAUCCUACAAUGGUUAACUUCUGUUUGUUCAACAAAUAUAGGGUAAUUUGGUGCAAUCGAAUUAAAAUCCAUGUCAUAUUUACAAAAGGGAUAAUUUCAGAAAUCUCCCCUGAAAUUUCUUACAAUUGCAAAGUCCUUCCCUCAAGUCUAUUAAAUAACACUUAAUCCCUUACUUUUACUAUUUAUAUAACUAUAUAGGUCCAAAAGCCUAUAUUUUUUUUCAAAAAUUCUAAAUUACCCUUUUUGUACAAAUAUAAAACAAAAAUUAUUUUGCUAAUUGUUUUCUUCCAUAUUUCAACCAAACCCACUAUACUAACAAAUAGUUUAAUUCAAAAUUCUAAACCCAAGCAAUUCCAUCAUCAUAGUCAUAAAUUUGCUUCCCAAAACAUGCAUUCAAUUCUAAAGAUUUGUCCCAUCCUUUAGAAAUAUUCUUACCAUAUGAUUUUAUGGAAUGGUCAAACUCACAAUCUACUAUUCUUAUGUUUGCAUAAUCUUCAACAUAGAAUGCCAUGGUUUGAUUUCAUAUAAGUGGCUCAACUCCUGCUACAUGAGCCACAUUAUGAUUUUGAAGAAAAUUCUUAGGAGAGAUUUAGGCAUGGAUGGGUUUAAUCAAGUUUAAGAAACGGAAGGCAUCAUUAUGACUAUAGACAUCUUCAAGAAAUUCAUUUUGUUAAAAAUCAAAAUUAUAUUCCAAUUAAUCACACCCUAAUUUCAAACCCAAUACUCACACCUUCUCAAAACAAUAUAAUCUAGCCUACCAUCAAAUCUCCAAACAUAUUAAUAUUUUAAAUACAAAGAAGAAACUCUAUUUCCAUAACCAACAAUUGCCAAGUAUAAAAAGAAAUAUAAAUGUACUUACUAACAUCUUAAAAAGUUUUUUGAAUGGAUGAUAGACAAAUAAAUAAAUUUACCAAUUUCAAUCCCUCUUCCUCUUUUGACCAAUGAUUGUAUUAUUUAUUUUAUUUACCAAUAAAUUUACCUCUUUUAUUUAUUUUAUUUACCAAUAAAUUUACCUCUCCAAUUUAUUUUAUUUACCUCUUUUGACCAAUAAAUUUACCAAUGAUUGUAUUAUUUAUUUUACCAAUUUCAAAAGCCUAUAUUUGCAAUAGUGAAACUGAUUGUUUUUGUAUAAUUUAAAGCAUUAUAUCCUUGUUUAAUCACUUUAUAAUAAGAUAAUUAGUACAACUCCUUAUUUAUAGAAAAGGGUUGAAGGAAAAAAAAUUUAUCACGUUUACAUUUAUAAGACUAUGCAUUGAUGUUUACAAGUUUAUUAUGUUAUUUGUUUAAAUUUAGAAUAUCUUAUAUAGAAAAACAUUUUUCAAAUGACAACAUAUGCCAUUUGUCAUUUGCAACUGAGGAUAAAACAUUUUUAUCUAGGAAAAUUUAUUGAUAAGUUAUUUUUUUUCAUUAAAUUGAUAAGUUAGCUUAACAAAAUAUUUUUCUGCCAGGAAUAUAGGGAUAAACAUUUGAACCAAACAAACUAAUAACCGAUAGAUAACAUUAAUUGAAUUAAUUAAAGAAUAAAAUAAUUCAAAAUCCUUAAAAAAAUGACGCACGCCAUAUUAUGAUUGGAACCCUUCUGGAGAUGUAGACUGGUAAAUAGUAUAUAGUAUCGAUAUUAAUAAUAACAAUCAUGUAUUUUUUUUAAAUACGGUUUAUGUACAUGUCACCCUUUUGAAGGUGAAAUCGAGCUGGAUCGGACAACUAAGAUUUACGAAUUUGUAUUGCCAAAAUUGGACGGUUUUGUAACACACAUGGUAAGUAUCUUGCCUUUAUUCUCAUUUGUAUUUUUAUGUCCUUUUUAUGGUUAUGUAAUUUAUUUUCUAUGCUGUCAAAAUUAAAGUACUCUAACUAGCAUUCUAAUGCUUUAAUAACAUAAGACAAAGUUGUAAAAAAUUACAAGCAAUUUUGCUUUUUUGCAAAAAUUAUUUUAGAAUUCAACUAAAAAAAAAAGUUUGAGUCGGUGUUGAAAUAAGAAAAUAUAGUAAAAGUUUACAAAUAUAAAUCCCUUCAAAGUUAGAUGGUAAGAAAAUAAUGAAUUAGAAUAAGAAAAGAUUCUUACAAAAAAGGAAUAGUUGUUUAAGAAAUUAAUACUUGAAGAUUGAAAAUAUAAUAAAAUAUUUCUAAAAAAUAAUAAUAAAACUUGCCUCGGAGUAAAGGAUUUGGGAGAUCAUAGAAACAAAAGUCCGAUACAAUAAUAUUUCAGAUUGUGUUUAUACAAUGACUGUUUGGUUUUUUUUCUUUUAUGGAUGUAUUUACCUUAGUAGGGCAAGAGGCUGGUAUGCCUUAGGAAAGAUUUAAAGAGGAAUGUCAAAGAAGAUGAUUAAUCAAUUGAUAAAUCACAUUUAGAGGGACAAGAUUAGUGAAAAUGUGUUAAAAAAUUUAUAGAAAUAAUUGUUUAAGUCAUUAAUACCUAAAGAUUGAAAACAUAAUAAAAAAAUCUCUAAAAAAAAAUAAUAAUAAGACUUGCCUCGGAGUAAAGGAUUUUGGAGGUCAUAGAAACAAAGCUCUCUAACACAAUGGUAUUUCAAAUUGUGUUUAUACAAUGAUAGUUUGUCUUUCUGGGAAUCGGAUUGUAUAUUUGGUCUUCAUUAUGGAAGGUAGGGUUGUGGGGAAGACCUGUUGGGCUUGGACCUUUGUAUAUCACUUAUAUCAUGUCUUUGGAUUUCAGGUUACGACUUGUUUCAUACUUUUAGCAGUUUGGUUCUAUUUGCAAAUGGGUCUGCCCCUUCCAUUUGUCACUGUAGGAAUAGUGAAGCUUGCUUAUAUACUCCACUAUAUUCCAACAAUGGCGGUAUGUAAUAUUUUUAUUUUAACUAUUGUGAUUAGCAGCAAGCUCUCAUAUUUAAUAAUGAUUAACCUUUUUUAAUAGUGAUUUUGUCUUGGUCUUUUUUGGCUUGCAGGGACUUCUGGCCUAUGUAGUGGUUGAUCAGGCUUAUGAUAAGCACCUGAAGAAUAAGAAAGGGUAAGGAAUAAGGAGAGGAUCAGGAAAAAGAAGAACCAACCAGUUUCGUCUUUGUCGUUUAUCCGGUUGAGUCGUAUCAGAGUGACAGCUCUUCUUUAUCCCUAGUCGAUUAGGUCUUUCAACAUGUUGCCCUUUGUGGUACUGGAAUACUAGAUUCAUCAUUCAUCUACUUCUUCAUCCAUUGCCCAUCCCAACUUUCUUCAGUGACGGAUGUUAUGCAGGACAGUGGAGUUUUGAACGCACAUCAUUUUGCAUGAUAUUUGAUAGGAAGAUGCUUUUUAUUUUGCUUCCCACAAACAAAGUUUACUUUAAAUUAUGGUCCAUGGGCAAACUUUAGGUUACGGUUCGUGGUAACUUUAAUCCGAGCAAAGAUCUUCCAUUUUCAAGAGAUCUUGUGAUUAAUUUGUGUGCCUCGCACGAUAUGACAGGGCAUCAAAAAUUCAUUUACCAAGUUGAGGCGGUGGUGGAAAGGGGAACAUAUGCACACAUUUGAGAGGGCAUAUGUACCCGUACCCAGACAUGAAAAGCGAGUUGUGCAUCACUUUCUAUUUAGUGGUGUCAUUUCUUGAGUCGGUUGUUGCACUGCACAUAAGAGGCUCCGUGCAGUGAUCUUACACUGUGGUCUUUGCUCUUUGAUUUUCAUCUCUUGAUUAAUUAAGAAUUUUUGACCUUCUAAUCUUGCAUUUUGAGGCCCGGCAUGCUUUUAUUUAUUUCUUUUUGCUGCGUCUUCUGCUGGGAAGAAGGUAAAUCUAUAUCUCAACGAACAAACACUUUUUCAGCUGUAAUUAAUUAGGUGAAUGCUCUGCUUACAACAGUGAAAUCACCAUAGUUGAUGGCCCGUACCGGUCAUGGUUGAUGGCACUAUGAAGUCGAGACUGGGACAUUUUUUUUCGUACAUGUCAAAAAGAAAGCAGAACUAUUGAAGUAUGGUUUAUCAUUGUUGUUAUAUGCAGUGGUCAUUACGGUGAAAUGUAGAAAUUGGGGACUUCUUUCUUAUGCAAGCAAAGCAAGCAUCUAUCUCUUAAGAGGCAAUAGGCAAUUCAAGUCCCUUUUUACAACAAAAUGCUGGCUGAGGUAAUCAUCAUCAUAGUUGCCUCAUGUUGCAUUGAGAGUGCAACCAUCAAAUUACGCAUCCAAAAUUGUGAUGAUUAUCAAUCAGGCUUAAGUGCAUGAAAAAUGAAUCAAAAUCGCAGCAAGAAAAUGGAGGAACCUCAGCUGUGGGGAACUCCAUGUUCGAUCUAUAGCUUUCCACGCUCGUAUAUAUUAAGCCAGUGAAAAAGACAACACUAACGGUACAUACAAUUAACAAUUUUCAAUUUUCUUUACCGCAAAAUUAUUACACCAGCAACGCUAAAAUUGAUUAUUAAUCUGGCAAACAAAUCUACUGAUCCUGUAGCAUCUCAACGGCCUAAAUCUGGAAGAAAUAAUCAAGUCGCUCCAAGGUAGAGCACCUUAUGCCACAUCUCUGAUCCUUGUCGAGUUGUAACCGGUGAACGCCGGGGCCCUGUCAAAUGAUUUUGACUUGCAAACUCUCGACAAAAAAUUGACAAGUUAGAACAGCAUUUCAUAGAAAUAGUACAACAAACUAGGAACUUCAUCAUAAUACAAAUGCUCGAGCUAGAAAGAGCUGGAUUUGGAAAAUUUUCGACACCAUUGCAUGGAAAUUUGUAAUAAGAUACAGGCCUGAAACAUUUACCUCCGCAUGCAAGAUAGUCAACGAACAGAGAACCAUAGCUAGGCAAGGAAAAGGAAAGGGAGGGACCAACAUGAUAUUAUUGGCAUGCCCGGAAUUGGAAAGGAUCUUAGUCCAAAGCCUCUGAAACCCUUGGCUCAAAAAUAGAACAAAUGGAGAAAAAAAAAGAGAGAGAAAGUCCAUGACCUCAGCUGAACAGGUCAGAUCCAUUCAAGGACAAGGAAAAGAAAUGGAGGAACCACAUGAAACCAUGGGCAUGCCUGGCCUCGGUAAGGAUUCUCUCCAUCCAAUCUUCAAGGUUAAAAAAUUUAAGAUCGAAAAUUAAAAAUAAAAAAAAACCAACGCAAAAGCAAAAGAUAUAAACAAAGAAAGAUAAAAAGUUUCCUUUCCAAGCCAGGCGAUGCCCACAAUUUCCUGCAGAUCUAGCUCCGUUUCCACCUUACCCGUUUGUUACUGAGCUCCAAUAUCACCCUCUGCACCAUAAGUUCAGGUAAAAAAAAGGCUAAAAAAUAACGAAUUUACACUGAGCCGCUCCUUUUUCUUCCUUCUUUUUUUUCCCCCCUCACUAGAAGAGAAAGUUAGCCUAAAGAAACUAGCAGCUGCAAGAGCCAAGAGGGGAGGACGGGAAGGGAAAAAACGAACCCUAAGAGAGAAGCACUGAAUUGGGUUUAGCGACUUUGUGUUUCAUCGUUCCACACCUUUUAUAAACUUUUCCCCUCCAGAAGUCCAAGACUAAGGACACGCUAAGGGGACCCUGCCGGACAACCCUAGCCCAGCCCACCUUGCUUUCGCAAGUAACUCGGCCCAAGGAAUAGUGUGGGAAUGGAGACGUUAUGAAAGGAGAGGUAAGGUUGUGUAGGGAGAAACUUCCACUAUCGUCAUCUUCGAAGAAGACAGCCUCCCCAUCGGACUAAGAAUUAAGAAACUCAAGGCUAGAGGGGUUGGCUGCAAAAUGUAUCCAAUAAAUUGAAGUGUAUUUUGCUGGGAGGAUUAUUUAGCCACAAGAGAAAGAGGUGAUUGAGGAGUGGCUGAGAAAAGACAAUGAGGAGUUAUAUCUUUGUAUUUGCCCCUAUUCAAAACUAUUUUCAAUUGUGUCAUUAUAUAGUCUAAUCAAUAUAAGUGUUUUGAGUUUAAGCAUGUACACAUUAGUGUGAAGACCAUUAGUACUACUAGUGAUAAAGAGCGCACUGAAUUUGUGUGCAAUUUGGAAAUUUUAUUUUUUUAUAUAGAGAAAUUGGCAAAAUUUUAAUAAACCAAAAAAAUGAACUUUGAUAUUUUAAAAGCUUUUUUCAAUGAAUUUGGUAGUUUAUAAAAUGCUUGUGGGUAGUUAUGGGUGAAAGUCAGUUGUGAUUAUAUUAGUUGGCAAUAUGUAGGCAAAUUUAUUUUGGUCAAAGCACUAAUGAUUAGUUUAGCAUACAUGCUGAGUAUUAUGGACAGAAACUGCAUUUUUUUUAAAAAAAUUUUGGACCUAUGUUAUAUAUUGAGAUUGGUUGUUUCUCUUAAAUUAUUUUUGUUAGUUGGUAAUGAUUUUGACAUUUUUUGUCUUUUUGCAGCCAGAAUUUUAUACUUUUUGGUCAACAUUUUAUGGCCAUGUGGGUGAAAUUACAUAUUGGGGCCUUCUUUCUUGUAUUUGGAUCAAUAUUUUUUUAAUAGGAAUAGAAUAGAUAUCAAAAUUUUGAUUAAACAAGUAGUAGUAGAAAACUCUGUAAUUCAUAUAAUUUUUGUGAAUAUUAAAUAAAAGCAACCCUGAAACAAAAUUUAAGACCAAUUUUUAAGAUGAAUAUGUUUGAUUGACUUUCACUAUACACUUGCUUAUUAUUUGCUUUCUUAUUGUUUCUCUCUCUCUCUCUCUCUCUCUCUCUCAGUGCCUAUUAGUUGUUCUGCUAAGUUUCUCUAUGCCCCUGAUCUUACUGCAAGACCCAUGUAAAUUGAUUGUGUAAAGUGAUGAUUUUUGGUUAUAUGUUGCUUUCAUAAGGCUGAGCAUGUAGAAAUGGAAGAAGGUUAGUCAUGUUGAAUGGACUUUAGUAUCUUUUGUGGGUAUCUUUGAUUAGAGCUCUAUGUUGUUAGGAUGCUUCAAUACUUAUAAAGCUAGCACUUUCAAAAAAAAUUGUAGAAUUCAGUUAAAUCUAUCACAUAUCAUAAAUUUGUUGAGAAUGGUCCUUACUGGGAGGUAAAGAAUUUUUGACGAUUUCUUGACAAUGAAUGCUCAAAUUUCUCAACGCAUGUUUAGUUGUUGCUUGAGUUUUCCAAAAUAACUGAAAUAAUCAAUUUCUUGGUUUUCGUUCACGUCUCUACCUUCAUAAUUUUCACUAGUGUACAAAGAAUGAAAUUGCAGAUGAAAUAAUGGUUAUGAGGAAUUAAUUUUGAAGUGGAAUAAAGUGGUAUUGAUUCUAUAACACUAACAGCUUACAGUGAGGUCUAAACUAACAUUAUAUGUUCUCAAGAGUACCAAUGUAAACAUUUUUUUUAAAACAACUUUACAAUUUUAUUACCUUUUUGUAAAGCUUUGAACUCAUAUCUUAAAUGCCAAUAACUUUUGCAGCAUCAUUUUGUUUUGGGAAUUUUAGCUGUGCUUCAGUUCUACCAUUGGUUGCUCUUCUAUACAUAGAGGUUAGUUCUUCUAGCAUUCUUUUCUUAUCCUGCUACCCAUUUUUUAGUUGUUUUGCAUAUAUUUUGUUACUUUAUGCUUAGAUGUAAAUUUUGGGAGUUGAACUUGUUAGGAAUUUCCAUUUUAGGUUUUUGCUAUGCUUGUUCCAAUAUGAAAUCAUCAGAAAACUUGUAGACCAAAAUAAGUUCAUUAAACUGAAAUAUAGCUAGGUAAAAAUCAAAGUUUCAUGCAAUUAAUUGUGCCGUUUGACUAUUAGUUGCUGUUUAGUUUGAGCCUCAAAGACUAGGUAAAUGGGUAGUUGCUAAAUCUGUAUUUUUUUUCCCAGAUAUCAUGCAAAAAGUCCAGCCUAAAUGGAUAUGUAAUCAACUACAACUGUUGAUGUAUUCUAACCUGCUAUAUAAUAAAUGUAAUGUUCAACUGCUUAUCUUUUAAGGUAAACAAUUAAGUUAAAAAGUUACAAAGCAUUAGCUUAUUAACAAACAUUUUGUUGCUUUUGUACUCCAUUAAAUGCCUGCCGAUUGGACAUUCCCAUGUGAGUGAGACUUGUAUCUGCAAUAACUACUGCUUUGAGCAAUACUAAGCUGUUAAAUAAAAGUAAAUCUGCAUUGCCUGCUUGGCAGUGGCAGCAUUCCCUUUAUUUUUGUCCCAUACACAAUAAUUUCUGCUCUUAGAGCAAAUGUUGCCAACUAGCAGCUGGGGGAAUAUUAGCUAUAGAUUGGAUUGUGGUCAGAGUUAAUGAGGUUUCUAAGAUUAAAUCACUCCAUUACUGCCCAGGUACACAACAAAGUAGAACAUGUGAACGUCAGUUUGCAAUUUUGAAUUAGUAUUAUACACUUAGAGAGUGGAUAUGAUUUACUUUGACAUGAAAUGGGUAACUUUUUGUUUGUAGUAUCAUACAUGCUGUUUCAACCUUUUUUGCCAUUAACAUAAACAUUCUGCUAGAAGGUUUCAGGAGCCAUGUCACUACCACAUCCUAAUAGUAUUUAGAAAUCAUGUAACGACUGUUUAGAGAAGCAACAAUAAGAAAUAAAUAAGAAGCUGAAAUGAAAGAGGGGAUGGUAUGAAGCAUUUUUGUCCUUGAUAAGGCUCUAUAGUGGUUUUGAAAAAAUGUCCAAGUUCUCUAUAGGACUUGUUACCUGACAUAUUUUAGUAUUGUUCACAGAAUUUUGAGCUUCCUCUUGAAUUUGUUCAUGAGCGACUCAAAACAAAGACAUUCUGGUGCAUAUCAAAUCAGUGCAAACACAAUUAACAGAUGCAAGGCAACACUACACAGCAAUAAAGUAUUCUGAAACUAAUGACAUUGCCACUUCUGUCCAGUUAGCAGUUAACGCAAAAAAUGACUCUUUGUCACUUAGGCAUCAAGCUGAGAUUGUGGAGCUCUUGACUCCAAGCAGAUAAACACUCAAUUGAACUUGUAAUACAUACUGUCUUUUCCUAAAAGCAAAUUGCAGGGAAACUCGUGACUGCAGGAGAAGCCAAUGGUUCGUCAAAAGUUUGCCUUCGACUUGCUGGAAAUUUUGAUGAUAUAGAUAAUGUGGAAGGAGAUGACACUUAAAAUACGUACAGCUACUCCACCAAGAAAACAAGAUUAAGCUGAAUUCAUAAUAUUCAACUUUUAUACCACUCGAACUUGAUAGUUUUUGUCUUCUUGUUUUGCCAUUCUAGAUUUGAUAGAUUGCUUGGAACUUUUUGAAAGGAUUAUUACUAUAUCUACGAACUGUGUAUAUCUGUAUGUGGUUAUCCCUUAGGUAACUUGUGAGAACUGGAAAAAAAAAAGGAAAAAAAUAUUUUUUUUAUUAGCCAUUAUUUUAUUCCUGUGCACAUUUAUAUUUUCUUCAUUAUAUUAAUUUUAUAGAUAUUUUUAUCAGUAAAUAUAGUUUUAAAAUCAUUUUUCUAGUAUAAGUUAGUUCAUGAGAAAUUAGGAGUGUAUGUUGGACGUGGGACUCGCUAGUGCGUUAAGUGAAAGAAAUUCGGCCAAUUAGAUUAAGUUUUACAUAAAGGGAUUUAAAUACUAGGUGUUAGGAGAUAAUUAGAGGUUAUCUAGAUGGAUUAACCAUGGGGAGACAAGAAAAUAACUUUAAGUAACAACAAAGUGCCAAGUGUCAUUACUUAGUCAAAGUUAGGCUUGACUAACUUUACUAAAACUCCAAUUUUGACACAAAUCAUCUUCAUUUCAUAUCUUUCUUGCCCGAACUUCACCUUGAGAGAAAAGAAAAGAAAGUUUCAUCUAUAUCUUCCAUUUCUUGCACAAAUUUUGAAAUCCGACCGAUUAAACCUUGAAUUAGUCCGCAAAAGUGACUUGCUAAGGGAGUUUGAAGGUCUUGGUAGAGUUGUUUUGGAAGAAAAACCCCUAAACUACUACCUUUCUUGAGGAGUUAAGGUAUUUUCCUUGGAACUCACUUUUUGUUCCUAAUAAUGGUCAAUUGGUGGCUUAUGGUAACUAACUAGGUGAUUUUAUGGAAGAUUUCAUGGAUUAAAGUGGAGUUAGCUAAAUUUCUGAUUUUUUUGAGAAUUUUUCUGUUUUCAUAUGAUGGUUAUGGUUGGCCUUGGAUUGAUAGCUCUAAAUUGUGUAAAAUGGAGCUUUUGUGCGUUAAUUGCGGUUAUUUGCGAAAAAUUUCCGCUUGUGCGGAAAAUUUCAGAUUUAGGGCUACUAAUUAGGGCUUUCUUAUGGUUGGUUAUUGAGCUUCUAAUUGGCUAUAAUUGAGGGGUAUUGUGACCCUAAUGAAAUGUGUUGAAUGGCUUAUGAAUUGUUUGUGUGCUUGUGGUUACUUUGGAUGAAUUUCAAGGGUUGUUUGUAUGAUAGAAAAUCUGAAAUUUUAGGGGAAAUGUUGUCCAAAUGUUGAGGAUGUUGGAUUCUUAUGAGUUUAGGUUGAGGUUGGAUAGAAAUGAAAGAUUUUGGGGUUUGUUUCUACUUUUAGCUCUAAAUGUUAUGUAUUUUCCCUUCCAAGCUAUAUUUGGUUUUGCCGUAAUAGUUCAUUUAAGAGGUAUUCGACUCGUGUCCGAGUCUCAAUUGUACUUUCUUAAUUGUUAUAGGGCGUGCCAGUGAAUCGAAACUUACGUCGGGCGAAAACUUGUGAAAUUGUUUGUUUGACUUGGUGAGUGUACCUUGUAUGGUUUAAUGUUUAAAUGAUUGUUUAUACUUGAUUCUAUGAACUUGGUUGACCUGAAUGAGACGAAUGUGUACUUCACCGCUCUUGUUCUCUUACUUGUAUGACUGCUACUGUAUUACUGUGAAACUGUACUUGUGCAUGAUUUAAUGUCGAUUGGAGGGUCGAAUCCAACGACUUUAUUGUGAUAUCUGAGCUCUUACCUCAUUGGUCGUUAUUCGGGUCGAGCCGGCAAGGGUUUGGUCAGUUCGAUAAUGAACCAUGAGUGACUGUUAGUCGAGUGGAAUGUUAACUCCUCGACCCUGUGGUAUACUCGAGUAUUACCUUUCUGUUACUGUAAGGUGUUCGAACCCGAUAAGGGGAAUGUUUGGUGGAAGGAAUGUGGUGUAAAGUGGGAUUUACGGUCUUGUUCUUUACUCCAAACGUUGACGGAGUGUCGACGGGUUUGAGAUCAAGUACGGCAAGUGGAAAGUGGCUCUUGAGAGCCGACCGUAUCUUUUUAACUUAGUUAUGUGAUGAAAUUUCUUAUGUGUUUCUUGCCUAAUUAUGCUUAUCCUGGUGUGUCUUGUCGGUACCUCACAAGCGUAAGCUCACCCCCAUUACCUUUGUUUUCCUUAUAAGGAACCAUCCUUUGGACCGAUGAUCAUUUUGAAGAAUGAAUUGAGCUAGUAUAAAUACUCUUUGUAUAGCUCCUCGGGAGUUGAAAAUUCUAAAUGUAUUUUGAUCCAAAUAUUUCCCUUUUGUUUUGUAAAUUACAAACGUAUGUAUAUAAAACGGUUUAAUCAUGUUCAUGUAUUAUAUUUGAAUUGGAAUGUUCAUUCCUUGGGGUUAUAUAGCGUUAUCUGUAUUCGAUUGGGUACCGGCCGGAUGGUGACGUGGCAGUUACUAUUCAUUUUCAGUUGCGGGUUUUUUUUGUUUUCCGUUUUGUGAUUAUUGAAUCGUUUAGGAGCACUAAUAUACAUAUUCCAAACGUUUUAGUGUGUUUUACCGUCUUGGUAGUUCUGGCGAGAGUUGGGCAGGCAGUUCGCUAACCCCUUUGGUACGCCUUAGGGGAAGGUGGGACUGUUACACAACUUUUGUGGCAGAGGUUGAACUAUGUUUGGUCUCAACUCUGUAUCAAUUUUAGAUCUUUGUUCAAAAAAUUUUGCUCCACCUCGAUUAUAUGUCUUUUUUGUUUGUUCGAUUUUCAUUGUUUGCAAAAACAAGUUGCAUCUCACAUUUUAUGCAGAAACAAGGAACAUCUUACAUUGUAUGUAGAAACAAGGAACACCAUAAUGAUCUCAAUAAUCUUCUUAUUAUAUUAUCUUGUGUUUUCUCAACAAAUUGCUUAUUUUCGCUGCUUAAUUAAAUUACAAAAUCACUAAGAUAUUAGUAUACCUUUACGUAACUUUUCAUACUUAAUAUGUAAAUUUAAAUAAUUGGGUAUUUUUGGUCGAACCUAAAAAUUACACUGCGCUAUCCUCCUAGUAUAUAUAUAUAUGAUGAACCUCCCAGAGAAAUAUGAACGGUUUCUCCACCAAUAAUAUAUAUAUAUAUAUAUAUAUAUAUAUAUAUAUAUAUAUAUAUAUAUAUAUCAUCCCAAAAUGGUCUUUUCUAAAUAACUGUAAAAUUUAUAAACCUUUUUGGUAUUAUACUUCCAAAUAAUUCAUCAAAUUUGUAUGGAAACAUUAAUCACUAUGAUAUUGACAUAUAAUACGUCACCUAAUGAAAAGAUAACAACAAUUCAUGUCAUAAUUUCUCUACAUUAGUGCGUACAAUACCAACACGAAUAUAAAAGUUUAAUAAAUUUAGUAUCUUAUACUCAAUAAUGACAGUUAAAAUUAAUGUUAAUGUAACAUAAUACCUUAAAUGAUUUAAGAGCUUUAACAUAAUCCUUUUUUUCUCCUUUACUUCCAUGAAAUUACUUUACAACUAUUCCAGAUUUAAGAGCUUCUAAAAAAAUUUUCUCAUGAACAAUCUUCUUUUGCCAUUUGUUUUUUCUUUACCAAGGUCCUUCUUCUCACAUUGUGUACAACUGGUUUCUAAUCAUUAUCAAUUUUUAUCGAUUACAAAAUAACGCCAUUUGAUAUAUCAAUUGACCUUAUGUUAUAAUUACAAGUCACCGUUCAUCAUUAAAGAAAUUUCCAAUAGUUAUUUUCGUUAAUUAGUUAUUAAUAAUUAAUUGGUGCUCUGAUUUUUCAAUCGUUAGAUAUUAGUUUCUAUAAGACAUAAGAUAUGAAUAAUUUCCUCCCACGUGACGUAAGUAAUUGAACCACAAUUCUACAAAGGAACAUAGGUGUAAUUUUACAAAUCUCAAGGGAGGCCAAUGAAAUUAUCUAUGUGGUUCAAUCAUUAGAUAUUAGUUUCUAUAAGACAUAAGAUAUGAAUAAUUUCCUCCCACGUGACGUAAGUAAUUGAACCACAAUUCUACAAAGGAACAUAGGUGUAAUUUUACAAAUCUUAAGGGAGGCCAAUGAAAUUAUCUAUGUGAAUCCUUGAAAGUCCAAAAGUUUAGCUCCAAACCAUACCUGAACAAUGAUUAUUCCCGAUUUGAUUUAUUUCAGCACCUACGGUCAAGCAAACUUCCAAUGUGAUUCACCUUUUGAGUCUUUAAUCGGAGCUGCCAUCUCUAACAGCCAGCUCCUCGGGCCACGGAACCCAGAACAAAACAAUAGCUCCGUUUCAAGUGGCGGACCGGCCAUUGAAUAGAACGCAUUGCACUUCAGCUUCAACAGCAGAACAUUAUUUUUAAGUCAUAAGCUAAUCUUAAGCAUGUCAGCUUUCAGAAAAUCUGAUAACAACAUAAGAAAGUAUGUGAGGAACCUAACGAAACACCCCCACAAUGUAGACCUCAAAUGUAUCACGCUACGCCUCUGACAUUCCCCAGAGUAACGAUAUUCCUGCCAGACGAGCUCUUCUUGCACAAUUUUUCCGCCAGAUUCUUCAAUUAGUAAGAGAAAGUUUGCUUCUUGACAACACACUUGUGACAACUUAUAAUCACCAUUUCUACAUGACUCUUUCAUCUAGCAGCCAUUGCCAGGCAUUGAUGUUAAUAAAAUUAUAUCGCCCUUAUACAACUAAAACUCUUCUUCAACAAAUUAUCAAGACUUCAACUACACUUUUAAGGACGACUACCAUAUAAAACAGGUAGACAAACACAGAACGUCCCUCCAAUACAUCCGAGGGGAUUGGGACACCAAGUGGUUUUUAUCGCAGCCAAAGCAACAGUCAAUCAACAAGCAAGAGUUGAACAUCUAAAAGUAUGGCAUUCAGCCAGAUCACAUCUCCCAUAAGAGCAAAAGUAAGUGACAGUUUAGGCUUCAUAUUUAUCAAGCAACAAACAGCCAGUAAUGUGGUAAAAGCAAAACCAAAUUUCCAAACCAUGUGUAAAUCUAAAAAAGACUAAAAUAACGGGAUAUCUAAACAUCAAUUCAUUAAUCUACUACUUAAACAGUACAGUGAAGCAAGAUAUUCAUGUACACAGGAUGGGGUAGCUAAACUUUAAGAUCAUUACACUUUUAACUAUCAAAAUCCCCUGAAAGGAUAAAAAGCAUUAACAUUAUAUAUCGUCUGCCCAGGAGAAUGAAGGAGUCUGCACUUUCAAAACCCUUAAGAUGAAAACCAAAAGGGACGACAAAAUUUGCUCAUGCAUCUGACCAGGCCAACCAGCUUGCAGUCCCACUUCAGCUCUCUUCCUGACUACAACUUUGCUAACUUCUAUUCAUCCCGUCCUCCCACUUACUUUAAUGUCUCAGUUUUAUUCUACAUCUCAACCAACCAUUAUGUAGUGUUCUUGAUCUUUCUUUUUCUUUUUUUUUAUUCUAUUUCAUCUACUCUAAAUUUCAUAUUCUUCUCACUGUUUUUCCCUUUUUUCCUCCUUUUUCUUGUCUUUUUCUCCUUUUCAAUACUUGUAAAUGCUACAGUAAGAAGCUGGAGAAAACCCUCUAACUUUAUUCCAAGAAAUUCAUAAUUGGCCUAAAAAUAAGCCGAAGCUGAAUUCCAUUUUCCCCUUUGGAAUGUAAAAUUUAAAACCAAAGGGUAGCAAUCUCUUGAUUUCACCUCCGGUGGAAGAAAAGGAAAUCAGGAUGAUUGACUUGAAGCAUUGACACCCAAUUUUCGGCAUCCUGUAGGAGUUUGUUCAACAAUUGGCGUUCAGAUCCCCCAUUGCGGAUCCAUAAUGGUGCUUUAAACUUGUAGUGAGCAAGACCAAAAACAGGUAACGAAAUCUUGGGAACGCCAUCCAUUUCGCCAGGAUACGUGAGGAUUGGAGCAGGCACAAUUUGAGACCCUGCAGGGAGUCCACAGGAGAUCUAAAGGUCAUAAACUAAAAAAAACAACACAACAAAAAUCAGAGACAGUUUAGCUUCUUGGUUGACUAUAGUCUAAAAAUAGUGUCACUUAAAACACGUACAAUAUUCUAUGGUCCAUGCCAUAGAUUGUAUACUAAUAUUCAAGCACGACUAGUCAAAAUUUAAGUUUCAAAUUUUCACAUGUACAGAUAACAAAGCAAAACUAUAAAAGUUCAGCGACCUGUCACAGAUGUAUGAAGAGAAUGGAAUGUCAGAAAGCAAGCAUCCAAAUCUCGAAGAGUUGGCCCCAUGGGUAUCCUGUAUAUUGGAUACCUAAAACAGUAUGCAAACUUUACAAGUCAGAACUUCAUGCAUCACUCCACAAGUUGAUGUGCCAAGAACUGAACACAAAAAUACCACAACCAUACCAGGCCACAGAAAUCCAACUAGAAGAGAGUAGAUCACAGCUUCUUAACGUCUUCAAUUCAGGGAAGCGAAGAGCAAGCUGUGAUAUCUACAUCAUCAUAAAACAUGGACCCAAAUAAGAGGAGCCAAUAUACGAUCAAAUAAGCCACUUUUUUAGGGGAGGAGAAGACAGACCUUGUCUGCUAAAGGCUCCCGACCAUACGGUUGGUCACGCUCAAAAUACUCAAACAACAAGGAUCCUUGAGAACUCCCAGACUCACUUUCAUCACUGGAAAAGCCUUCUUGAAAGGACAGUUGAUUGUCUCUCAAAGACAACUGAUCAAUUCUAGGAGGGCCAUUAAUUGCCUGGCCACUGUAGUUCCUUUGCUGCUGUGAAUAAUUAAUGCAACCUCUCUCAUGUUCAUAGUCACUACUUCCAUCACUACAUGAAUCCCUAAAAUAGUCACCAUCACUGUCUUCACUGAGUUGCCUAUUGCACAAGUAAACAACAGAUGGGCAUUAAAAACUGUUACAUUAGCAAGAAAAAGACACAGAGUCAAAAGAAUACAGGUAGAUAAUCCUUCAAUAAUCAUCAUAUCCCAAUUAUAUUGGUUUUGUUUUGUAGUGAAUUCAAAAGGGCACAGGAGCAUGUGCUUACUUCUUAGUAAACUAUGACAUUCUAAAUAACACUAUUUGUAAUUGUACUCCACCUUAAAUCAAAAGAAACCAAUCCAUGGAUCAUAAGAGAAGGUCUAACCUUCAAAAAUCUGAACUAGCCAGACUUGUUCCAAAUUUAAAAGUCAUUCUUACAGCAACUAUAGUUAUACUAUCAAAAGCAUUAAGUCACUUAACAUCCUAGAGGUCAACAAUAUCUUGAGGCACAAAAGAGAGAGGAGUGAGGUUUAUCUGAGAUGAAAGAGGCCAGCCCUGCAGGUAUACACAGAGCAAGACAAAGCAACAUGGACUGCCAUUGUCUCAAAACAAAAGCUGUAGCUCAAAUAUCAGAUAAAAUAUAUUAAUGUACAUACGUCCAGUCCCCAAAAUAAAGCUCCUUGACACACAGUAGAAAUGAAUUAUCAAGCAAUAACUCCAUCAUAAACCAUUUUUCAGCCUGUUUCUGUAUCAAUCCCAAGAAUGGCUUAGAACCGACAAUCAAAAUCAAUCACAGCAAAGUUUCCACAUCACAACCGUCGAACGAACAGAAAUUACUCAUAACUAAAGCAAUCUUUUGUCUUUGGGUUAAAUACCUUGAUUUGGCCAAAGAUCUAGACGAGUCGCCAUAUAAUUGAAUGCCAGAUAGAUAGGGAACAUAGUACUGCACCACACCAUCACUGUCAUUUAAUAUCAACGGUACUCCAGCACCAUAUGCACUCCAUUCCCUGAAAGAGUCCCAUAAAUCACCAAGCACAAAGUAAGGCUGGAAUUCCACGUCACACGUCCUCCGUCCCCUCAUUGUCGUCUGCAAUUACCACAACUCCAAUUAAAAACCCAUAAAGAGGUAUAACCCCAUAACCAGAAUCAUGCUAGAUACAAGAGUUCAACAAUACACAUAAAUAUCAAAUAAGAAUCCAUUUGAACAAUAGUGACGCAAAAAUAAAUUAUAUUUUAAAAAAAUUGGAAGAAUUGACAGAUAAUUGGAAAUGUAAGCUUAUUUUACUAUCCCUGAAAAAUGAUGGCUACAAGUUUUCCGUUUGAUUGGUAAAGUAUUAGGUAUUUAUAAAUGCACUUUGGUAUACUUCUAUUUCAGCUCAAACAUCUAAUUUGAAAUCGUAAAUCUUUAUUUCAAACACAAAACCAUAUAUGUUCUUAAUUUUGGCCAAUUAAAAGCCAUUCAAUUAGAAAUCAAAUAUAAUAAAGUAUAAACCCAUCUAAACCAUCGAGUCAUUGAUUUAACUAAUACCAUUCCUGGCAAACCAAAAAAAAAUCAGAAAUUAUGGCACACAAUAGUUAAAACGACACUCAAGAAUCCAAAUAGACUAUUAGUCAAAUAGCCUUAAAUUAACUUGGAAUUAUUAAGAUGCAAAACCUUAGAGAGAUAUUGAGCGGCAACAGAAGGAGUGAUUGACAGCAAAAACCGUUCCAAAUUACACGAAGGCCUCAAUGCCACCUUUUUGGACACCUCCACGGCUACUGAUUUCUCCUCUCCGGUGCCUCCGGCAGGACUCUCAGCCUCCGGCAACUGUGGAGAAUGGCUAACCGUAACAUCACUCUGAGCUCUCCUCAAAUUAUCUUGAUUCUGACUCUGAUUCCGACUCCGGCGAGCCCUCGCACUAUAAAACCGAUCUUCUCCAUUUCUACUCCUAUUAAAUUGCAAUCCAGCCCCCAACAUCCUCUACAAUACAAAACCCUAACAAAAAACUAAAAUUUCGCGCUUCACCCCCUCCUUUAAACCCUAUCAGUAUCUUUACACCUUAAUCUACCUCGGAAAAACUAUGAUUAUCUCUAGAUGAUAACACUCAAGGCUUUAUCUAUCAAAAUAUCAAAUUUAAGGAAAUAAAUCCAAGAAAGGCCAGAAAUUGAUAACUUUAGGAACGAUUUUGGAGGUCGACGAAUUUGAAUAAAACCCUAGCAAUGUUGAAAUAGAUCAAAAUCGCAGGGCCGGGGAAUCCCCUUGGAUAUAUACGUAGUUGUGUGUAUAUAUGCGGUGUGUGUCUGUGCGUGGGGGAAUAGGUAGAUGAUGAAGAGGUGAAGAGACACCAGGUCGAAAAAGGUUGUUGGGAAGAAGAUGGAGAAAUUGGGAAUUGAAUGAAGAGAGAGAAAAGAAGGAAGAAUGGAGGAGCAACGCAAAGGUGUUCUGAAAUGGAAAAAUGGAUGGGUAGGGAGAACUGGGCAGCAGUGGGGAAGAAGAAAACAAGUAAUUUUUUUUUUUCUAUUUUUUUCUUUUUUGAGAGUUGCGUGAUAAUUUCGAUAAUAAUGAAUAAAGCAUCUUUUCUUUUUAUUUCUUUCCCUUUCUUUCACUCCAAAAGUUGCCUAAAAGUUCGAAAUGUUUUGUAGAAGGAUAAAGCUUCAAAAUAAUGUUUACAUUUUUAGCAGUUUAUAGAAAAAAUGGAUUGUAACGACUUGAUAUAUGUGAUAUAGAAAGAUAAUUGAGAGAUAUUUUUAUAAAAAAUAUUAAAAUUUUUUGAUGAAAAAAUGCAAUCCAAGCAAAGUAACAAAUAUCUUGUACAUUAUGCAAAAAAUUUUUGAAAUUUUAGUGUUUGUCAUCCUUUUUUCUACAUUAGUACGAGGAAAAGUUGAUGUCUUUUACGUUAAUCAUACCUUCUCUUUUAGUAUAAGAUAGAAUGAUCUUUAGGCCAUGAUAAUUUGUUAUUUCUUUAGUUGGAUGCUUUUCAAGUUGGUAAUAAUUGGUUUUUGGUUAGGGAUUUGGAAAACUUUGAAUAUAUUAGAUUCUAAAGUAGACAUUUUCACAGUUAUUGUUACUUAAUCUCAUUGAUUGUAAAGGAUGGUGCUCUUUCAUCUUCAUUUAAAUCUAGCAUAUUUUAAAGAAUUAGCCAUCUUGUAGUUUGAUGAAAAUAUUAGUAGGCAUUAAUUGUCUCAUCAUGACAAGGGUAAUUUUUUUUUCCCCGGUUUGGAAGGGCAUCCCGAAAUCACCCAGACUAAUCCGUAGAGUUUCUACCUUGUUUCUACCUUACUGUAAUUACAGACAAUCAGUCUCAGCCGAGCUACCCAUAAGGGGCUAAAAUAUUAUACACAAGUGAUAGAAAAGUGGCUCGAACACACGAUCUCGGGACCUAACUAGACUACUCCGAAACCAUCCGAACCAACUCCAAGGAGCGACAAGGGUAACUUAAUUAAUAUUAGGAUUUUUUUUCCUAACUAUAUGGGGCGUAUUUAUUAGUAUAUUUAAAUUAUGCUUGAGUAAUCAUUUGAAUGCAUUCACAGUUAUUUCACCCCUUUUAUUUAACCUCUUUUCCAAAUUCAAUUUACUUUUACGAAAAAAUUAAUAUCUGAUACCUCUCUUAAUGUACGAUUGAAAAUAUACCUCUCUUAAUAUCUCCUACCUUCUCUUAUUUGUAAAUUUACUUUUACAAAAAUAAAUAAAUUUACUAUUUGUAUAGGUAUUUUUUAAAAAUUUUAAAGAAAAGUGUAUUGUAAUGAUUUGAUAUAUGUGAGAUUGUUAUAGGAUUUUCCUGUAACACAUAUGCGUAAAUAAAUAGUGUCCAAUAGUUUACAGAGUGAAACAAGCAAAACUUAUAAAUAUCUAAUCAUGGCAUACGAUAGUAUUUAGAUAUUUACUAGAAGUGCUAAAUGAAAGCAUAGAAUAAGAUUUUUAUAUGUCAUCGAUUGCUUAUACUAACAUUUCCAUAAUGUUUGAUCAUUCUUCUUUGCACGAAUGCAAAACUAAAGAAAGGAUAAUUGAUAAAACUUCAUCUCAUUUAAAGCAAACGAUUAAGUGGUAGGUCAUGAUAACUAAAAGAGAUAAUCUAAAAAUGUUAUUUUGCAAAAGAAAUUAACUAUUUAUUUUGCUAAUUGUGCAGGAUUUUCAACACAUUGCAAAGUGAACUAUUUGAUGUAUAUAAUGAUGCAAAAUGUCACACGUAAAUCCAAAUCUAGUCAUUCAAAGUGGCAUCAUAACUCUGAAGUAAUUGCCAAAUAUGACCAUGUUCAACAGUGCUAAUGUACAUGACCAAAACCUAUGUCGUCACCAGAGUUUACAAUUUUGCUAUUCCUUUCUUCUUCUCACGGAUACACUAAUAAAAGAAGUUCAAUAGCAAAAUUGCCAAAUUCUUAUGUCGUCAUCGUUUCCUUUUUUUUAAAUGGUACCAACUAGCAAUAGUCAAAUCGACAAGUAAGUGGUUGAAAAGAAUCAAUGCACAACAAAACGCUGUUAAAUCUAAUAUUUUUUCGUUUAUAAUACUACUUAUUGUCAAAUUGACACUUGAGUGUUUGAAAAGAAAACAAUACUACACAAACCGUGUAGAAAAUUUGCUUAUUUUGCUUCUUUAGUCAAGAAGCCACCAUCAUUUUUUGUCAAAGAAAAACAAAUGAAAGAUGCCACCAAUUUUGUCUAAACAAGUGAAGAAUAUGUCUACUCCAAACAAAAAAAAAUGUAAUAUCAGCUGUAACUAUUUUGUUUACUUCUAAUUAUUUAUUUUUGAGAAAAAUAGAUAGAAAAAGAGAACCAAAGAGAGUAUAGAUCAAUUUUGUGUGGCAGGUCGUAGGAAAGAGAACAAUCACCGACCACUUGAUUAAACAUAAAUUAUUAUCUGAUUGAGAAGCUUAGAACACCGACAAAGCACCGCUUUGAUUGGUCAGAAUCUGAGACAUAUGGAUUAGUCAACUAUGACUGAGCAUAAUAUGCUGACACGUGUCAAUAGUCACGUUCCUGGUCAGGUGAUGAGCGAAGAACGAUGAACAAUAGGUCAUUUUCUUAUCUAAAUGUAUUGCUCCGAGGGCAGUGGACCCUACCCCUAUCUUCCAAUGGCUAAUUGGUGGGACGUCGCGUGAAGCAACGCGAUCCAAUGCGGACGGUGGCGAAAAAGUUGGGGAUACGUCUCCCCAGUCCCCACGUUCGACGCCAUCCGGACAAGCGACAGUCCGAGGGUUAUCUGUCUGAUCCGACACCUUUAUCUUCACGCCCUCCAGGGUGCGUGCAAUUUACUCUUCGCUAUGUUUGGAUUAGCACUGCUUGAAGGAUUUUUUUGAAAUAUUUUACUGUCGUAUUAUAGGUGAAAAAAUUUUAUUGCAAAUGAGUUUGCUCUUUGAGAGUGUUUUUGAUGUUUUAGAUUUUUUUUGGUAUUUUUGAGGUUUUUUUUUUGUAUUUUUUGGUAUUUUUGAGAUUUUUUUGUUUGUAUAUUAUUGUAACAUUGUACAUGAAAAACUUGUUUUAAAAAAAAUGAUGAAACCAAACGGAGCUCUUAUUAUAUAGUACUACUGUAUUCGUAGACCAGAUCAAAGGUUUUUUCAAGUCAUAAUUACUGUUAGACCCUUUUAAAUUUUUUUUUUGAAAGUAGCACCUUUCGAGAUGUAAAACAAAAGUUUAUUACUUUCCCUCAGAAAGAAAUUAUCUCCCUCCAUAAAAUUAGUUUAAAGAAAAUUUAUAUAUUAAGUUUACCAUGGUUGAUGAUGCUUAAAAAUUAUUUACUGCUCAAUAUUGUCAAAUGACCAAUCCUUCUUAUACCACAAGCAAUAAAGUCUUCCCAUGAGAUAUGAGCCCCUUGCCAAUUUAAAAGUAGAAUGUCAUAGAGUCUUAAAGUGAUCGAAAUCUAGAAGGCAUGAGACAAUUUGUAAUUUAGUCAAAAUAACUUCUUGGGGUUUUCAAAGCGGUAAUAUGGAAGAUAUAAAUUGCAAUUCAUAAAUGGAUUAAUUAGAACGUAAUUGCUUCAGAUACUUCUUGUCGGGCGGUUUGUGUUUUUAAUAAAUGGCCAGGAUAGAUAUUUUGAUCAAUUUAGAAUUUUGAGGUGCAUGUAUUCAUUGCUUUGAUAAUUGCACGAUCUAAUCAAUCUUUUUAAUAAUCUUAAUCAGACUUGUGGCUGCAUUCUGCCGCGCGCUGCUCUUCUUAUUAAAAAACAACUUAAAGUGAAUUAGCGAUCCAAGAUUCUAUACUUUAGUAUGGGGAUUGCAUGCAGUGCCUCGUGGUCAUUGGGUUAAAUUAAUUGAAGGUAUGCAAUUUGUUCAAUAUUUUAAUUAAGGAACAUUAGGGCUAAUUACCUUUUGGUAUUCAGAUUAGUGAUGUCAAAUGAAAGUAUGUUUUAUUUCACCUACUACAUGAAUUAAGCCUCUUUCUCUUUGUUGGCGUGCUCCAUCAUGAUACUCUAUAUAAUGUAAGUCCAUUAUCUUUGGCAAAAGUUGCACUUUAAAGACCUUUUUUUUUUUUUUUGGAAAGGAUUGUACUUUAAAGACAUGAAUCAUGUGCAUUGAAAUGUCUAAUUUUUUUUAAUGAUUUAAAAUUAAUUCAGAUAUUUCUCCUUUGUUUAGAUUGUUAUUUUUUAAAAAAAAAUUACUUUUUUUUAAUAAACUUAUUUUUCGAUACUUUUUCAUCUCAUAUAUAUCAAAUUAUUACGAUAUAUAUAUAUAUAUUUUACAAAAAUUUCAAAAAAUAGCAAUACAAAUGGGUAAAUGUCUCCUUCUUGGUUUUUUCUUGAGAAGCCAAGUGUGAUGCUCCAACGGUCCAACUUAAUGCCAUGGAACCACAUUAGUACGACGCCUAACAAGUUUCAAAGGUGACAUUUAAUGAUUGAAACUAUAGCACAAAUUGGAUCUGAUAUGAUGCUAUAAGUUAAGUAGGAGAUGACCGCAGGAGUAACUGGUGGAUACAAUUUUACGAAAGGCUGAAGUUUCAUCUAACCUGCUUGACCAAGCAAAUAUCCUCUAUUUUCAAUUUGUUGGUGAAAUUGUACAUUUUACGGUCAGCAAAUGUCACAGAAUGCCUACCUGAUCAUUUAGCCUAGUAUUGAUGCCCUUGUUUGUAUGGUCCAUCUACUUGGCCAAACACUGGGAAUCAUGUAUGCCUGGCUGAUUGCAAUUUGACAUAGACGGAUGCAUGGGGCUCAUUUAUGGUCCUCCAGGAGAAAAAUUCAGAAACAGGAAGAAAUGGAUGAUUCCUUCUUUUUCUUUUUUUUUUUUCUGUUUGUUUUUGGUUUAGAAUUCUACUUACUCUCGGGCUUAUGUACUCCAUUGCAACCCCAAGAAAAAAAAAAGAAUAAAAGGCUUUACAAAAAGAGUUUUCAAUGAGAAUUUCUCUUUUUCUUUUUCCUUUUUAAUUUCUUUGGGAUAAAGUGAUGGACAUUCAAUCAGGAUGAGAUAGGGGUAAAAAGUUCAGCGACUACCAAGAACUUUUCUAGAUGGAGUAUCUGCUGCACAAAUACUCAAGACCCCAUGCAGUGGCCGGGACCAACGACACUGGAGCCUUAGUAGUGAUGAGUCUUGACUUCUUUCUAAGCUUUUAGUGUAUUAGUAUUAGAUUAGAAAGGGUGGUUGUUGAGAGUUUGAAACUGGAAAGAUAAGGUGGAUGAUAGAUAAUACACCUUCUGGUCUUAGCAGAAACACCAAAGAAGUAUGAACAAACUCAACCAAACAGCAUAUCCCACAGGGCAUCAUGCUUGAUACCAUAUCAAAAGUAGGGCUUGCAAAAAAGUCAAGUCAUGAUCUAUCAACAUGAGAGCGACACAUCUUAUUCUAGCUUAUUGUAACUGUGGUUGGUGAUUAAUAUUUAUGACCCUUGCCAUUGUUUAUGGCAGCUGUUAAUGUCACAGUCUAAAUUAUUUUAUUUAUGUGAUCAGUCUCGUUUUAAAAUUUCAAAAUUUCCCUUCUUAAACCAUAAUGCAAGUUUGGCUUGUAAGGAGGAAUUUUGCCAUUUUAAUCAAAAUUGAUAGGGAUGUAAAUUUGGGAUGUGGCAAUAUCAUUUGAUAUUGUUUAUUCUACAAAUUAAAGAAGUUCGAUUCCAUUUCGCAGUUCUUUCUUGACAAAUGGGCAGUCAAAAUCUGUUGGUAGACAAAGCAAUCUACGAGUUAGUAUUCUAUAAUAUCAGCUCGUGGAGCUUAAAUUAUUUCAAGCCCCACAUGUUAAGAGCAACUGGGAAAAGCUUUCAAGACCAUGAAGUGUGGUCUUCAUGUGUUGGGAUCAAUAAUGGCGAAGAUGAUUCGUUAGUGGGGAACAUGGCUAUGGAAGUCAAGGCAGUUCAGCCCAUCUUAGCAACGUCCUAUAUGAAAUCUUAGAGCUUCCAUCGUGCUAGGGUUUCUACAUCUGCAACAAUCUGGAGUUUGAUCUUAAAGUCUUUCAAGUCUAAAUUUUACUGGUUUGCUGCAAUAUGUAUAUAUUGAGGCUGACAUUGUACAAAACCAUUUAGACGAACCUUCAUUUUUGUAGGUGAGAAAAUCUUCAUUUCACUGUAUUUUGCAGUAACGCUGCCUGGUGAAGCAUUAACCACUCACCAAGAAUUAGCAGCUCACAUCUCUUCAUUCAAUACACCCUUAAAUUCGAUUGUAUUCGGUUUCUUCUUCGCAUCGAGAUAAGGCGGUGCUAAAAAGUAUAGUCUUAUUAAAUGUCUCUUGCACUAUUAUCUUUCUUGGAUCACAUUAAAAGUUCAUACAAGAAUUGUGGUAAUAAUCAUAACAGCUCCAGAGCAGCUAAAUAGCAAUUCCCUGAACAACUGCUGAUGGCUGUGCCAUACAGCUCCCAGAUCGAACACUAUAUUAUACAAGUUCUUCGCAUUGACCAGCCAAUUACCUGAAUCCUGAGUAUUUCUUAAUACGGAUGGAAAGCUUUUGAUAGAACAUGCAUUAGGAAGAAUUCAUACUUGAAACUAAAGAGUGUGGUUUAGGACUAUUUUCAAUUUUUUUAGUUUUCGAUGUUGGUAAUUCUUGAAGGGUUUGGCUAAUGGGGUAUUUUGUGGGCAUUCGUUAAGAAAUACCCGAAGUAUUUAUGUUGUUGCAAAAGUGUAACUAAUUUGCGAAAGUGUCUAAAUGUAGAGGAUACGAUAAAUGUAAAUGUGUGCAUUCAUAUAAUACUAUGUGUAUAGUUUAGAUAUGUUAACGAAUAUCUAAUGGAUAAUUGAUUAAAAUGCUCCGUUCUUGAAAGGUUGGUUCAACCAAUGUGGCCUGAAAAUAAAUAUUCCUAAAGAUCCUUUAAGCAAUAUUUGGAUUGCCAUUUUUCUCCAAAGAAUUUUUAUAUUUUUUAUAAACAUAUUUUUAUCUCGUAUAUAUCAAAUUACUAUAAUAUACUUUCUACGUACCUCCAUAAAAUAGCAAUCCAAAUGGGCUUCCAAAAAUAAAAGCUAAACUAAGAAAACCUUUUCAUUGUUAGGUUGUACUUUGCGACUUCAAUUUAGGCAUCUGAAAGAUUAUGCCUUCUUUGGGCCCAGAAAUCAAGAAUCCUAGAAUUGCAAGUCCAUCUGAAAAUAGUAUUGUACACAAACAAGACAACGAAACGGGCCAUGAUCAUUGCAAAGUGCACGCUUAGGGCCCAAAUCACUUGGCAUCUAAUAUUUUUUUUUUUGUCCUUGAAAACUUAGACUUUUGAUAACUAAAGUAAACCCUGAAGGAGACCUCAAAAGCCGGAAACUAGUGAGGUUCCUUCAGGACCUUAACUACCCAAACCCCAAACCCUCCCGAACCGAUGUGGGAUAGAAACCCCACAGGGCACUUGGCAUCUAAUAUCUCUUGUGAUUUCCUACUUUUUGACGCGUUCACAACAAAAUUAUCCAUGAUUUGCAUCCAAAAUACACUUAAUUAAUGAUCCAAAUUUGACAUUUUAUUGCGUAUGCCAACCCAAUUACUUAGGAGCAUUGAUUGAUGACUCCUAUACAUCGAUAAUCCCACUAAAUUUUCUUUAUCCAGCUAUUUGGGGUUGCAAUUCUGUAAAAGUAUAUAGCUCAAAACAAAGGUAAAUAAUUUAAAACUGUUUUAAAGUUUAUUGCACUCUGGCAAAAUAUACGUAAGAAGAACUACUUUUUUAGUUGCAUUAGCAAUCAAAAUUUAAUUUAAGUUUUAAAAAAAAAAUAUAAUUUCAUGUAUUGAGUGUGGUUCAGAAAAAACGGAACUUAAAUUGACAGCAUAUUUUUUUGGAAAAUGGAAAAGCAGCAUCUGUUGGCAGUAUAUAGAAAAAGCAUAAAAAGGAAAAAAAAAAAACGUUUUCCGUAUAUACAGUUGUACGUAUAUUCUGAUCAUGAACCUACAGUUUACGCGCUAUAAUUCCACCUGUCGCCAGUAUCAUUGGAUUAGUCUACCAAGUGAUCAAACUCUAAACAUGGGAUUGACUGGUCCAUUUUUUUGGUCAAACUUUCUAAACAGCUAGCAGUUCAAAGUCAACACAUUUUAAAGACUAAGAGGUCCAACACCAACUUACUCUUGGGAUAUGAUUAGACAUUAGAGUACUUAUAAAAGACGAUCAGAAUAAAGUAAUCAACUAGAAUUAAAGAAGGUUGCUCCAUCGUGCGUUCCACUAUUAUACCAUAUGAAUUUUCUUGGUAUUUUAGUUAGUCUUGAUAUAAUGUGCUAAACUUUUGUUUGUCAAGCGAGAGACAGGAAUUAAUGAGGUUUUUGUUUACUUUUUAGUCCCUUUAGAAUUUUCAAAAACAAAUAAGGGCAUGUCAAAAGAUUUCUUGAGUUAAAAAAUAGUUAGAAUUGACUUGUCAAAGAAAUUAUCGUUAAAACCAUUGUACACGGAAAUCUCGUGAACAAACACAAAGUGCUCCUUUUAUGUUAAUAGGGACGAGAAAUCUCUUCCUCUUGUACUAUUGUUUACACUUUUCCUUGUCACUUAUGCGUGGUGAUAAAUUUAGGAAUUGAAGCACUUUUUGCUUAUUGGCAAAACUAAUACCAGGGAAAGAUUGGUAAACUAUAUAUAUAUAUAUAUAUAUAUAUAUAUAUAUAUAUAUAUAUAUAUAUAUAUAUAUAUAUAUAAAAUUGUUCAAAACAUCCCUCAUAUUUUGUAAAAUAACUUUUUUCAUCCCUCACUUUUAAAAGUGUAAUUUUACGUCCCUUACAAAUUCACAUUGAUCAAAUUUGAUUUCUACCUAGAUUUUUUACUAGUUUUUGGCCGAAAUCCAUCAUGUGCCUUGCACGUAGAGAUGUCAAAAUGGGUGACUUGGGCGGGUUUGGGUUGGGUAAAAUGGGUAAUGGAUAUAAGUGAGUCAACUCAUUUAUACCCAUUUAAUUAGAUGGGUAUAAAUGGGUAAGUCAAAAAAUGAAUUGGGUAACCCAAUUACCCAUUUAUAACUCAUUUAUUUUAACUUUUUGCAAACUCAUUUAAAUUCAUUUUUGCAAACUAAGUUAUCAAUUUAUACCACUCUUUGUACCAUCAUUAGUUUUAAAUAUUUACUUAUAAUGUUCAAUAAACUUAAUUACCAAUUUUUUUCAUUUAUACUCUAUGUCACAAAAUUACCUAUUAUUUAAUAAUUGAAUAAUACGAAUAUAAAAAUUUGAAUUAAGUACUAUAAAAAUUAAUAUAAAAACUUAAUCCAAAAAUUUUGAACCCCUAACAUUUUUUUCAUAUAUAAAUUUAAAAUUUCAUUUUAUAAAGAUAAGAAAAUAGGCUAAAAUUUAUCAUAAAUUGGUAAUGCUAAAAAAUGAGCAAGUUAACAAACUAAGAAAAAAUAAAAUAAUAAGAUAAAACCAACAAAUAAUAAUAAUAAUAAUAAUAAUAAUGUUAACAUAAUGACAAAAUGAAAAAUUUGAAAAAAAUAAGGUAGGGGAAAAGAAGAGACUUGGGGAAAGAGAAUUUUAAAUGGGUUAAUUGGGUUUGAUGGGUUACCCAAUAAUACCCAUUUAAUAAAUGGGUAUUAUUGGAUAACUCAUUUAUACCCAUAUACAAAAAUUUAAGAUACCCAUACCCAUCUAUUCAUGGGCGGGUAUGGAUAAAUCUAGUUAAUUGGGUUGAUUUGCCACCUCUACUUGCAAGUGAUAAUUUUUGAAGGGUAAAUUUGUUAAAUCAAAUUUCACAUAAUUUGAUUUUUUCAUCCCUCACAUUUUUCAAAAUGAAUUUUUUCGUCUCUCACAUUUCAAAAAAUGAAAAAAAUGAAUUUUUUCAUCUCUUAUUGAUCAUGUGUACGAAUGGUUUCUUUUUUCCUUUUAAACCCAUAAAUAUAUCUAUUUAAUUUUACUUGAACAAUAAGAAUAUAUCUGUAUUUGAUUUCAUCUACAACUACAAUUAGCUUAUUCAGGUGAAAUUAAAUAAAGAUAUAUUAUAUGCUAUUUGUAUUGUUCAGGUGAAAUCAAAUAGGCAUAUAUAUGAGUUUUCAAAAAUAAGAAAAGACCAUCACACACAUGAUCAAUGAGGGAUGAAAAUUUUUAUUCUGCAAAAUGUGAGGGAUGAAAAAAUUUAUUUUGUGAAAUGUGAGAGACUAUGGAUCAGAUUAUAUGAAAUGUAAGGGACUAUGAAUCAGAUUAUUUGAAAUGUGUUUGACAAUUUUGCCCUUAAAAAAUAAUCAUGUGCAAGACAUGUGGCAGAUUCCAGCCAAAAUUAAUCGAAAAUCUAGAUAGGAACCAAAAUUGAUCAAUGUGAAUUUGUAAGGAACGUAAAAUUAUAUUUUUAAAAAUAAAGGACGAAAAAAAGUAUUUUACAAGGACAUUUUGAACUGUUUUUCCAAAAAAAUGCAAGAAAAAAUUGGGAAAGAAGUUUUUUUUUUUCUUUUUUGGUCGAAUUGACCUGGUGGAAGACAAGUUAUAGGAUAUCACUUAUCACUUUGCUUGCCACUAAAAUGAUGGAAGAUGGAGAAACAGAUUUAGCGGCAAAUUUGUAGGCAUCAAAGGUUAGUGGAACGCUACAUUAUGAUGCAUAGCAUCCUGCUUCCCGUCCUUUAGGUUCCAACCAAUCGUGGUCUAGAUGAAAAUAAAAAAAAAAAGUUAUUUACACUCCUAUUUUUAUUAUUCAUUCUUUCACUAUCAUUUUAAUUAUACAGUUUUUAUUUAUUAAAUUAUAUGAUAAAACAAAUGAUAGGACUGUAAAUAACAAAAAAAAAAUAAAAUGUAAAUAACAUUUUUCAAAAUUAAUUGAUGAAUACAAUGUCUGAAAUGAUGUACAACUCAAGGAAAUGGGAACCCAUUUGUCACUACACAUCUAAAGAAGGAAAAAUCAAUUUGUCACCACUUAAUCAUAUUCUCCCAUUGAUUUUCUCUACCUACUCUUUGUGGCUCCCUACGUAUGAUUGUACAUAUCCUAACUUAUAUGUUUUACUAUAUGUCAAUUUUCAUUACAGUAUUUGUUAGUAAUUCAUUAUAAUAUUAUUCAAUUAACUGUUUUGUUAUAAUCUGUACGUAUUGAUUGUACCAAUGUGGAUUAUCAAAAUGAAAAAAAAAAAGAAGAAGUAUGCAUAUUACCAUGGUUCUGCUUUCUUUGCUCAAUUUUCUGUUAAAACUGCUUAUAGAAUAUAUAUUCUUCCUUUUGCAAGACUAGUAGCCAAGGUUUUUCGGAAUUAGAAACGUAAAAUGGGAAAUUAGUUUUUUGGGCUAUCCCUUGUUUAGCUCAUUAUCUUCUACUAUUAAUUGUAAAACUUGAUUAUAAUAGUUCUUUGAAUAACCAUGAUGAUAAUUAGAGCAAUUCUUGUUUCUAAACCUGCAACGAACAAGACCUUUGCUGCCUAUUGGAAGUAGGUAGCAAUGAUUUCCAGCUUCCAAUGGUUGAAUUUCAGCAGUUCACAGUAUGAACCCAGAGACAAGAAAAUGUUGACUAGGCUUAAUUCAAGAAGAAAAAUCUGAUAAAUUGAAGAAAAUGAGGUAGACCGUCAAUAAAAGAUGUCGGUGUGAUGUUAUAUAUUUCUCCUCCUUUCUUCGUACGAUAUUACCCGUUGAAUAAAACAUAGCUGAAAGGAAAAAAAAAAAAAAGUCAGCUAUUUUCCUUGAUUUUGCUAUUCAACUGAUCGUUUGAAGAUUCAUCCAGCAUUUCGUUUUGGAAUAUUGAAUACCCCAUUACCAUUGAAAAAAAAAAAAAUUACUCCAUUACUUCCAGAAUUCGUGGGCUGAGCACAGUUAUUUCUCAUGGAAAAAGAAGCCUUGUGGAAAAUAUUUCCCAGUUGUUAGAAGUCAGAAUGAUUGAUUUGGCUCGAUUCAAUGGACAGUGAAUUUCUUACAGUUCCACUUCAAUUGUUCAAUACUUUGUUUCAGUCAUGAAGAAAAAAAAAAGUCUUCAAUUGGAAUGUACAAGUCUAUUUAGUCACCUGCUUUUCUAUUUAAGCUGAUAUAGGAUAGGUGGAUAUCAUUUGCAAAUAAAAUGUCUAGUUGCGUGUUUUACCGGUGUUUAUCUUUGGUUUUGCAAAACUAUUUUGCUUUUACAACGUAUAUAACACUAGUCAUUUUCGUGUUUAGGAUUAUCCGACUUUUUGAAUUGGGGUUUGACAAGUCCAAAGUCGACUUACGAAAAAAAAGAAAAGGAAAUUUCAAGUUUUUGGAUUUCAAAUUUCAAGCUCAUAUUAUGAGAUUCAUAUUCGACUCAGAGAGACAUUAUUGAUGUUUUGAACCUAUUUCGAUUGUAUCAAUUAUCUCAGAAUAUAUAUUAAUUUUUUAUGUUACAAUGUGUAUAAUAUAAAUUUAUACAAUGUUGUAUGUAUUAUGUAUUUUUGUACAGAUAAUUAUUCCAGUCAAACUUUAAUCUAACUCAACCCGUUAAAACAUGACUAGUUUUUUUUUUUUAUUUUGAGCCAAACAGGUCGAGUUGAGGCUAACUCAACCCGUUCACGGUGUUCGGGUGUCAAACGUGUCGUGCCCGUGGACUACAAAUCAUGAAGCCAAUACUAAAGUAAAUAGAUUAUGCUUUCACUAAUUGCGUUGGACCUGUCACCUGUGACCUUAAAGAAUAUACAAUUGCAUCGUCAAAACAAAGAGUAUAAUAUAUGCUCUCUCUGGCCAGCAUGUUAAUGUCCCGCUGUACAAAGAAGGAAUUCUCUUGAAUAGACUAACCUUUGUGGUUCAGAAAAAUAGAAGGGGGACUAACCUUUGCGAAUUUUUGACUAUUCCUCCCAAACAAACAAGUACCUUAUUUAACGCCUAUUCCACACGUUGCACAAUGGUCAUCGCUUGCAUCAUCAUUAUCAUUCGUUUGGUUUCCUGCACUUUCCAUAAACAACUGUGAGAAGAAAAGUUGUUCUUCCAACUGCUCUUGUGCACGUUUCGUUUGGUUUAUUACGGGCAAAAAGAGCUUGAACCAAGACCACACAUGUACAAGUUAAUAAUUGGUUUUCUGCUCCUUGUACGACAAAAUAUUUACCUAGUUUGGAAAAUGUGGGAAAAAUGAAAACUUUAACAGACGUCAGUGGGGAUUAACGAGAGUUGAUAAAGGGGUAUUGCAAGAAGUCUAGAACUCGUAUGUAUGUCUUGGCCCAACGAGGUUUAAGCUGGUCAAACAUUUUGUGGUUGCUGAAUGCGUUUGUGUGGAUGGCAGACGUCCACGGGUAUGGAUUUCAUUUGGGAAAAUUGGGAUUGAACAUCACCCGGGAAACCUAAUUUUGAAGUGAAUUCUCAAUCAUUUUAUUUUGGAAAAAAGAUUUUUUUUUUCUCUUAAUAAGCCCUAAGCCCUUUGCCCUUUGGUUUGAUCUUCCCUCAGAGUAACAAAUGGCCCUUGGUCUCUAAAUUACAACUAGUAGUAAAAUUUAAAUAUGAGAAAGAGAAAUACAUAGUAGGAGUGAAACGCGAAUCAAACUAUUCGAUGUUUUGAAAUAAGUUUGUUUUGAGUAGAAACUUAGUUUAUCAAUUAAUUAAACUAAAUAUGAACACCAUUUGAUGUUUCAACUUAAAUUUUGAUCGAUUGGUAAUAAAACUUGAAAUUUAUAUAUAAAAAAUUUGAACUGCUCAAGCUCAAUUUAACAAGAACUCAUUUGAGUUCAACUCUGUAAUAAAGAAAAAAAAUCAAAUUUAAACAUAAUUUUAAAUUCGUUAAACUAAACAAAUAAAGUUAAAUAUUAGAGUGUCGAUUUAAUUAGUUUUUUACUUCUCUGGGCAAGGGGAGUAUACACAAAUAGUAAUAAUGAGAAUUAAAAAUUACUAGAAAACUUGAUCAAUGACCAUGGUAUGCAGUUCUCAAACUUCAUGGUCCAAUUGUCUCAGAGGGCCCACAGAAAAUCACAUCUCAGAAUACCAAUAAUAGUUGGUAAGUGCAUCGUAUUCAAGUAUGCAUCUGUAGCAUAAUCCUCUUCAAUUUCUAAAUCUUGAAUCUCAAAGCACAUUUUUCUGCUCAAAAGUGAAACCUAUUCCCUUCAGCUUCAGCAGACGUGUAGAAUGAGCUCUAGAAUGCGCCAUUCAAUCAACAGAAUCAAUAAAGUACUGGACAUAUACUUGCAAAAUGGACCACUGACUUUGUUACCGUCUUCCACUUGCUCUACAGGCUACAGGUUCUUCGCAAGUUGAAGGGGCUUUUCAUAACUAAAUGAGUCGUAAAUGCGAAAAAACAGUAGCCUCAUGGCCAAGAUCAACCGGGUAGUAAUUGCUCUUUUCUUCUUAAAACUCAAAAGGGCAUUUCGAAAGCAAGAGAUGUCUGUCAGACUAUAAACUGACUUUUCCCUUUCAAGUGUAUCAUCAUUAAUCAAUGCUGUGGACGUUCAAUAUAUCGGACACAAGAAGAGCAGUCAAUUCAUCAAAUUUUCUUAUGACAUAUAAAAAAUAGAAAUCCGUUUUUUUUUUCCCCAGUUUUCAACUGCUAUAUAUUGUAAAUCCAUUAGUCUAAGAUAUAAGGCAGACAUGGACAGCCAGCCACUUGUGUCACAGUCCAUUUACUAAGUCAAUCCAUCUUCUUUUCAUAUACUCGCAUUCAAAUUCUCUACCUUCCUUCUGAGUUUAUUUCUUUCCGACCACAAUAAUGUAAUAAACCAGUUAUCUUCUGAUCUCUCUGACUCAAUAUCUUCCAUUAGUUCAUGAUUCCAGGUGCACCAAAGCUCUAGUGGCAUGUAUAGUUCCGUAGAAUUCUUUAACUUAUGCAUAUUCUUUUUCAUCCUUCUGGUAGAAAAGUCCUCUGCUGCUCAUUACCAGUAUGAAGCAUGUGUUCCAAAAGCUUGUGGAAAUCUCAGCAUAAAGUUUCCAUUCCACAUUCGAGGUCUGCAAGAAUCCUAUUGUGGCCACCCUGGAUUUGAACUCACUUGCAGCAACUCUCCAGCGAUUCAUUUAACCGAAGAUGUCUAUGUGAUUGAUAACAUUCAGUAUGAGAAUCGAACUUUUCGGGUACACAACGAGGCAGUUUCAAAUGUCGGAGGUUGUCUACCACAGAUUAGAAAUAUAUCAGAAGACUCUCAGCUCGGUAUAGUUGAUACUUCAAGACUUCAUUUGCUAUCAAACUGCAAUAGCAAACUGCCUGAGGUACUUUCCAGCUACAAAGUUGAUUAUUGUGAUCCUUUUAAUAGAGAGGAUUUGGGUCUGGUAAUGUUAGGAGAGGAUAAAAACUUGAACAUUGCACUCCAAGAAUGUAACACAAAUGUCUUGGCACCUGUGGAAGUUGAUAAAAAUGGAGGAAACGGGAUUGUAGACUAUGAAGGGCUGUUGAGAAAGGGAUUUCUGUUGAACUGGAAAGUAGCUGACUGCAGCGAAUGUGAGCGAAGUGGUGGUCGUUGUGGCUUCAAUGAAACCGAUGAUCGCAUGCGGUGUUUUUGCCCUGAUAGUCCUCAUUUGGGGAAUUGUAAACCUCGUAAGUACUUUGACCCCUUUAUGAGUAUUUUCUCCAAAAGGGUUCAUUAUCAUAUAUUGCUGCAAAAUUCAAGUGAAUUCACUGAACUUCACAUCAGGCUUGCCCUCUAGAAAAGUUGCUCUUGUGUCCAUUGUUUGAGCAGCCAUUUGAUCUGCUGUCCUAUUGAUUAAACUGAUUAAUAGGAAUACUAAUCUGCGUCAUGGUCUUCUGAUAUAUUAGUUUAAGUUAUUAGUGUAAUCCGUUUAGUGGGCUUUACGCGACAAUCAAUGGUAUUAAUUUGUAGCAGAUCUGGUUUGAUGCUUUAGCCAUACGCAACUCUGUGAUCACGCUUCACGACCACAAACCUUGAACAUCUUUUGCGUGAUCGAAGUUGCGAAUUUUUCGGCUAUGAUAUUAAGCCUCUUCCAAAGUAUCCUUCCAUUUCAUUUUCGAUUCUGCGAAAUAUCACGCUCUACAGACGCACUAAAAACCCCGAAACAAGCCAGAGUCCAGCUGAUUAUUUCUUCAGAUACCAAACACAUGACGAAUGUGACGGCCCUGAUAAUGGCUUCACCAUUUACUAUCAAACUCCACAACAUCAGGCUCCAAUACUGAACUUCAGUGGAGACAUUCAAUCACUCUGUAAAAAUGUCACUCUUCCAAUGGUUUCCAGCGACAAUCACUCAGAGAACGCCGACUUGUUUCAGUUAUUGACUGCUGAGUUCGAUCUUGAGUGGCAUCUCUCUGAAAAUUGCUCUAAUUGUCAACUUGAAGGACAUUGAGUGUCUGACUGACUGGAGUCAGCCCCGGAGAUCUGCGUUGUGCCUAUUCUAAAAAAUGCAUUUUAAUGCUCUUUUAUUAUUUGUUCUGCCUGCAUUUGUUUCUUAAUUGGCAGUAUCAAAAUCUUCUUUCGUGGUUGUUCGUCAUUCUGGAUGCAGUACAUAAUCCUUCCUAUCUUGGAACUCAAUUCACGAUGAUCAAAAACGUGAACCACAGAACUCUAACCUUAUGUGGACCUCAGAAAAUUGUUUCUUGGUAUGCAUUAACAAUUUGUAUAGAUGGUUUUAACAACUCUGUGUUUCAGGUCAUCUUGAUUGAUCAUCGUGAAUUGAGUUCCCAGAUCAGCUAAUUGUAUGUGUGAAGUGCACUUUCUUUGUUGAAGAGUCAAACGAGUCAAGUUUUUCUGUGGUUUAAGUCAUCGUGGAAAUUGGGAUGGAAAAUUCCUGCCUUUGAUAUGGACCAGCCAGCAGUUUUCCACAAGUCUUCGUUAAAAUUUCCAAGUCAACUGGCGUGACAAAGAUGGAGCUGGUUUUUCCCUUCUCGUCGUUACUUAAAGAGUACCUGAAGCUUAGCGUAUUAAAACUAAAGUAGUCCUCACGAUUUGAUUUCCCUUAGGUUCUCUGUUUCGCUUUGGUAGGUUGCUAGGUAAUAGAUAGGAAGUUUGAGUAUGGGUUUUGGAUUGUUUUUUGGUUUCUUUUUUAUUUCUCAUGUCCUUCCUCUCUCGGUCUCGGCUGAAGAAGAUAGCAAGUUCACUAAUACUACUUGCCCAGAGAGUUAUAAUUGUGGAAACCUUACUAAUAGCAAGUUCACUAAUAGCAAGUUCAUCAUUUUGUGUCUGUUAAUGGUACAUAAUUAGGCAGCAACUUUCAUUUUUCUCACCUUGGCAGUCAUGAUUCUGCUAAUUUUAUUGAUCAAGAAUGUUUCUUUCUGUUUCACUUCUUCCUUCUUUUUCACAGCCAUUUAAUUUUGUUGGGGCAGGUUGUGUUCCACGUUCCACAAUCUAGCUAGUGGUAUAGAGAUUGUGGAGAUUAGGUGCGUGAUUGGCUGUUAAAAAUCAAUUCUUGUGACAGAUUUGCAUGAAAUUGACAAGGAAUUCUUUUCUUGUUUCCUUUGUGUCUAUUUCUUCUUUUGCUUUUGAUUUUGGCCCCGGUGGUGCCACAAGGACGGGGUGCCAUAAGCUACGCUACAUCAGUCAAGUCCUUGAGAACUUUUGGGAGAAGGGGCAGUUUCAAAUAAUCUCCAUGUCUUCUCCAGUACGGGAAAACAAAAAAAAAAAUGUAAACAAGAAGCUUCCUGGUUUUGAUGUCACCUUCAACUUUUUCUGAAUGUGUCUUGACUGAUUCUUAUUACGGAACAAUGAUAUAAAAUUAGGUAGAGAUGAGAUCACACAUCCAAUUAGCUGAUCUGGGAACUCAAUUCUCGAUGAUCAAUCAAGAUGACCUGAAACAGAGUUGUUAAAACCAUCUAUACACAUUGUUGUUAAUGCAUACCAAGAAACAAUUUUCUGAGGCCCACAUAAGGUUAGAGUUCUGUGGUUCAAAAACGUGAAGUGCACUUUCUUUGUUGAAGAGUCAAGCAAGUCAAGUCUUUCUGUGGUUUAAGUCAUCGUGGAAAAUGGGAUGGAAAAUUCCUGCCUUUCAUAUGGACCAACCAGCAAUUUUCCAUAAGUCUUCGUUAAAAUUUCCACAAGUCAACUGGCGUGACAAGGAUGGAGCUGGUUUUUCCUUUCUCGUCGUUACUUAGAGUACCUGAAGCUUAGCGUAUUAAAAUUAAAGUAUUCCUCGUGAUUUGAUUUCCCAUAGGUUCUCUGUUUCGCUUUGGUAUGUUGCCAGAUAAUAGAUAGCAAGUUUUGAGUAUGGGUUUUGGAUUGUUUCUGGGUUUCUUUUUGAUUUCUCAUGUCCUGCCUCUCUCCGUCUCGGCUGAAGAAGAUACUACUUGCCCAGAGAGUUUUAAUUGUGGAAACCUUAGUGGGGUAGGCUUCCCUUUCUUCCAUUCGUCACAUUAUCCUCAUUGUGGCUUUCUCAAGCUCAACUGUGAGGCAAAGCCAUCUCCAACAAUUGUAUUUGACUUUGCAGCAGAUCAAUGGGUUGAAGCUUUAGCCAUAGGCAACUCUGCGAUCACGCUCCACGACCACAACCUUGAACAUCUUUUGCGUGAUCGAAGUUGCGAAUUUUUCGACCAUGGUGUUAUGCCUCUUCCAAACUUUUCUUCCAUUUCAUAUUCGAUUGUGCCAAAUAUCACGCUCUACGGAUGCACUAAAAACCCCGAAACAAGCCAUAACCCAGCUGAUUAUUUCACCGGAUACAAACACUAUGACGAAUGUGUUGAGCCUGAUAAUGGCUUCACCAUUUACUAUCAAACUCCACAACAUCAUGCUCCAACAUUAUACCCUAAUAAAACCAUUCCGUCAUUCUGUACCAAUGUCACUCUUCCAAUGGUUUCCAGCGACAACUACUCGGAGAUCACCGACUUUUUUCAUUUAUUCACGGCUGAGUUCGAUCUUGAGUGGCAUCUGUCUGAAGAUUGCUAUACUUGUGGCGAUGAAGGACGCGAGUGUCUGGUUGACUGGAGGCUGCCCUGGGAUCCGCGUUGUGGCUAUUCUGGAAAAGGUUAGCAAUGGUUAGACAUCAGAAGCUGUCGUAUCAACUAAUAUCCUAGAUACUUGAAUAUGCAAUAUACUUAAGCCUGGAUACAUUUACCUGUGCUCUGUUCUGUUCUGUUUACAAUUUAGUACUUCUAAGGUGAAAAUUUUUUUGGAUGUCAUUUCCUCAUGUAAGUCAUUUUUUUGGGUAGCUCAAACUCUUUCCUCUGCUUGAUCUUCAACUAGAUCGACCCCCUUUAAUCAAAGUCAUUUCAAACCUAAGGAUUAAUGUUAGCAAGUUAGCAUUCUUAUUCUGCGCGUCUCUCUGUGCACGCUCGUCCCUCCGUGAGUGUGUGUGUGUGUGUGUUUUUUUUUAUAAGUAAAUAAGAAAUGAGGAGGCGAAAAAAAGAUCAAAAUUUAUAGCGUGAUUCGAUUAGUAAAUGACUUUACAUUUGGAUAUUAGUUAAAGGGGCUUAAAUCCACUUCAGUACUUGCUGAUUUGCUAGUGAUCAUGCACCAUCCAUCUCAAUUUUAACGAAAACUUUGAUUCUUUUUCAAGGGAGUAACAGAGACUCAACAAAAACUCUUGACGGUUAGAAUGGUGCUCAAUAAUGAAUCCAAAGGAACAAGCACGAAUAAAAACGCAUUACCUACUAGUUGUUUCUCAUAUGAUCUUCUUUACUCUGCUACUCUUUCAUAAGUUUCAAUGUUACAAUGUGAAUUGCAAAGCUGCACUUUGUUUAAUGCAUGCACUUUGGAUGAGUGACUAAUUCUCCACUUAGCAUUUAGCGUAUUAUACAUGCCAGUUAUUUAUGGAGGUCUCACUGAAUAUUUCAUUACAAGCCUGAGAUUUUUAUUGCAACGGAAAACUGAUUAUCAAACGACAACUUGCAGGAACAAAGAAACAUUUGGUCAUUGUAGUGGCAACAGGUAAUCAAUCUUGGCCAUUGCCUCUUUCAAGCUCACACUUUCUAAGCCUUCUUAUUGUCUUCCAACCUAACAUCUUAUUUUGGUUUGCAUGCACACUAUUGGUGGUUUGUCAAAUCUUCGUCGCCCCAUAUGCCUCGACUUUCAUUCAAAAAGUUAUCCAAACAAUAAAGGAAAAUUUAGCCCUCUAAUUAGUAGGAAUUUUGUUUAACGUGCUCUUGUUCUACAUACAGCUGCUUCUGCUGGUGGUCUUGGGAUUUUAGUAAUUCUUGCCUACUUCUUCCAAAGGAAGCAUUCAUUUCUGCGCAUUUGGAGUAAAAGGGAGAAGUUCCAAAAUGUUGAAGACUUUCUCAAGGACUAUGGAUCACUGGCACCCAAAAGGUACCACUACUCUGAGGUAAAGAAGAUGACUGACUCCUUCAAGAUCAAGCUAGGCCAAGGCGGCUAUGGGUGUGUGUACAAAGGAAAGUUGGAAGAUGGAAGUCCUGUGGCAGUAAAAGUUUUGAAGGAAUUGAAAGGAAGUGGAGAAGAAUUUGUUAACGAGGUUGCAAGUAUUAGCAGGACUUCCCACAUCAACGUUGUAACUCUAUUGGGCUUCUGUUUUCAGGGUCGCAAAAGAGCUCUCGUAUAUGAAUUCAUGCCUAAUGGAUCCCUUGAGAAAUUCAUUUAUGGUGGAAAAUCCUUGACAAACCGUCAACUGGGAUGGCAAAUUCUGUACAAAAUUGCAGUAGGCAUAGCUCGAGGACUGGAGUAUUUGCAUCGUGGUUGCAAUACCAGAAUACUCCAUUUUGACAUAAAGCCUCACAACAUCCUCCUAGAUGAAAACUUCUGUCCCAAAAUCUCUGAUUUUGGCCUUGCUAAACUCUGCCUUCAAAACGAGAGCAUCGUCUCAAUACUGGGCGCACGAGGGACAGUUGGAUAUAUUGCUCCUGAAGUUUUUUGCAAAAACAUUGGAGGGGUAUCUCAUAAGUCAGAUGUCUAUAGCUACGGGAUGAUGGUUUUCGAGAUGGUUGGUGGGAGAAAGAACAUUGAUGUUGGAGUAGUAGAUCAUAGCAGUGAAAUAUACUUUCCUCAUUGGAUUUAUGCAAGACUAGAUCGAGGUGAACAAGACCUCGGACUGCAUGGAAUUUCCAAUGAAGAGGAGAACGAACUUGCGAGGAAAAUGAUAAUUGUAAGCUUGUGGUGCAUACAAACUGAUCCUGUCAACAGGCCAUCAAUGACUAAGGUUGUGGAGAUGUUAGAAGGGAACCUCCAGGCCUUGGAAACCCCUCCCAAACCUUUCUUGUCUUCUCCAGCAAGAGCAUCAGAUGAUUCUUCAACAAUAUACACGUCUGGAACAGUCUCAUAAUUUUUUGUAAUAUUAGCUUUUUCACCAAAAGAUGUAGUGGACUCGUGUUUCUGCUAAAAUUCCUCAGCGUAAUUUUCAAUCCGAAAGCAGGAGCUCCCGCUUCACGCCUCUAACGGCGAGUAAACGAAGACGCUAAGCUUCUAUAGAUGUAAAAGCCACGUUUUUAUGAUUUACUUGUUUCAGACUUCUAGAGGUGCCUGAAAACUUGAUUCUUGAUUUUACAAGUUUGCGCCUUCUCUAUUUGGUUAAAAAAACUUGAUGGUUCUUUUUCCUUAUUACUGCUAAUUAUAGUUCAUAACUAUAAUGGAGUCUACGGAAUUCACCUGCAUAAAUUCUCUUGAUAAUUACUUGUAAGCAUCGAGAAAUAUGAACCGACAAAAGAGAAAUUAUCCAUUGCAUCCAGGUUCUUUCCUGUGUCUUUUGCAGAUUGAGAAAUGGUGAUUGCAAAUCUGCAGUGGUCAAACAAAAUUGCAGAUCUCCAAGGCAGAUGAUAUUUGCAGUCCAAAAUUGACUCCAGAGGCUUCAAUCUAAUUUUGAUAUAGUUUUAUGACAAUUUUGCACACUAAUAAAAGAACCCAGCCAUGGCGAUCGCCACCUUCAUCAUCAAACGCCCAAAAUCAUCCCAUAAUAGACUUUAGAGCUUCUGUAAACGCAUUCCUAAAGCAACAUCCACUACGAUGAAAAAUUUCUCCAUCAUCACUCCGCCACUCUCAUAAGAACGUGCGUGCACAUACACACACGCAUAUAUAUAUAUAUAUAUAUAUUAAUAUACAUAUAUAUGUAUUUUAUUAUAUAUUUAUGACAUCAUUUGCUUCUUUAAUAUUUUUUUCAUCUGAAUCUAAUCAAUUGAACUCAAUGAUGUUUGUACCUUGAACACAAUCGAGUGUCCAGUCCGAGUUUUAAAACACUGACUUGUAUUGUACGAGCGAGUCCCUUUUUUCAAGUUGUGUGAACGAAAUAAUUCAAACUUGGAAUGAUAUUCGGUUGUGAGUGUAUCGAGGAGAAAAUGUGAUAUCUAGUUUUUGUAGUAGUAGUGUACUAGUGUUACAGAACCAAGAGUUGUAUUUGUUGGCAGAGUACAUGAUCCCCUGCAAUUUUGAUUAUCACAUGACCAAGUAUAUUUCGUUAAUUCAAGAUAAUCAUUUAUGAGUUUGUUCCAUUUUGAUCAUGUGAAACUUAUGUUGCUAGUUACUGCAGUUAAAAUUACGUGGACUAUUCCACUCGCGGCCUCCAAAUAUUGGCGUUAGCAUUAAAGGAUAUAGCAAUCAAUUAGUUUCCUAGACGCUCAGCCCAAAAAAUAAAAAAUAAAAAAAAAUGAACUUGUUAGAAAAACAAAACUAUAAAAUGAGGUUUGACCAUAUUAUAUUAAAGUGCCAUUUGAAAACAUAAAUUAGAUGACAAGGAUGUCCUACAACAGAGACAAAAAGAGAUAUGCAAGCCAUCAUGGGAAAUUCUGUCCCAUAUUAAACAAUCAUAAACCUAAUCAAACACUCCCAACUCUCUCUUUCUCCUUAGACCAAAAUGAUUUAGCCGUGGAACUCGAAAAAAAUAUAUAAUGCAAUACACACUUCUACAUCAUAAACCUAAUUAGCUUCUUCCUUACUUUUUGGUCUCGUGACUUUGCCUUUUUCUUUUCUUUGCCAAUUUGUUCUUCGAGGCUUUAUGUGGACUAAUCAAUCUUUUAUGCUACGCUCUAGGCAAAGUGGGUCACAAAUUCUAACUUUGUAGUUUGUCCCGAAAUCAUCAUAUUUAUCGAAAUCUGAUUGCGUUGAGUCGUUUUGAGUGGAUUAGUGACCGCCAUGAUUAAAGAACAUCAUCAUCUAGAGCCUAGAGGAGGAGCUCCAGAAGAUUGAACGAAAAAGCUUUUCAGUUUUGAUUGAGAACUUCGAAAGAAGCAAAAGCCAGACGCUUUAUUCUUGUCGCUGGCGAUGCUUUGUAAAGGUCUCAAGGUUCUAUUAUUAUUGCUGUAACUCCACUUUUUUUUUUUUUUUUUUUUGGGGUUUCCAAUUUAGCUUUUGGAAUAAAACCAGCAUAGCCUAUUUUCUAAUCGUGUUCAAAUUUACUGCAUCAGUCAUAAUUUACAGAAAGUGGGUCCUUUCUACUAUACUUACAGCCGCUCCAUUUUAAGGGUUUGGUUUUUUAAGUUGCAAAAUCUUGUGUAAUCCUUUCGAGAAGGCCAGUGGAAUGUUUCCCGACAACCAUUUUAUUCUAUAAUUAGAAAAAUAUAUUGUGUACAAUUUGGCGUAAGGUUACCAAAUUGCUUUCUAUAAUUAGAUAUAUAGAAUAAGAAAAAGGGUAAGCUUAGGUAAAAACACAUUUUUAAGGAAAGAAAUUUUUAUGACAUAUUACACCUACUCAAUAUAUGGAUGAGACGGGUGGGAACAGUUUGGGAAGAAAAGGUACAAAUGAUAAUAAAACAUAGGAAGGCACAAGUGAGAACCAGUUUCCGAUGCACAUUUGCUUGUAUGUUUUUCGUUAUUUUGACAAAAAAAAAAACCGAAAAACAAAUAAAACACGUUUCAUUUUCUUAUUAAAAAUAAAAUCUUCUCAUUUUGAGAACCUACAAAUUUUGUGUUAACACUUAAUAUGAGAUGGACUUCCUUGCCACGAUGGUUUGAUUGAUUGACUUCCAAAUUCCAGUAAGAUAAGGUCCAAAUGAAAUGCCUGGCUUUGGCCUGCUAGGAAGCAGUAAAUGAAUUAGUAAACUGCAUGUUUACUGAUUUCAAAGGUGAGUUUUUGUAGUCAACGCAAAAAAAAAAAAAUCAAUGAAACAUUAGUAAUUCAGGUUUAGUAAGCACUAAGAAAACUGGGCUGCAAACGAAUCGAGCCGGCUCGCGAGCGGCUUGAGUCAAGCUCCACUCGAAAUCGAGCUCGAACUCGAAUUCAAAAUAUUAAGCGAGUCUAAUAUUAAGCUCGUUAGACUCGCGAGUUCGAGUAUAUAUAUAUAUAUAUUUUUUUAAUUUUAAAUAUAUAUAUUUUUUUAUUUUAAGUAUAUAUAUAUUUUAUUUUAAUAAUAAAAUUACAUAUAUAUUUUAUUAUUUUAUUAUUUAUUAAAAAAAUAUUAUAUUAUUUAUUUUUUAAAAAUAUAAAAUAAUUAUUUUUAAUUUUUUCAAACUCGAGUUUGAAAUUAUGAAUUCGAGUUCGAUUUUAAUAAAAUUGUAUCGAGAUCAAAUCUCGACUCGACUCGUUGCACUCCGUUAGAAAACUGAUGCAGAGCAUGCGGUGUCGGAAAAUGGCAUGGAAGUACGGUAAAUUAUCGCAAAGGGCAAAUCAAGCCUUUGGGCCAUCCCAUCAUUUCUGCAGCUCUCCCCUGCACAGACUCACAAAGUUUGCAUCGUACCGUUGCCUCUCUCAUCCCAUAACAACUCUUCAUCAUAUGCCCUUAAUUGUAUUACAAAGCAUGUGUCACCAAAAUUUCUUUCGAGUUUCACGUUAAAAUCUCAAAUUCGGCUCAAAUUUGAGUUUGAUAAAAUUGAAUUUAGCUCAAUUCAAUUAAAUUAAAGUUCUAUUAAGCUUGUUUGUAAUUUUAUUUACAACAAAAAAAAGGAAGACAUAUUUCAGCUUUUUUCUUAAUGGAGAAGUUUUUUUUAAACAUAGUGACCGUUCUUGAAUAUAAAACUCGUGAAAUUUUGGCUUAACAAAGAAGCUCGUUUAAAUUCAAAAUAUAAAACUAUGCUGUUGGACGAAAAAAGAAAAAAAAAAAAAAGGGUAAUCCGUACCUAUGAUGUUGAAAAACAAAAAAGUCUGUUAUAUUCUUAUGAGAAACACCCAAACUUAUGUUUGUUCUUUCAUUUCCUUUUUCCUAUGCGCGGCAACAUACCUCAACUUUAAUCUUGUUAACGUUUUAAUGGCCGGUUAUAAUUUUUUUUUUUUUUUUUUGCAAAAUAUGAAACCAAUUUUGCUAAGCUGGUUUGGAAUUUGGAGUUACUUCAUGCUACAUUGUAAAAAAAAAAAAAAAAAAAAAAAAUUUAUUUACAUAUUUCCCUUCUUACCAUGGUAAAGUUCAUUUUCCAGUAAAUUUUUACAGUGUCAUAAAAUCCAGCAACAGACAAAGUCACACCUCACACACAGUCACACACUCCACACUCCACGCUGCCAUUCUUAAUGCUUUUUCAGUUUCCAGUCCUUCCAUCUCCUCCUCUUCCUCCCACUCCCUCCAUCCCUCCCUCGCUCAUUACACCUCAACAAACCGCAUUAAACGUAAAUAACCACCAGCACCACCAUCAGUGGCCAGCCACCCCAAUACGGCCAUUCCUCCUCCUCGACCAUGACAAGACUAAAACCCCAUGUAGCAUUUUCCCUCCUUUUCCUCUUUAGCUUCUGCUUCUUUAACCUCGACGCCUUCGAAAACCCAGAUUUAGCUCCGCUCUUAGCCUUCAAGUCCUCCUCAGACUACUCCAACACCCUCUCUCAAUGGACCUCCAAAACCGACCCAUGCACGUGGCCAGGCGUUUCUUGCCUUCACAACCGGGUCAGCCACCUCGUUCUCGAAGGCCUCAAUCUCAAAAACUCCUUCGAACCCCUCACUCGCUUAACUCAGCUCCGAGUUCUCAGCCUCAAAUAUAACCAUUUCUCCGGCCCCAUUCCUAACCUCUCGAACCUCACCUCACUUAAGCUACUUUUCUUAUCUCACAACCAGUUCUCCGGCGAGUUUCCGGCCUCUGUAACGUCUCUCACCCGCCUCUACCGUCUCGAUCUGUCUUUCAACAACCUCUCCGGCGUUAUCCCGGCCACUAAAGUGAACCAUAUGACCCACUUGUUAACUCUUCGUCUUGAGGUAAACGGGUUUUCGGGGCAAAUAUCGGGUCUCAACGUGCCUAAUCUUCAAGACUUCAACGUUUCCUGCAACAAAUUGUCGGGUCCGAUACCAUAUUCGCUCUCGGGCUUCCCGGAAUCAGCAUUUUGGAAGAAUCUUAUGCUUUGUGGGGCGCCAUUGCCGAUUUGUUCGUCUGUAAGGAGUGACCCGACUCGACCCGGAACUUCUUCCGGAGCUAUAGCAUCUCCGUUGGGUCCCGGGGGAGGAAACCCUUCUACUGUAGCAUCUUCUCCCACCUCAGUUCCGGAAUACGGGUCGCCGACUAGAACGGGAAAAACUCGCCGUAGCGGAGGGAAUAAAAUGACCAAAGGGGAAAUAAUCGCCUUGAUAAUGGGCGAUGUUUUGGUCCUGGCCUUAGCCUGCCUUCUAUUCUACUGUUACUUCUGGAGGAAGUCGAAGAAAAUGGAUCAAAAAACCAGCUCAGAAGUGGAAAAGAUCGUAUACUCGUCAAGCCCGUAUCCGAACUUGGCCCAGUCCGGGUUUGAGCGGGGCAAAAUGGUCUUCUUCGAGGGGGCAAAGAGGUUUGAGCUGGAGGACUUGCUUAGGGCCUCAGCUGAAAUGUUGGGCAAAGGGGGUUUUGGGACUGCUUAUAAGGCAAUAUUGGAUGAUGGGAAUGUUGUAGCAGUGAAAAGAUUAAAAGAAAUGUCUGUGAAUGGGAGAAAAGAUUUUGAGCAGCAAAUGGAGGUUCUCGGAAGGCUUAGGCACCCAAAUCUGGUCAGCUUGAAAGCCUAUUAUUUUGCUAGUGAAGAAAAAUUGUUGGUCUAUGAUUUCAUGCCUAAUGGAAAUUUGUUUUGGCUUCUUCAUGGUAAGCACUUUUUUCUCUGUUGGAUUUUUUUUGGCAUGUACGUCUAUAUUUUUUUGGUGGUGGGGUCUAGUUAUGUUGCCAAUAAAAAAUGGUUACUGUUUAAAAGUGCAGUUUAAAUAUUCUGCUCAAUUUUAUGUCUGAUAUAUGGAUAGUUGAGAAUUUUAUAGAAUAUUUAUAUGAUUUAGAUAUUGGUGGUGCACAUGGGGUUUCUGUAGUAGUGUUCGGCUCUGGUAUUUAUGGCUGGCAUAUUGAUUCUUAAAUGUUUUAGGCUUUGAAAUCUGAGUAAGCAUUUACUGGUAGAUUCACCAUAUCAGUCUUUUUGAAACUGAGUUUGAAUUGAUUCUUAAAUGUUUUAGGCUUUGAAAUCUGAGUAGGCAUUUACUCGUAGAAUCACCAUCUCAGUCUUUGAAACUGAAUUUGAAUCUCAAAUGAGUAUUUUGUGUUGAGGGGUAGAGGCACUGGUGAGAGCAAAUGUAGAUAAGGUGUAUUAUGGCUGCAGAUUACCAUGGUUCAGAUUAUGGUUCAAUUUCUAGCCUAAAAUUUGAUUAUUGCCAUAAUAUUGCACACAAUGUCGAGUCUCGUGGAAUCAUUUUGCCAUUCAGAUACAAGAUAGGCAGGUGGUAUUAGUGAAAAGCCAAUUUAUAAAAUAAUAGGCUUUCAAGCUGGCCAAAUUGGGUGCCUUAUUUCAACGUCAUCCAAAAGUGUGGGAAUGGAGAGAGAAGCCACGGGAGCGUGACAUAUUUCACACAUGGAGCGAGGGGAACAGCUUAACAGUGGACUAGGGUCUUAAGGCGCAUUUGAUAUAAUAUCCUCCUUUGUUUUCACCCUCUUCUGGCUAAGUAAUCAAAGCUGCAUAAUGUACUUUACAUUGGACAAAGACGGCCAUUAUGAUGGAAAUUUGGAAGCCAGCUUUUGUCUUGAACUCAUUUGUCAAAAGUUGUAGAUAAAACUCGGUUCUUCCUACAAAUUGGGUGCUAAGUAGCCCCAUUUCUGAUACAAUAUCUUUAAUGUGAAGGGGACCGCCUCUUGUUGGUUAGCAUAAGUUCUCAUGGGGCAGCAAUUGUUUCAUUGGAAGACAUUCUUAGUGUUGUUCCAUCAAGCAGUGUGCAGCAUCCCACCCCCUAUUUGUCUGUCCCUUUCUUCAGUCUUUGUUAUUUUCUUGUGUAAUGUAGUGAGCUACAGCACUAUAUGUUAAACCUUCAUAAUCAUGUAUCACCGUACAGGAGCAGUUAAUGAUUAUUUAACAUGAAAUUUCGUGUACAUUGAAAUUUUCUUUUGUAUCCCAGGGAAUAGAGGUCCUGGAAGAACCCCGCUGGACUGGACCACAAGACUCAAGAUUGCUGCUGGAGCAGCAAGAGGACUAGCUUUCAUUCACAGCUCAUGCAAGACCCUUAAGCUCAUGCAUGGUAAUAUCAAAUCAACAAACGUCCUAAUCGAUAAAACCGGCAACGCCCGUCUAUCUGAUUUUGGCCUCUCAGCCUUUGCCUUGCCCUCAACAGCUUCAAGAUCCAAUGGCUAUCGGGCCCCUGAAGCCGCCCUGGAUAGCCGAAAACUCACUCAGAAAUCCGAUGUGUACUCAUUUGGGGUCCUAUUGUUGGAGCUGCUUACGGGGAAAUGUCCCUCCAUCGUGGACAAUGGGGGACACGGGACAGGAUACACUGGCAUCAUUGAUUUACCAAGAUGGGUGCAAUCUGUGGUGAGGGAGGAGUGGACUGCUGAAGUGUUUGAUUUGGAGUUGAUGCGAUACAAGGACAUUGAGGAAGAAAUGGUGGGGUUGUUGCAGAUAGCAAUGGCUUGUUCUACAGCCUCACCGGAUCAAAGGCCAAAGAUGAACUAUGUAGCGAAAAUGAUAGAAGAGUUGAGAGGAGCGGACGUGUCACCAUCCCAUGAGACAGCUGAUUCUGUUUCGGACUCGCCUUCUGUGUCUGAAGAUGCAUGCGGAGUAGCAAGUCAAUGAUCAAAAUGGUUGGUAAAGACGUAGAAGGUUUUGCUUGUCUGUGGUUGAUGUGAGAUUCUGUAGAGGAGGUUUUUUCUUCUCCCCCCUUCUUCUUUUUGGGAACUAAUCCUCUAAAUAGGAAUUUUUCUAAUACAGUACUUCGUUUUAUGGCAUAGUUGUUGUGCAUGAUGCUAAACUGCUAAUUUCAUUGAUGCCACUAUCAUCGUAAGGUUAGGUUGAUCAAGCUUUACUAACAUUGAACAUUCUGCCGUAUCUGCUGUCUAGACAUAUUAACAUGAUGCUAUUUUUGCCGUGGAACAUAAUCUGGGUUGGAGAGCAUUAUUACUUGUUCGUUUUGUAAUGUGAUCUCAAAUUUUCUUUAUUUUUAUUCUUCCUUAACUUUUAAGUAAGGAUUAUCGAACGAUUACUUUCACGAAUCACUAGCUUAGUUCAGUAAUUGGAAUUUUAGAAAGCAAAGGAUUUUGAUUAAACAUAUUAAAGUUAUUUUCUUGUUUCAUUUUCCCUCUAGAAUUUAACUUUUAUGACACUAAAGUGGACUUUAAUCCCCCUUUUCUUUUUUUUUUCUUUUUUUUUUUUUUGGUGAGAAAGCUCGAAAUGAGCUAUAAUGUUUCUUAUGGUACUAAACAAUGUUAAAUUUAUACCGUCACAUUUUAUGAAUUAUGAUUCGAAACUUUAACAUACGCUACUACGUAAGCUGCUUAAGAUUAAGAAUUCAAGAAUACUUGUCUAUUGGCAAACUUUUGUCAUAUAAGAAAAAGGGUGUUAUUGGGACGUAAUUUUUCUAGAUAAUUUAGCUUUAUUGGUCCCGAACAUGAAAAAUGCAUUGGCGUUUUCAUGAAAUACUACUAUUUUAUUACGUAGAAAUGAAUCAGGGAUGAAAAUAAAUAGCAACUUCAAUAAGGGAUAAUUGCAGAAACCUUCCCUGAGGAUACUAAUCCUUUGCAAAUUCAGUCCAAAUGAUUAAAAUAUUAUUUUAGGGAGUGAAAUUAGAAUUUUAUACCAGAUUUGCUCUUUGUGCUACAUGUUCAAUGAAUGACAAAAUAUAAUAAAUCAAUUAACAAUUAAUAAACUUUAAGGAGUAUAAUUUAUGGGCAAACACGCAUUACUCAUUUAAAGUAUCGGCUCUUUACGGGUAUUUUAAUUUCAAACAUUUAAUUUAUGAUAAAUAUAUUAAUAUUUGUAAGUAAAAUUCAAAAAAUGUUAUAGUAAUAUUCUUGCAAAAAGAAAAUCGGUAGGUUAUUUAUUUAAUAUAAAUUAAAUAUUUUUUAAAAAAAAGAAAUGGCUCAUAAAGUAUUAAUUUUUUAUGACUUUCAUCCAUUACAUGAGUAAAGUAUUCGCUUUUUAUGUGCAUUUUAUUCUGAAUCAUUUAAUUUAUGUUAAAUACAUAAAUGUUUGUAACUAAAAUUGAAAAAGUGUUAUAUUAAUAUUUUUUACGAAAGAGAGAUUAGUAGGUUUUGUAUUUAAUAAAAAUUAAAUAUUUGAAAGUAAAUACAAAUCUGUAUUUGAGUUUAAAUAUUUGUAUUAAAUUAAAUGUUUUAAAGUAAAAUACCCAUAAAGAACCGGUACUUUAAAUAGUUACCGGCUUUUUAUGGACAAACACACAUUACUCAUUUAAAAUACCCGCUCUUUACGGGUAUUUUACUUUCAAACAUUUAAUUUAUGAUAAAUAUAUCAAUGUUUGUAGGUAAAAUUCAAAACUUUUACAGUAAUAUUUUUGCAAAAAGAAAAUCGGUAGGUUAUUUAUUUAAUAUAAAUUAAAUAUUUUUUUAAAAAAAGAAAUGGCCCAUAAAGUAUUAAUUCUUUAUGGCUUUCAUCCAUUACAUGAGUAACGUAUUGGCUCUUUAUGAGUAUUUUAUUCUGAUUCAUUUAAUUUAUGUUAAAUACAUAAAUGUUUGUAACUAAAAUUGAAAAGUGUUAUAUUAAUAUUUUUACGGAAGAAAGAUUAGUAGUUUUUGUAUUUAACAAAAAUGAAAUAUAUAAAAGUAAAUACAAAUCUGUAUUUGAGAGAAGUAUUUGUAUUAAAUUAAAUGUUUGAAAGUAAAAUAUCCAUAAAAAGCCGAUACAUUAAAUAGGUAAUGCGUAUUUGCCUAUAAACUAUACUCCUUAAAGUUUAUUAAUUGUUAAUUGAUUUGUAGUACUUUGUCAUUCAUUGGACAUGUAGUACAAAGGACAAAUUUGGUACAAAAUUCUAAUUUCACUCCCUAAAAUAAUAUUUUAAUCGUUUGGACUGAAUUUGUAAUAGAUUAGUAACCUUAGGGGAGGUUAGUGUAAUUUUUCAAAUCAUAGGGGAGGUCAAUGCAAAUGUCAGAAAUCUCAGGGGAGGUUUCUGCAAUUAUCCCCUUCAAUAAAGCAUAUGUUUUGAUCCAGAAAAUGAAUUAAAAGCUAGACAUAUAGUUUUGUCAUUCACUCUUCUCCACGAAUUCUGCGGAACGUUUUCCCUGUUAGUUAGUUUUUUAAAUCUCAAGUUUUUGUCCGCUUUUCACAAGAUGGGUUGGGCCAGGUCUGGACUGACUCGUCUAUGGUUGUGCUUAUCUGAUAAAAUCUACUCUUAGAAUUUAAUGGGUCUUGCCGAUCGGAUCUGGAUCCCCCCAAGAUGGCCCGUCAAUUGGAAUGAUAAAGAGAUGGAGAAGAAUAUAUGAACUGCGAACGAGUAAAAGCGAACAAUAGAUACUUGCAAAGGAAAUAAAGCUAAACUUAGCAUGUAAGGGUGCGAAUGAGUUUAAUUAAAUUGAAUAUUUUAAUAUUUAAAUUUAUUUGAUUAUUUUUAUUGAAUUUGAAUAUUAUCAAAUAUAAAAUGCUGUUCAAAAUUAGUUCGACUAAUUGGUGAAUCAUGUUCGAACAAACUCUUAUCAAAUCGAGCUGAAUUCGAGUAUUGAAUAAUUUGAUUCAUCUUUCAACCCUAUUAGUACGGGAACAAAAUUAUCAUGGUUGGCGAAAUUUUCAACGAACUCUUCAUUCUACAAUGACAAGAAAGUGAGAACAUCACAUAUGCCUAGCCCAAAAUAGUGUGGUACGAAAAAGUAUAUACACUUCAAUAAUUUUCUUCGCCAUGUACAACAGCUCAAUCGUUUCUUUUGCUCCAUAUAGAGCUAUUUUCCCCCACAUAAUCUAAGAAUAAAAGAAUACAACUAACAGGGAAACAAUGAACAAUCAAAUGUGGUAGAGGAAUUUGACUCUAAGAUUAGUGCAAAAUAGGUGAUCAUAAACGUGUUCUCUUCCUAUAUUAUUGGUUGAAGUGCAUGAGCUUUGGUGCAAACCUCACCAAUCUAUCCAAAGACUGAGGUGGGAACUUCCUUGCAAACAAGUGACAAGUAUCGUUUUUGCUCCCAUUGUGCACGCAAUUGCUUCCACUCCUCAUCUUCUCCAGAAGCUCCGCAGUUACUCUAUCUCUAUAAAAGCUCAUGGGGUGAGGUCCUCCCUUGGACCAAUCAACACGAGUCAAAGUUCUUUUAGAAGUCUUCUUCCCAAAUUUCAUGUUCACAAAUGUUGGCAAAUAAUGUUCAUCAGCAUAGCAUGAGCCCUUGCAAUAGCGUUGGAAGGCUGGAAAAUACGUCUUAUCUGAGAUAACCUCAAGGGCAAGAUCUCUAUCCAUUUCAAACCAUUGGGAACCCUUUCUCCAAUCUUCAAGUUUGAUCAAGGGCUGCAUUUGCCUACUGUAUCGGCCACGUCCCACCGGACCGGCUUGAUCGUAUACCUCCACAUGACUCAAUGUUGAGUUCAUUAGAUAAUUAUAGACAAUGGAGAAGUUGAAUAGAGGUAUGCAUGCUUCAGAUACGAGAACAAAACGUUGGUUUGAUACGUCAAGUAGAGCAUUGGCUAGUAAUCUUCUUUCAGCUUCAAUCAUAUUAACAUUUCCCCAUUGAACUUCCUACAUUGUCAAAAGAAACUCAACAACAUGAAAAACUAUGCAGGGAAAAUUUAAUUAAAAAGAAUGCUACUUCAAUAGUGCAAAAAUAAAUCUAAGAAAAUAGAAAAACUAACCAAACUACUUUGCCAAAAUUAAUUAGAAGCAUUCACAUUUAGCAUUAAAAAAAAAUCCCGACUGCCUAGUUUCCUAACUCUUUUGAACGAAUCAAUUGAACAAAAACAUCUUCCAAUUAUUCCUAGCCGCUUGCUUCUCUUUAUGUCAGAUGUCGGUAGGUUGGAUAUGAAAUUAAAUAUUGUCAGUUCAUGAAAGAAUUGGACGAUUCAAGAUGCACAUCAUACAUUAAAGGAAAGGGAGAUGAUAAUUAAAAGCAAGGAUUUUGUGCUAAUACAAAAACUAUAUUUUGGGUAUGUCAACAAAUAAAUUUGAAAGUAAAUUUACUUAUUCUUCGAAAUCAAGCACCCCAAAUUAUAGCAUCCAGCUAAACAGGUCAUUCAGUUUCCUUCCUAGUAAGCAGUGGAAAAUAUCCUUUUCUGAUCUUUAGGGAAAUCAAAAGUUCAGCGUCCCCUCAAUAUUUUAUCUAGGAAUCUUUUCCGUCAAAAGAAACGUAUCCACAUUGUGAUUAACUGUUACUUCUUGUUAAAGUAAUGGAUCUAAACUGCCAAAAAAAAAUAGUAUUACAAAAAGAAAAUUAUUCAUUAAGGACAAAAUUAAUCGUUAAGAAUUUAAACUCACCUUACUGGGAAUUCUCCGGCCAUGAAACACAGAACCUUCCGGCUCUGAUCCAUUGUAUGAUGGAUUUGGAUGCACAUAAAUGGAGUAAAGCCCCUUAUGCCCUUUGAAGAAUUUCUCCCAGAGGGGUGCUAAGCUCACCGGCCCUCUCGUCAGAAACAUGAAUGCAACCUUGGGGACGCGUUUGAAUGGAAAUUCUUGAAUCUUAGGAGUCAUUGAAGCUUUCCACAGGAGCUCCUCAUCGUUCAUAUCGUGCAUAAUAUCAGGUGGCUCUAGUAAAUCCGCCAACCCUUUAUGCUUCAUCACCUUCCCUGGCGGCGGCGGCAAUGCCGUUGUUACUGGUGGUGGUGGUGAUGGCCGUGAUGGUGAUGAAGAUAGAGAGAUUUGGCCAUCAUUGACCAGUAAAUUGAAUGUGACGUUUUUGAAUUGCAAACUAAGAAAUACUCCGGCAGUCAAACCAAAGGCAAAGAACAACAAAAAGGUCAAGAGAUUCACAUACUGCAAUGGACCAUUGAAGAACUUCAGUGAUGGAAAGCCAGAAGUAAGCUUUUGGUCCUUCAUCAUCACGGGACUCGGCACUUCUGAUAGAAUAGUUCUUUAACCUUUUAUGGUCGAACUUUUGAGAAAAUUUUGAUUAUUCAGUAGUGGGAUUCAAGGAGAGGAGUCCUAUUCUAACAUAAGCACGGAACUAAGAGAUUCAGACUCCAAAUAGAUGUGGAAUACCAAUUACUAUUUGCUAGACGGCAAUAUGGACAAGAACAAAUUAAGUUCUAGAGUUGUGCAGGGGAAAGGAAAGAGUUCUCUAUUCAAAGAACCAAUGAAAGAUCAAAAUUAUAGUUACCUUUUAAUGAUGGAAUAUGGGAGAGAAGAGGAGACUGGAGAGGCGGGCAUGCAGACGCGGCUGUCCUAAUUGGCUGUGGCGACGGCUUCGAUUUAUUCAACGGUGUAAAACCACGAAGUAUAGUAAAUGUAUUUGUCAAGUCAAUAGUCCGUUAUUAGGUCUUUAGUCUUAUAUGGACGGUUGUCUGUUUGUUGAAAAAGACUUCGUAGCACGCGUUUAUACUUUAUACAGGUUGCACACGGAUAGUAGUAUAAGAUUCAAGAACAAAAUCUUUUUUUUUUUUGGGAAAAAAAUAUGUAUCCAUUUCAGACAAUUAUACGGGUGUUAUUUAUGGUAAGUCUUGCUUAACAUAAGUUCUUUUACAUUGUUUAAUUAUGUCAAGAUUCUCUACAAUUUUUCAAAAGAUUUUUCUGACUAUUGCUUAGCGAGCAUUUGUUAGUACACCCAAAUAAUUAUUUAAUUUACCAUAUGAAUAUAAAUAGUAACAAUUGUUAUCUUUUCUUGUAUUUAUAAACUUUUCUCAAUCUAAAUUAACUUAUCCAACAUUUCCACUUAGCAGUUGUUAGCUUUCAAAAAUUACACUGAUCCCAUCUUUCAAUCUAGAAAAUUUCUUGGUUUUUUAUUUUCCCCUUAGUAAAUAUAAAGUGAUAAUGUACCUAUUCUGAUUCUUUUAAUUACAAUAAUGUCUCAUUUUGAGAAAAAUACUUUAGACUUUUUCACGGUUAAUUAGUUUAAUAUGGUAGGUUAAGUGAUCUAAAUGUGUUAACGGGUACCCGUUAGAAAUAUCCAAUAUUAUGGUAUUUACUCUCUUAUAUUUAGAACAUAGAUUUUUUAAAAAAAAAAAAAUUUGUAAUUCUAAUUAUUUUUUUAGUUACUUUCAGUAAUUUGAUUUUACAAAUUCUAAAUGUUUCCUCUCUUUCAAGUUUGUCUCUACAUUGAAAGUUUAAACUGAGUAAAAGUACCCCAACUCAGGAUUUUUUCUUUUCUUUUUCUGAAGCAUAAAGGAAAAACCCUUCAUUCAUGUCAAAUCUUCAAGAGCAGCAUCAGUAACAAUAACAAUCUUGGGGAAGUUUACAACUCCAACUCAGGAUGUUAAAACAUGGACUUGGCAUAUUACCUUGGGGAAGUUUGAGUUACCUCAUCAUUAUCUUUUGACUUUUGGGAUGACAGCAUGAACUCUCAUUUAGACAUGUGAAGCUCAUGCCCUAUUGUGGUAAUUUUCAAUGGAUAUCUUAGCCGCCAUACUCUUCAACCUCCAAAUUCCAAAGGUUUUUCUUUAAAGAAGAAAAGAACAAAAAGUAGGUAAGAGAGGUGUGGUAACUUCUUGAGUUUCAUCAUGCGUAAGAAGAUACACUAGCUAGUGGAAGUUAAUCAAUAUCUUACUCUCAAAUUUCUUCAAGCUCUGCCUCCCAAGAAUACGUCAAAAUGAGGAAAUAUCCUGUAAGAAGGUUAUUGUGUCCAAAGGAAAAAAUAUAUAUACAUAGAAAAAGGAGAAGGAGAUAAGUGAUUUUUUUGCCUAUCACUCCAGGCACGGUUGUAACUUUUCUUUGAUUGCAAUAAAUAAAUUCUUAUUAGCAUAUGGACUAAACUAACAAAAACAAAUUUAUCAGGAAUUUAUGAUAAACACAAAAACAGACCGCACAUUUGACAUGUCUAAUUAGCAAAAGUUCAGAAGAAUUCUAUUGGGUUUUGAAUCACGACAUCCCAGCAAUCCUCCACAACAUUAAAUUACUGCUACAUGCAACCCUACAAAGUAUCCCUUCUAGAACCAUGGAAAUUUUUCUAAAGUCUCCUCCUGUUAAAUUAGUUAUCUGGCUUUAAAACUUCCUGUAGUACCCAAUUAUUUAAAACAAAAUACUCAUCCAUCUUCAUAUUGUACUCCUUAUUACAUGCUGGAAGUAAACUAACGUCAUUUUUUUUUUUUAAUACAGAAGGGGUGAGAUUUGAGAAACAGGAGAGGAAAGAGAUCAGAAAGUCUAAGUCCAAGAAGUAAAAAUCAUUUAUUAUUUUAUUAUUACUAUUUCUAGUUUUGAGAACAGCAUCCUGGUUUUAGGUCAAGAGAAAGAAUAAUUAUAUAGUAGUAGCUUCUCAACCGACUGAUAAGGCAAUUAGAAAAAAAGACGAUCGAGCUUCCAAGAAGAUCCCAACUGGUAGACCGGACCUUUAUUGCCAAAGCAAAACAUGCUGUGACCAUGGAAUCUGACCAUGGCUAGUUGGCAUUAAAUUAAUGGACAUUAGGUGGUCAUUUAUAUGUGAGAACUUUUUUCCGGGGACCGAUGGGACAACCCUAUUUAUUUCUUAAUAUUUUGUAUAGAAAAUAGAUCCAAACAAACAAAAAUGUAGAUCCAAAUUUUGUAAGGCAACUGCUGCCAAACCCUUUUUUUGGCCUUUGCUGCUUUGAUAAUAUCACCAAUUUAAUUAGAGAAUUUUUUUUUUUUUGUAACCCAUAAAGUUGUAAACAUAUUAUUGCCUGUAGAUGAAUACAAAAGCAAAUGACUGUUCAUUCUUGUUUCUAUUAUCGUUUCUGAUUUAAUUGAAACUUGUGCACUGUCCAAUUAGUUUCUUGCAGCGAAUUAUUAGAAAGAAAUGCAGCCUCGAACGGUCGAUUGGCGAUGAUUUUGAUACACGCCUGGAUAACAAUAACAACGUGCAAAGCUUCAAGAUUAUUGUCUGAAAAUCUACUUGAAGAAAAUGCCAGUUGCAACAGGACGUUGACUGAGUCCUUAAUCAUGACCCGAUGGCCAUGGCAAGGUUAAAAAAUGGACCACAUAAAUAGAGAGUAUUCCCUAAGAGUUGAGACUCCAAUAUUUGUUUCAAGUUAAACAUUAUUCUUACGAAGUUUAAUUUAACAAUCACUCAUUAAAAUUCUUAUAACGAUUUGAAAUCCAAUCGAAACGCGUGUCAACCCUACUUCAGAAAAAGGAAAAAAAAUUAAAAAUUACACAAAUUGACUAAAAAAAAAAAUACUUGCUCUUGGGUGCAAAAAGUGGAUUUGCUUUUGUUUGAAAAAAAGUGCAUAUUCGCUUUUGAAUUAUAAGAGAGAGUUAUUAUCAAGGUGAAGGCAUCAAAGCAUUUUAGCUUUUGAAGAUUUGAAAAGAAUAGUCCGAAUUGAUGGAUCCAGUUCAUGCUCUCUCUUUUCUGUUUGUGUUGGGAGGAAAAGUCCGUAUUCUAGAAGUCAAGCUUGGUGGAUUUUAGCGGGGUUGUCACCGAAUGUAUCUGGUAAGUGUGGAAGAGAAGAACCCGUCAAUUCUUGUAACCCCAAAUUAUACGAUCAAUAAUACAUUCUUCCAAUAUCUUUGCAAUUUUGCUUCUAUACCAAAGUUGUAAAUUAUGGAAAUUCACAAUGAAAAUAGCAGAAUACACUGACUGGUUUAUCUAUUCUUCAAGUUUAUGAAUUGCUUCGGAUUCUCUGUCCAGUUUACGUGUUUGAGUUCACUGUCCAACUUAAUACAACAUCAUCUGUUUUAGAAAACUGAUGUGGUGACUUCUUAAACUCUCUGUCCAGUUUACGUGUUUAAGUUCACUGUCCAACUUAAUGCAACAUCAUUUGUUUUAGAAAACUAAUGUCGUGACUUCUUAAACUCUUAUCCCUUCUAACAAACUUUUAGCCCAGUUGUACAGGGAAUGGAAGAAAGAUUGUGGUUUCAAUUUUUCUUUUCUUCAACCACAAGGUUCAGAAAAAUUGUGAAUUCAAUCGUACUGCUAAUCGUUCGUUUUCAUCUGAAGGUUAAAGGGAUCAGGGGACUUUGCAAUAUCUUUUUUCUAUGGUGAACAAAAUAGAGUGUUUUCACCUGAUCAACCAUUUUUUUUUCCAAAGUGUAUUUGACUGUUUAUCAGAAGUGUUUAAGCAUUCUUUUAUCUUCCAAUUAGGCAUAUAGAAGGAAAAUCAAUAUAUGGUGUCAACUGCGUCCCAUUAUUGGAAUAUAGCAAUAUAUAUAUAUAUAUAUAUAUAUAUAUAUAUAUAUAUAUAUAUAUAUAUCAAUCUAUGGUAUCGACUGUGUUUAAACAUCACUAGGAGAAUGAUAAAGAAGGGGUUUCGAAAUAUAGACAAAAGAAUAGAUAAAGGCUUGAAGUUGCACGCUUGAUGAUGAUGGCUACUAAUAGUUAAUUAGUUUCUUGACUUUGUCUUAUACUACUAGUUUACAGAAAAUGGCGAAGGGUUUAAGCUUGUGUAUAUAUUGUUGACAUGAAAAGCUUUCUUUAAAUUUGGAAGUCAGGUUAUCAGUUUGUUUGAUAAGAAAUGGUGUAGUAUUAACUUAAGACGGAGAGACAGAGGAUCUGGAACGUGAAUGGAAGUUAAAACCUUGCUCUCUCAUCUAAACUUUGAUGGCAACAUUCUUAAAAAGCCAAAGGACUUAAUAACUUAAUAAUUAUUUCUCAACAAUGUCAUUGUUAUGGUCGUCAAUAGGAAAACAAUAUAAGGGUGCAUCUGAUAAAAUUGAAAUCUGAAGUCUAAAAUAUGAAGUCGGAAUCCAUUAAGUUAUGGAAUUGUUAAGUAUUAAAUCUAAUAUAUUUAAAUAUAUAUCACAUUCAGUGAUAAUGAAUAGGUUAUCACUUAAUUUUGAGAGCAAGUUUUGCCUAGAAAAUUCAAUACCACUUAAUUAAUUCAGAUGUUUAAUUUUUGGUUAUUAAACAGUUUGAAUAUGUUAAAAUCUGAUUCCAUUAAGUUUAAAUGCUAAAUUGAGUUAUCAAAUAGGCUUAAGAUUAAUUGCUUAAAGUCUCUUCUUUUAAAUUCUGACGUUUUUUGAGAAACUAGUGAGAUGAUUUCCCAUGUGUACAUAUUGAAGCGCAACGGAUCUUCUAUCCCACACCCUAUGCCGUUCUCUGUCCCAUUUUUUAUUAUAUUGCUAUUUCUCUUUCAUAAACGUCAUGUUUUAAUUCUUUUUUAUUUUCUUAAAAUCCAAUAACUAUUAAUUCAGUAAUACACAAAAUUUAACAAAUUCAAAAAAUCAAAAUAGAUAAAAAAUGAGAUUUUUUAUGAAUUUUCUGCUGUAUUUUUUAAUUUUCUAUUAUAUAUUGCUUUUUUGAAGCUGUUGUAUUUAUUUAUUACUGAAUUAAUAGUUAUUGGAUAUUAAUGAAACAAAAAAGAACUAAAACAUGAUGUUUAUGAAGGAGAAAUAGCAAUAUAACAAAAAAUGGGACAGAGAAUGACACAGGAUGUGGGACAGAAGAUCUGUUGUAAUAUUGAAGUGGGCCAAAUUUUGUACUGCUAUGAAAUGGUCCGUGGACAUGGAGGCAUGUGAAAUAAAUACUAAUGCAUGUGCAUUUAGUUAUGAACAUGGCAUAAUAUAGCAGCAAUGACGCACCAAUACUGCCAGAACCCCAAGUUGUUUUCGGCUUCUCUUUGAGACCUGUUGAUGGGCUAGCAAGUGUCAAUUCCUCAUUGGGAAACUAAAUGCACCCUGCAGAUUUCAGAUGUCUUCCAAGUUAGGAGAUUCAGAUGAUUUGUUUUCUGGUUGGAAAGCCAAAUUUCAGUUUCUUCAAUUGAUAGCAAUCAAUUCCUACAAUUUAUGUGAUCCUCCGGUCUUGAAAGCACCUACUUAAUGAGGCUUUUUGGGGAUUUGCCAGGUUUAGAAAUAGACCAUUACUCCAAAGACUGUUUGCACAUCUUAAGUUAUCUUGAGAAAAGACACAAGAAGGAUCCUCCAAUUCAAUUUGCCAAGAGCAAAUGUCACAAAACACAAUACUGAAGAAAGCUCAAGACUUCUGUAUUCUUCCUCAUUAUCGUUUGGGAAAGUAUUGAUUAUCAAGAAACAUGACAAAAUUUGGAGUGCACGUAUCUGAAAAAAAAUCUUAAUUUUUUCCCCAUUGUUAAUCGACAAAAAAGUAUUUGGCCAAUACGUAAUAGUAAUUAACAGUUGCAGGCCUGCCAAACAUUGUUGAAAAUACUGAAUUGCAUCAGUUUGUCCCUGGUCAGUCAGGGACAAGAGAUUUCUUCCUCCUUGGGUAAGAGAAAGGUCCCAUUCUUUGUCCAUGGCUUUCGAUGAGCCCAAGGCUCCUAAUCUCUUUGGCCUUUCAUCAGGAUUUGUGACUUAAAAUUGUUAGAUAUUAGCUUUGGUUGUGUAAUUGCACUGGUCACAGGACAUGCCAUGUGCUGAUAUCAAAAUUACCGUCAAAUUGGAAGUUGUAAAGGAGUCAAAUUAAACAAAAACGAAUGUGUGUCUUAAAAUUUUAAGAGAGAGGCUUAAAUGCGACUCGUGAAUCUAUCAGCAAGAGUAAUUAUAUCAACAAAAAUAUGUUUUUGUGGUGAACUUUCAAACCACAAGCUUAAUUGGAACAGAUGAAAUUAGAAAUGGACAAUUCCACUCGUGUUUGGCUCAUCUGAUAGGAGUUUUUUGCCAAAAUAAUACUCUUACUAAAAAAUAUUUCCAAUGUGAUUCACUUUCAAAUUUUAUUACCAAAAUGAUAUUAUUGUUCCCAUCUAAUUAUCCUGAUUGCCAUGUAGAAUAACAAGAAAGGAAAGUUCUAGUCCAGAUUAUAGUUUCUAACAUUAACUAAAAUUUUAAUUUUUUUUAUUAUAGAGGCACAAGAAGAUUGCAUAACUUUUAUAAUUUCCUUAUAAUUAUCUGAAAUAAAUUUUACCAUUAUUGACCUUACUAUUAUUGGUCUCCAAAUUUUUUUAAAUGUAUCAAACCUAUUGCAUAUAUAUUUUUUCAAAAAAUAAUUUUAAAAAUACAAAAAUUGCACCAAAAAUUGCAACGAAAAUUGUAAUCAAUUACAAAAAUUUCAAGGUUAUCAUAUUUGUUUAUGUUAUCCUUCCUACUCUUUGAAAAGACGAAAAUAAUCUUCAUCUACCUUAAGAUUAUCGACUUGCGAAACAUAUUUUUUAGAUGUUAUUAAUAUAAAGAUUGGCUUCUUAGAUUAUGUUUGACAAGGGAAAGAUAACGAAAGAAAAAAAUGUGGGAAGCUUUAUAGAGAAAAUUGAAGAAAAUAUUAGAUGAGAAAGAGAAAUGAAGGACGUCUUUAUCUCUAUCCUGACACAUAUGCAGCGUAAGUGGCAAAAAAGGAUCACAAAGGUAAUAAGUUUUAAAAUUAAGUUACUUUGAGUAUAUAUUCUAGAAGAAGAGUUAUUUUGGCAAUAAACUCCAUCUGAUAGACUGUCCUAAUACAUGUAUGAUACCACGUUAAUUAGAUAUCAAAUAGUGUCUUAACAUAACCUAAGUAGUGAAUCCUAGUAAUUUUGGAGCAAUCCCAAGCAAAGGCUGAAGAGUGCUUGGAUGAAACUUUCUUGCAAAAAGGUGACAAACUGAGCUAAUCUCACCAUUGUAACUACAAUUGACCCCAAAACGAGCUUGAUUCAGAAAUGGUUCUGUGAUAUCAUUCCUCAUAAAUGUUCUAGGAUGUGAACCUCCUGUAGACCAAUCAGUCCAAGUUAUAGUCCUAUUUGAUGUCAACUCAGGACAAACUUUUGUCACCAGCGUUGGUAAAUAAUGCUCAUCCAUGUAGCAAGGGGGCAUGCAAAGGUCUCUGAAAAUUGGGUACAAUUUUACAUCAGAGACAAUUUCAAUUGCUAGCUUUCUGUUGGCUUCAAACCACUGUGACCCUUUUCUCCAAUCUGACAGUGUAAUCAUUGGCCACAUUCUCUUGUUGUAUCUUCCUCGGCCUAUUGGCCUGGGAUCGUCAAAUGUGCUGAGAAAGCUUUGGUUGGCGUUGAUGAGGUAGUUGUAGAUGGUAGUGAAGUUGAAUAUGGGAAUGCAGGCUUCUGAGAGUAAUAUGAAUCUCUCGUUGGAAUGGUCAAGGAGGGCAUUUGCUAGUAGACGUUUCUCUGCAUCAAUCAUUGUCACUCUUCCCCAUUGAACAUGCUGCAACAACCACCACUAAAAUGAAAUCAAGCCAGGAUUAUGUGGAAUAGUAUAAACUUUUGAGUAUAUUUUUUAAUAGGGAAGAAAAAUUUGCAAUUUUGCAAGUAGAUGAUAGUAUUUAUCACUUUUCCCAGGAGGGAAACAGUUCGGUAUUUUUGCCUGAAAAACUAUAGAUUAUUAGUGGUAAUAAGAACCUUGCUUGGUAUUCGUCGCUUGUAAAAUACAGAUGAUUCAGGAGGCUCAUUGGUGAACUCUGGAGAUGUAUGAAGGUAAAUUGAGAAGAAGCCCUGAUGUCCUUUGAAAAACACUUCCCAGAGUGGUGCCAAGGGUAAGCUUCCCCUAGUCAAGAACAUGAAUGCAAUUUUGGGGGUACGAUUGAAUGGGUAUUCAGUUAUAUGAGGUACCAAAGAGGCCCUCCAAAGCAAUUCUUCAUCACUCAUUGAGUGCCAAAGACCUUGUUGAGAUGCCAAAUCCAUCAAUGUAUCAGUGGUAUUAUCUGAACUAUAAUUAGACUGUGAAGUUGAAAGAGAUGAGUCUGAGGAAGAGUUGCAUUGGUUUUGUGAGGAUAGAGACAGAGAAUAGGCAGUGGGUUGAGCGAAGUACAAGUCAUCAUAGAUUGAGUACUUUUUGAGAUGAUCAUUGAUGAACAUUCCCAGAAUUAGAAGAAAAAAUGCCAUAGAAAUACAGAAGACUAUAGUGGUGGCAACUUCAAAACUCCCUUCCCUAUCUUCUCUUUCAACGCGAACACUGAGUUUCUUCACAAACAUUGUCAUUUAAACUCCUCUCUUGAUAUCUUCUUAUCUCUUCACUUGCGCAUGGUAUUUUAUAGCAGUUUUAUGGACGUCAAAAAGUAAUAACAAGAAACGAAGCAUGCUUUCCAUCGCUAUACUGAUAAAAGAGGGUCAAGGAAGCAAGAUAAAGAGAAGUUAAUAAAUGAUGAAAAAUGUGACAAAAGUAUAUUCGCACAAUAAGGUAAAGCAAGGUUACCCUCGAGAAUGGCUUUGGUAACUUCUCAAGUAGCAAGUAAAGAUCUAGAGAGCAAAAACAAGCAAGGAUAGGCACAUGGAAAGUGUUUUCAACCGUAAAAGAAAGGAAAAUAACAUAAUGACUGGCAUACUCUCUGUCUGUGUGUGGCUGAGAGAGAGAGAGAGAGUUCCAAGUAGUAAAUAUGCUUUCUGCUGCUAAAAUGGCAAUGUACUAAUUCUUUAGCUGUUCAAAUACUGUACUUCAUGCAACUCCAACCAGAAUACAUUUGUAGCUAGUGUAACAUGACAAAUAUUUGCCAUCUUUUGACUGCUUCUGUUUAUCGUAUAAGAUGGAAAAUGUCUAAGUAAUCUAGUAGUUUUUCUAUCACUUUACCAGGAAUGCAAAUGACAGUCAUGUGAUAGUGGUCAGUUAUGAUCGAGUUUGUUCCUGGAAAAAUACAUUGCAGCGAGACCUACGAUAGCUGCGGCCCCAACGAUUUCUGCUGUCCUUGCAAUAUAAUGCCUUAUUGGGAAGCUUCCACUUCUUAAGUAUGCCCACAUCCAACGGGAUAGAAAAUGAAGCCGGCAUGAAUUUUGGAACCUCUGAAUCGAAAAUUCCUACAGAUAGGAAAGCAGGUCAUACCAGCAAGAACUGAGAAUCCAUACCCAACUCUUUAAAAUAAAAGGAAAGGUCUAGUUUGGCCAGUAUGGUUACAAUAUUGCAAUCAAAUCUAGCAGAUCCUAGAGCAGUAGCUGUCCAUAAUACAACAGUUGUCUAGCCUAGAUAUUCUGUAUAGCAGGUCCCAGAAGAGCAGCUUUCACAGUGGUUCAUAUUUUGCUCACAUGGUCAAAAAAUUCAGCAAAACUGCACUUAAAGUUCUCUAAAGAGAACUCCUGCACAAAGGAAAAUUUUGAGCUCUUCUUACGCAUGAAAUUGUUAGUGGCAUAAUGAAAAGGAAGUCGUGCAAGACACUUGUUGAAUCUAGCACUUCACAGUUAAUUAUACCUUCAAGGAUAAUAAGCGAAAACAUAAAUUUUCUAAGUAAGGAAAGCUGAUUGACAAAAUCUUGUAUAAAGCUCAAAUGUUUAGGAGGUCCGACAUUUCCUGUAAGAAUCAUAAAUUCCACUGGAACAAUGUAUGCUUAGACGUGUUUAUGUAAUUUACUAAACAGGCCCCAAUGGAAAAGCAUUGCCAUCAGUGAAGUAACAUCUAAAAUAAUAAUAAAACAUUCUGUAGAAGAAGGUACAAGUAACAGAUUUAUUUUUCAUUUCUUUGGCUAGGAAUAAGCAACAAAAUUACAAUCUGUCUCGAAGAUGAUUAAACCCAUCAAUAUCUCCUCAACCCAGCACUCCAUGGAUAAUACGCUUUCAAGUUUCUUGUGAAGUAAGCCUAACAACCAACAUCUAUAAUAAAAAAAAUUUUUAAAAAAAAACCAACAUCUUUACUACUUGUAUCCUACUUGCUGUGUUUUCUCACGUUACAUGCUUCUUCCAAUCUAAUGCUUUGCGGAAAUUAACUUGCAUCAAUUUUUAAGUCAUGCUAUAUAUGUAGAAAAUGGGGCAGCAUGUCCCUUUUAAUGUGCCUUGCAAUCAUGGGAAAGAACAAGAUCUUGUCCAUUACAUAGAUACUUUCCUAGGCCAUCUUUUCUCCGAUUAGGUAGCUAAAGACUACUUGAACAAAAAGUCAAAUCAUGGUAGUCUGGUGGUGAUGGAUUCACUAACUUACUGUAAAUCUGCUUUAUCAGUUACUGGCAUGUUCCAUGCACCAAUAAACCCGCGAGGAGCAUAUCAUUUCUUUCCCUUAAAAAACUAAGCUAAUUGACAAACUAAAGGAGCAAAACAUCUUCAGCUGAGAAUAAUAGGCUGGCAACACCGAUGACUGUAUCUUAGCUCAUUAGUCAUUAGCGAAAGCUGAGGACUCCAGGAUGGAGCUGAUACAUGAAUUUUUGAAAGCAAGACGCGCAAUACCUUUGGUAACUUAUCCUGCUCUGCAAGGUGGUCCACAUGUAGCUUCACAUUUGAUGCAGCAGGAAUCCAAAAACUGCGAUCAACUUCAGCAUAAGUGUAGGAAACAAUGUCAAACAAUGUUUUGGCUCCAUCUUCUAUGGAUUUCAAGAUGGUUGACUCUCGAUUUCUUCGAUUCCUGAGAAUUGAAACCAAUAUCCUAUUAGAAUUCAGUCCUAAAUAUAAUACAUUAUCAUUUUUUUUUAACAUGUGAGAUGAUUGUGCUGCCACUGCUAUUGAUCUCAUAUGCAUAUAUGGCUGAAAAAAUAAUCUCUUUCCAACGCGAUAAUAUCCAAGUCUGAGUUAAUCUCUUUGCCCACACUGUUCACCUACUGCCCCAGACAUAAACGCAGAUGUAGUAUUGCACAAGCAAAGGUGAAACAUACUUGAGAUAGCCACAGAGCAUGUGUUUUGGCCACAAAUUAAUUCUUCCGUGCAUGGGAAUUAAAUUGUGUGGAGAGAGAUCGAUAAAUAGGUAUGUUGUCCGGAAAUAUUCCUGCACAAAAACUAGGAAUCUCAUGAUCCAAAUGAUUUCCAUUGAAAGAAGAAAAACAACCCAAGCAAUAACACACUCGCAAGGAUGGAAAUCCUAUUCUGAUAUACUGCAUGCUUUACCUCCAUCAUAUUAUAGUGUAAAAUAAAAUUCAACUAAAAUCAAAACAAUGUGCAUUGGUAGUAGUUAAAAUAUCAAGGUUGCUAUUAUUGAUUAUCCCACCUCUUUGAUUAUUCCAAUCUCAGAUUUUUAAGGAAGAUGUGUUUUUAAAAUAUUGUCCAUUCUGUAUUGUGGAAAAAUAGAACAGGAAAGGAAAGACAGAUUCAUCGCUUCUUGUUUUGAUAAUCAAGGAUCAUCUGAAUUCCUUGAGAUUUUGACAGCUGGGCACCUUGAAUUGUAACUGAAGAAAAAGAAGUUUACCCAACCUAAGAAAAGUAAUGCAAAUUUGUUCAAUUCCAAGAAAUUAAAAACAUAACCUCCAGCAAAGACUAAAGAGGAUCUCAUUUUCCUCCAAUGGGAAGAAGAUUCAAAACAGAAUCAGGUACAUUCUGCAUAAUGGUUUAUUUAGGAAUAGGUGAAUCAUGACCAAAUUGAACCUAUGGAUCACCCAUGACUCUUUUGCAAUGUAUUUGACAGUAGAAAAGUAUUUCCACUGAGCACCCUUUAGAACUGAACAAAAACCACUUGUAAACCCAAGAAAAUAUUAGCAUAUCAUGCCAUGAAAAUGGAGCCACAAUCAAAUCAACAAGAAUAUCAAAUCAAAGGUAAUGCGGGCGAAACUUUUUGCUUAACAUGGACAUCACUCUAAUUGGAGAACCAAAUACAUUAACUAAACUUACAGUCAUAUUUCCACCAGAUGUCACAUCCAACACGGCACUUCCUUGCCUGAAAAUUAUCAUGAAGCAAACAUCAGAGAAUAAUGAAAGGCUGAAAAUCAUCAGAUGCAACCCUUCAGCAUAUUCCAGAAAAGGAGUUAGAGCAGAGACUAUGAAAGGCUAUACGAAACAACAAAAUAAUGGUAAAAUUCAACAUCACAUGAACUAGAUGUGGAAUGUGAACUGUAAUAAUAAUAUUGCUCCAAUACAAGUGUCUUCUUCUGAACCGUACCCCAUGCAAUGAUCACCAACAAUCAACGAAUUAGUGCUGACGUGAAGCAAUGCCAUAUGGCCAUCUGUGUGUCCCUGAAUAAGGAAUAUUUUACAUCAACAAAGAUCAUGUAUUUGAUUAGUUCCAAAGAGGUGGAACUUCAGUUGAUAUUACUGGUUUUACAACAAGAAUCCAAGAGCACCAGAAUAAGAAAUUUGGAACUUGAAUAAAGACAUCAUGAAGCAAACAUCAGAGAAUUUACCAUGCCUAAGAAAUCCAUCUGAAAUCCAUAUAUCUCAUUCAAGGUAUUACUUCCUCAAGAACACCAAUAACAAUUCAAUAAUAGUUCAAAGAAUUACUUAAGAUGCUACGAUAUUAGAAAGCAAAGCAGACCUCAGAACAUCACCAUGUGAUAAGAGAUGAGCAAUAUGAAUUGCUUUCUCUUUUCAUACUUCAUCAUGCAAAAAUUAAUAACAAAAGAAGAAAGUGGAGCUGAUGGUAGUAACUUUACAGUUCUUUAGUUUCCAUGUAGCAUUCCAGCAAACUGACAAAUCCACUUUCUUUAACCUUACAGUUCCUUAUUUUCUGUGAAGGAUCUUUUGUCCCACUUCCUGUACCAUUUCUUGUCCCAACAUUUAUUAAAUUGUCAUAUAAACUUCAUGAAGAUCUCAUUUUAAUUCUUUUUCUUGUCCCUUUAAGUUCCAACAGUUACUUAUAGGGUAAAAUACAAAAAAAUAACAGACUAAAUAACAAUAUAUAACAGAAAAAAAAAAGAAAAUUCAUUAAAAAAGGACGUUCAUGAGGGAUAUAUGGUGAUUUAAUAGAUGUCGGGACAGGAAAUGGUACAAGAAGUGGGACAGAAGAUCCUUUAUGCUUAUUUUCUAUGUAGCAGUCCUGUGAACUGACAAAAUAAAUAUAACCUUCAUGACCUAUCAGGUAAUGGAAGGCAUGGCUAAAGCCCUCUAUUUCAGGCCAUGUAGCAGCUUAAUACAGGAUUACCCUGAUUUAAAACUGGUCCUAACUAAAACAGAGAGUAGUGAACCUGACCUCUAUUUAGGACUAACUAAAGUUACUGCCUCAUAUGUAUGUAGUUUCAUCAGGAAGUUACAAUUGAAAGAAGCUUUUUCAACACUAAUUCUAGAACAGACUUUCAAGACACUUUUUAUCUAAAUUAGCAGCAGAAUAAAAGUAAAACAGCCAUUACAAGUAAAGAGUUGGAUGUGUUUCAUCUAAGAAACUAAUGCACCAUCAUGGAUUUUACACCAAAUGCAGGCAAUUGUUCUGCUGAUAAACUACUCAAUCAGGAAGCAUGCUAGAUCUUACUUUGACAUCAGAGAAUACAGAUUGUCAAAGAGGGCAGACCACAACUAAGCUAAGGCAAGUCACCACUUCAAAGACCUUGUCCAGAAAAUAACUGUUUCAGUCAACCAAAGUAUUACAUAUACUUGGACCAACAGUGAUAGGGUAAAGUCUAAUUGUUGGUACCGCGACCAAUGUCACUGGGACAAUGGCUGCUUCAUUAUCUCUCAAAUGAAACAAACAAUGUAAUGAUGCAUGCAGCUAAUCACAUAUUAUAUCAAACAAGAACACUACAAACCAUGACUGCAGAAAUAUAUGUCUCAUAAUGACUAGGAUUACAUGAAGGAUAGAGGCCAUUAAAUCAAGUAAUCCAUCCUUCAAACGAAGUCAACCAGUUCAAAGUUUACUAUUUUUUCCAUUGUAUUCUGACAUGAUUUAACUAACUUGUGCAACUCAAAUAAUCCCAGAAAAGAAAUAGUUGAAACAAACAUUUCUGAGUGUUUCUUGACAAACAGACCUGCUAAAAGUUUAUUUCUCAAGAUUCUUUGAAUUGGGCUUUUGACCUUAUGUCACUAGCAGUGGCAAUUUGUCCCACACAGAAAGAUAAAGUUUUGUUGGAAUAUUAUAUCUUGGCAUUUUUUACAGGUGUAAUUUCUUAUUUCAAUUGAGGAAAAUAUUGAUGUGAACCAUCGGGUCAGAUCAAUUAGACGGAUCAUCAUGGUAUUAAAUGUUUCAAACAACAGUUCCCCUACUACUGAAGGGAAAACGGAAAAUAAUAGAAGCAUCCUGUAGCUGAAAUUUCAAUUUAAAAAAGUUAAGCCCAUUAGCAUAUUCAGAUGCACAGAGCUUUUGAAUGAAAAUUACUGGUGCAUGUAUGAUUCGCAGUAGCUGACCACCAAUGUAGACCUCUUCAGAACCAGAAACAGCAACAUGAGAAAGAGACCAAUCAUCUGCAUUAAUAUUCAAGUCAAUGUGAGGAAGAAAAUUUAUUACUGAAUGAAGGAAACUCUGUUUGUCCUAGUCAAGUUUUUAAUUUAGAAUAGUUUAUACUUCCCGUGACCCACAAAUCUUGGAAAACACUUUACAAUAUCAAUGAAAUUCAAAUAUGGCUCCUUCGCCAAGAAUAGAUUCUUAAGCAAAUCCUUGGAUAAUUCUCUUUCUGGAAUGUCAUAGGCACAGUGAUAGGGUUUUUUCUAAACAUAUAUCCAAAAGAGCUCCAACAGCUAUAUAUACUGAAGAACUCCAAUGGAGUUUUUUCUAAUCACACAAUAGACCAAAUAAAAAGAACUCCAAGUCUCCAACUGCCAAAUGCUACUUCCGAAACUUCAAAACCAUAGUCAGCUCAAUACAAGUGCAUUCCAACAAGCAAGGACUGUCAUUUUGAAGUGCAAUGAAACUCAAAGAAUACUAGUUGAAAAUCUGACAUCAAAUUUGAGCCUAGCAUAAAAUGGCACUUUCUGUUAUAGUUAGGUACUGAAGUAGAAGUUUUCAUGAAUGUGGCCACCAUUCCAGGGCACAAGCUGUGCAAAACUAACAAAAAAUGAAAUCCUGACCUUUUCCAAUUCGACGUAUAGUAUUUUCAUGAGCCAAGAGGGUAGCACCAGUAUUGCACUUCUGAACCACAGAAAGACCUGAAAUGAAACAUGAUGACCGGUAAUCACUCCUUUUAUUCAUUACAGCAAACAAGAUCAAAUUCAGAAACAAAGUUCAACUGCAAAAGAUGAUUCUAAGUCGACUUUGAGGAAUUGUGAGUUCGUCAUUCACUAAGUUUUCUGAUUUAGUGAUGACUCCAAAGUCAAAAUGCAGAAAUAUCAUUUUAUCCUAUUAUCCACAUAGACAGGGUCUUUAAGCUGAAUCAAGAAUAGCAAAACAUAUGGAGCAGGUGCUGGAGCUGCAGUUUUCAGCUAACAAAAUGUUAAAAAAAGGUCCAAUAGAGAAGAAACUGAUUUUUUGUUUAACUUCCCUUGAUCAUGUUCAAAGAAGCAAAAUUAAACAAUGAAAACAGAAGACAUGCAGAUACAUGUGGUUUAUUUGCGCAAGUAAGACACUGACACAGAUAGAAGAUCUAAUCAUGAAAAGUAACACGUUACAAGGUCUCUAGGAGAAAAUGACAUCCAAGCACAUCAGAAAAUCAGAGACUUAGAGGAGGAAGAGCAGUAUAAUAAAGAUAUAUACAUUAAGCUGGACAAACCUAUUCAACUGCUUACCAUCGACAUGGUCAUGAUGGUGAUGGGUCACGAAGACAACCAACUUUUUUGGCAAAGCAGCAAUAAUUUCUUCAAGCUGAAGAUGCAAAGAUCAUUAUGAUGGAGAAUCAAAAAUGACAAACAAAUAAACAAGCAAGUUUCUAAAUAAUGGUUGAUCCAGUUCUAAUUAAGAGAAAAGACAAGUUUGGACUAAUCUCCAUUAUUAUUGAUGCUCUAUUACUCCAGUUCUAUUCGUCUUGUUCCAACAACUCCACUGGUCAAUUUUACUUUGCCCUGUAAUAGCUGACUCUGUCAUGUAGUAAUAAAAUCAACCAAGAAUUUCAUGAGUACAUUUCAGGUCCCUACUAAGUAAAAUUUGUCGCCAUCCUUGUGGGGAAAUAUAGAGGCCAAUGAAAUUAAAUGGGAAGUUUAAAAAAGAAAAACAUGACAUUUUUAAUGGGCUUUUAAUAUUUUACCUCCCUAUGUCCUUUGCAAGACAAGACUAUAAUUUCAUCAACCUCCCCCUCAUAUUUUUAAAGGCUUAAACCUAAAGACCUGCCAAUUCAGGACUGUUUGACUAUAUUACUUGGAUUACAAGCUCACAGGAGAAUCAUGUUAAUGAUAUAAUAAUUGAAGGUAUUUAGUUAGGUCCAAUUCUAAACAUUCUGAUUUUCCCUAGAAACAAAUUCAGGAACUGUUGCAUUUGCAUUGCUUCAGAUUAAGAUCAGCAGACCGUAGGACACUGAAUUUGGUAGAAAUUACUGUCAUAAUUCAAGAAGUUAAUUCUCGUUGCUUUGACAAAACAAGCAAAACGUGCUUAAUAACUAUAGGAAUGGUCCAUUAAGUUUACCUCUCUGUGAAAAGCAGAGCUGCAUCCAGGGUCUACAAUUAAUGCAUCACCACAAGCAAUAAAGCUAUUAUUACUAGAGCUGUCAGUUUUAUUUCCGGGCACAAAGAUAACCAAGUUCGUAGUUCGAAAUGGUUUCCCUGUCCUACUCCCCAUCGGUACAAGCUUCAGACCUGGAGGGUACUCCUAAAAAGCAUAGAGCAAGGUCAUAUAGUCACAAGCUAUACUGAUUAAGCAAAACAAGCAACUACACUUGUAAUCACAAAACAAACUUCACACCAACAUACUUGAAGUAGAUAUGAAAUUUUUUGCUAAAACUUCCAAUUUGAAAUAUUCAGAAGAAUCACUGUGCAGAAAUUUCAAGCAACCAGUAUUCCUAUAUUGAACUAGUCAUUAACAAUGAACUAGCGAAAAGAUAUUCAAAUUAAAUAAAAGACCUGACAAUGUGAGGUAGGAGGAACUUUCCAACUUUCAGAUGGUGCCAUGUCAUUUAGGAGGCCAAGAACAGCCAAUGGUCCCACACGAUCACUGUUGGGCUUCACUUCAAGAAGCAUUUCAAGGCAAUUCUCCAUUCUUAUCCACUUGCAAACCUCUGUGAACAGUUCAUAACUUGCAUUAUUUAUCUCUGCAAAGAUGCUUGAAUCUUUUUUGUUUUAUUUAUAAGAUGGAAUGUAUGCAAGGGAUCUGACACCAUACAAAUUGUGGAAUCAAGAAUUGUUGGACAACUGAAUGUAUACUCAUCAAAAGAAUACUAGUUUUUCUGAAGUAAUAGUACUGACAUCAUAGGACAGAACUUUGAGAUUUGGUAGCAAAAUACAAGCUAUAAAGAUGAAAAUCAACCUUAUCAGAUUGGCAAUAUCUCAAUGAUGAGAAUGCUAUUUGUUAUCAUUAGAUUGAAGAAAACUUUCAACAUACAUAGAGCAAAAUUUUACCUGACUGUUUCUGGUGAUAGAUUGAUGCUUACACAGUUGUCCCAUGUAGAACUAAUAUUACAAAAAUACUCUCAUUUACUCAUUCAAGAGAAAACUGAGAGAAGGGGAAUUAUACAGGGCAGACAAAUUACAAAAGUUACAGUUUCAUAUAAGGAAGUUUGCUUCCCUAUGAUUAACAUAUUCACAGCAUUUAGCCUGAACCAAUUAAUUCAUUGCUUUUAAGCCUGCAGGAAUUGAAUACAAGUUUUCUAAGGAAUUUUCGCUAGCAAACCUUUCAGCUUCCCGUCUUGAGACCCUAAAUUUCCAACAAUGUACACUGUCUUAAUAGGCAAACCAGGCCCAAAAUCAGGCUCCUCUAGACACUUCCAGAAUUCCCACUCUACCUCCCUGGCUGACCCAUAUCCUACUUGCUCCAAUGCCUACAUUUAAAACAAUAAUAAGCAUAAGAAGCUGCACAACCAGCAAAAAUGCAUAUCUAUUUAAGGCAAAAUUAUAGGAAAUAAUUUACAAUAAGCAACCCAACGAUUUCAAAGAAGGUAUGUAAAAACUACAAAACAAUGCCCACAUUUUGAAUUUCCUAUAGUCUAAUGUUUAGAUGACAGAAACAAAUUUUAAAAUUGGUCAAAAUUCAAACUUUGUACUUGGGAACUCCAAUACACGUAAACGCAUCAGCAAUACUCUAUUUCAGAGUCCAAUUCUAAUUCUCGGUUAUAAAAGAUGCAAGAAAUCUGAAAGCAUAAAAAAAUCUGCACUACUUUCCAUCCCCAAUCAUUUCCAGAACCGAACAAUCCAAGAAAAAGUAUGAAGUUGCAUAAAACAGUUUAACUAAAUAAUCCCAAAAAGUGUAGUUUAAUAAAGGAAAAGAUGAACUUCAGUUGAGGUGAGGUGAGAGAAAAUAUACCUGAUUGAGAGCUGAAUUAAAAUCAAAUUCGCUUAAAUUAAUCUUAUCUGAGGAAGAAAAUUCACGGGUUUUUAUGGAUAUUUUUGAAUGUAAUAGUUGAUCAGAUUCUGAUAGUGGAGUUAACUGAGUAGAAGGCAAGUCCCAGAGGUCAGUAUCAACAAAGGAAUCAUCCUCAGGGUCAUUGAAUUUUGGAGGUGGAGUUUGUUUUAUGAGGAGGAAUUCCUCCUUGUCCAAUGGGUUCUUGAUGAUAACUGCAAGUUUGUGAUUUGCUGCAGCCAUUGCCAAAACUGUUGGCAGCACAGAAUCACACAAAUCAGAGAACGUUAAAAGCUUUGUCUUGUACAAGUGGGAGUUGCAAUCUGUGGCAAGUGCAACUACCACUGCUCUACUAAUUUUGACGGCAAAAGAAUAAAACUCAAAUCAGGAUCGGCAGCUGCCCCUGCUGAUAAUACCUCCAACACGAGAUUAAACACGUUUGCCAAGCAGUAGUAAAUUUUAUUGGUACAAGUAUUUUGUUAAGUGUUAGAAGCUUUGGCUUGUACAAGUCGGAGCUGCUGCAUUCUGUGGCACCUACCACUGCUUAUAGUCGAGGGGAGAGGCAAAUGGCAAAAGAAUUGGCUUUGUACAAGUGGGAGCUGUAAUCUGGGCCGACUAAUUAGUUGAGUGGAGUCACGACUAAUUGAUGGCAACCUCAUUUUAGGAAUUCUAAUAGUUGUGUCUGUCCUUCAACAACGUCGUGUGACUGACAGGUUUGUGAGUAAUAGUACAAUGUAUUGGUACAAGUAUUUUGUAAGUGCACCUUAAGCAUCGGUUUGAGUAUUUUGUGAGUGGACCUUAAAAUCUCGCUGGAGUAUUCACAUGAUAUAUCUAUGGCAUCGCAUACAAUCUGUGCCAGGUGAUUUGCCGUAUGGAGCUUCUUUUUAGCAGUGGCUCUGACAAAUUCAACAAUGUUUGCGCAUAACAUUGUUAAUUAAUCAUGUUGAGCUUUUUCCUGUGUAUGUAACUAUAGUCCUUUCUAAGUUCUUUUUCACUUGAAGAUUUUUUAUUCCAAUUCUGUUUAUGGACUUUCUAACUUUAAAGAAAGUCCGGAGUAGAUGUUAAAACCCAAAAACAAUGUGUGUAGAAAUAAACACAAUUACUUUGCUCAAAUUUCAAUAAGGGACAAUAUCUGUUGUAAUCUUACUUCUUGUAUGAAUGUCUAUAUUUAUUAUGUUACAAUUACUACUGUCACUUAAGAGGAUCCCUUAAUCCAUGUAGCAUAGUGAUUUGCAAUGGCAGGCAAUUGAAAGUCUUCGAUGGACCCUUUUGUAGUUGUAUGUUCGAAUGCAGCAACUAUCAAAAUCUGGUCUAUUUAACUGAAAAUUUUCUAUGAUUUGUCUCAAUUAAAAACAAAUUUUGAAAAUCACAAUGGCCUUCAAUUCUCUAAAUUUGAUAGGAAAAGCUACAAGACGCGAUCUAGCAACAAUAGCUUCAUCUCUAUAGUGCAGCUUUUAGUGACUUGGUGAAGCUUUCUAACUCUUUCAAGCCUUCUUCAGGAGAUUUUGCCUCGCCUAGUAUUCUUACCAUGGCACUGCCAACAAUCACCCCGUCUGCUCCCCAUCCGGCCACCUGAAAUAAAUACAAGUUAAUGGCCAGCAACAAAUGUUCCAGUCCUAGAGAUUCAUGUUUCUUGGAAAGUUUUGUGUCAGAAGUCCCACCUGUUUGACGUGCUCAGGUUUUGAUAUUCCAAAACCAACUGCUACUGGCUUAUUUGUUGCCUGUAAAAAGAGUUUGCCGGCUUAGUAAAAGGUAUAAAUAGUUCAGCUAGUGUACUGAAUUUACAAUAAAUCAGAACUCAAUUUGGAGGACAAGAUUCAAUUGCAGAGCUGAAAUCACAUUCUGGCUUUCAGAUUGCAUAUUUCCUACACCCUUUUGGACCAAGCUGAUAUAGCUACAAGUUCAAACUUAAAUCUGAAAUUGUCAGAACCUUCUCAUACUCUGGAAUCUACUCUUAGACUUGUAGCGCAGCAACACAAUACAAAUAUCAAAUUCAAAACGUACCUUUUUAACAUCCGUUAGGAGAGAUUGCACGUGGUUGCUCACAGAUGCGCGAGCUCCAGUAACUCCAACUGAGCUCACCUAUAAUAGAGAAGAACCAAUAUCAAAUGCUUUCGCUGCAGAAAUAGUAAAAAAUUGCAUUUCAAGCAACACACAGACUCAGGCUGUAACCUUAAAUGCUUACGCUGGAUCCCUCCUGUCUUUCCAAUACUUCACCCAAAGAUGUAGGAAAAAUGAUAAUUGUAAGACAACACUUUUACAUUUCUUCUUACUUUCCAUUUCAUGAUGAUUCCCCCCAACUCCCAAACAGAAGUACGGUACCAUUAGGAAAUCAAUCCCCUCGGUUGAGACAAAGUUGCAGGUACUUAUUAUCAGAAUAAGAUAUUCAAGAAGAUCAAAAAGUUUAUUGCUCCACGUGUUAAAUUUAACAUCUUAUGCUAGUCUUCAUUCAGCGUAUUACAAUAUGUAUAUUUAUUUCUGAACUAAAGUUAAUAGCCACAAAACCUAAAAUACUAGUUUGCAAAUUCAGCAAAUUCUGACCAUAGGAUACCCUUCCAUUAUAGCUCCCCAAAAAUCAUUUGCAAGCUGGAUUUAACCUAGGAAUUGGCAAACUAGGGAAGGCAAUGCUAAGGUCUAUAUACAGUAGUAGUUCCUCUAUGGCAUGACUAUUUCUCUAUAUGAUAUUGUUAAGGAGAAUUUUUGGAGGAGGUACAUGGGUUUGAGUACCACAGCUAUGCUAAUGUCAAACUAAUAUGUGCCCGGUGAAGAAUAAUUUAAAAGAAGCAGUGACUACUCAGUGAAAGAAACUCAGAGUCAGAGAGAAACCUAAUGACAUGACUCUUUUCCAUUUUGCUUUUAUUCCCUUUUUCUUUUUCUUUUUUUUGGGGGUUGGGUGAGGGGUUGGAGGGUGGGGAGAGAGGAAUUAAGGAAGGUAUUGCAGUAUAAAGAAGAAUACUAUGAAAAUCUAAUUAGACAGGAGUUUAAUUAUCAGAUGAUAAAAUCGCCAAGACAACUGAAAGGAGAGAGGUUCUAAAAGAUAUGCAGUAUUUUCCAGGAUCUAAAACCUACUAAUAUUUCAGGAAGAUAUUAGAGAUCUUACAAGGUAGAGAAAUCCUUCUGAAGCUUUGGCAAUUGCCUUCAUUCGAGCUGUCGGAGUUGUGGGUGUUGUCAGCAACACCUUACAUAAGAAGAACAAAAACCAGAUGAAUAGUCAAUCAUAAUAAACUUCACUACAUAAAAUCAAUGAGUCUGCUAAUAAUUCAGUACAUAAACACUUUCAUCUGUUCUUCGGAAAACCACUCCAUAAAAGAGAAGUCAAUGAUUCAAAGCUGUGGAUUCAACAGUCAAGAAAUCCUAAAGAGUUAGAAAGCCAGAAUUAAACCGAUUCUAUCCCAGCAUAGAGACUGCAAGUAAACCGUCUCUAUACAUGAUUUACUCAACCAUAAGCCACACCGGAAACUAUUCCAAAAUUCUCAAAAACUAAAACUCUUUGACGUCUAAACCCACCAAUUCAAGAUUAUACUUAGUAGCUUCCUUUCUCAAUAUCUCAGUCUCCUCCAGAGGUACAUCCGGAACCACAAGUCCUGAAAGGAAAGAAAAAUAACAAGAAAAGUAUGAUUAUAAUGAGGUACAGUUAGCAGAAAAAGUAAUUCAAACAUUAAGGUAAAUCAUGCACAAACAACAAAACUGAACAAAAACUGCACAUUUGAACAGGCAACAGCACAUAGAACAGAGAAACCGUUCUAUUUACAACUGAAAAAAGCAACACUUUCAAGCACUACAGCUUUGAAGAAACUAUCUUUAUUAUGGUGCUUAUGGAUCCUAUAAUAGCAGGCAGAAGGAAGACCAAGGUUGGUUAUCUUUAGCUCACACAGUACACUUCAUUGAGCAUCCUGUACCGGUAGCAAAACAAUCCUUGGUACAAAAGCAAGAAGAAAAGAAUCGGGCUUGCUGUUAACUCUUGUGGCAGUCACCAGUGACAAUUGCUAAAAGGAAGACUCCAAUUGUAAGAAUCCAGAUCAAAGUCCUAAAGCAUUUGACACCAUAUAUGUGAAGAGGCGCUAUGCAUGAAUAAACUUCACUCCAAAAGCAACUAAGAUUUCAAUCUACACAUCACAACAAUGAUGUGCAGUUACAAUAUCAGCAACUAAAGCUACCAUGUCCAACACUUGUGCCUUUGGCUCCUAGACCGCUGAUAAAAAGAUUUCUGCCCAAACCUACCUAUAUAAUUUGAUACUUCCCUAGCCCUUCUUUCUUCUGCUUAAGAAAGUUGAGGGAUCUGAUGCGUGAUAUCUCAGCAAUGUGAAAAAGAUUUCAGCCUAUACCUACUUAUAUCAUUUCCAUAUUUUCCUAGCCUGACUUUCUUCUACUUAAACAAGAUGAGGGAUGUGUGAUCAGAUGAUGAAACACUCAUGACAACUAGCCAAAGAUAUUAACAGGAAUAGGGUAAGACAAAGACAGGAAUAGGAUUUCAGAAAAAAGUGACUAAGUGAAAGCAAUAUAUUAAGUUACAAACAGCACAAAAUAAAGAUCUUAAAGUAGCCGUUACAAUGUCAAGUGUACUACAAUUGGACUUCAUUUCAGCCAAUACUCUCAUUUCAAGCAAAUGACCUCAGACAAGUCAUGUUUUGAAUUAGAUUUAGCCUUUCUAUUUCUUAUAUUAUGGAUCAAAAUAUAAAAUGCUUUAAGGAAGACACGAAAUUUACUCCUCACCAUGUAUCCCAGCAUCUCUGACAGUGAUCAUGAACUUUUCAACACCACGCUUAAGUAUUGGAUUAUAAUAUGAGAAUAGUGCAAUUGGACAAGAUAACUGAGGUAUAACCUGCAGGGCAAUGAAAAAGCAAUGUUAGACUAGAGAAAGGACAUCUAAUCUCACAUAAAAAAUCCUACAUCAAAUUUGCCCUGACCCAAGAAAACUGCAAGGCCAUGAUAAUGCAAUACUGGAGAAUGAGAAUUAAAACUAAUCUGAUUACUCAACUAUGCUGACAACUUCCCCUGCUCCAGAAAGCUAAUAGAGAAUAGGAUAAGAGACUAUACAGAGAACGGAAAAUCAAUGAAGAAUGAGAAAGAAAAGACAGCAUAUUUUUAGAUACUGCCAAAGACAUCCACCAAAAUAAAACUAAACAUUUAUCAAUCAUGAUACACAAAGAAGAAUUUCUUCUGAUACUAAUGACAAGUUUCCAAACAUAUCCAAUUAAAGUUCAAUUUUUAGCUUAAACAAUUACAAUUGACAACAAAGUCAUUGGGCAUUUCUAAUACAGGGCUCGGAUAAAUCUGACAGCUCUUGGUUGAUUUUUAGUUAGAAUCCCGAGGUCACAAGGCAGUGCUUCAUCAACUUGCAAGCGUACAUGGAUAGAAAUUAGAUGUAAGGUGGUGGCAAAAAGACUUACAUCCUUCAACAUGGAGAUAAUCUUAUCAAAAUUUGUCCCUCUGGCUAGUGAACGUGUUGAAGCAGCCUUAGAAAAUGUACCAAGAACAGAUUUUAAUGUUGGUCAAAUCACAACAGGCAAAAGAUAACACAAAUGAUCAAUGUUUUCCUGAUUCUAUACCUGUAUAACUGGGCCAUCAGCCAAUGGAUCAGAAUAAGGUACCCCUAGCUCUAUUAUGUCAGAACCACAUGCAUCAAGCACUUUCAAUGCCUCAGCAGUAGUAGAAAGGUCAGGAUCGCCAGCGGUGAUAUAUGUUAUCAAAGCCACCUGCAAAAUUUAAGUAUGCUCGUUAAAAAAAAAUCAUGUUAAUAUUCAAAAGUCCCCCGGCUGUAUUCAGCCUCCAAUUAUCCUCCCACUAGUUCUAUUUUCAUUUGAAACUUCAUGAUUUUGAGCGCCUAAGCAUUGACAUGUACCGGGAAAGAACAUAUAAAAGCCCCCAAAUUUCCUAUCAGUCACAUCUCUAAGAAGACUGCACACCUAAAUUCGAGCUAAAUGUAGUAAAGGAAACAUUUUAACAAGGUACCAGGAAGAGAGAAUAGGACAACUCCAGAGACAGCUCAUUCGUUCAUUUUGCUUUAGGGGUUUUGAAGGGUUUAACAAAUUCAACCCCAGCAAUACACAAGAAAUAAGAAAACCCACAAUAACAAAAAUAAAACCACUCCACAAUUUGAACCCAACCAUCUAAACAAAGAACUCUCAUUAUUCCAGUUUCAAGAUUCAGAGGAAAAAAGUUGAUAACCGUUUACUUUUCCCCAACCAAGAAUAAAAAGUGCUAUAUAAAACUAGCAAGAUGUCACAAUAGAAGCACAAAAAUGAUCGUUCAAUGCAAGGGGGGCAAAGGGGAUGGUGUAAAAAUGCAUACUUUGCCUUGUUUUUUCAGUUUUGAGAAUGUUUCAGACAGCCCAACAGCUUGGUCGGUGAUGAUGGUCGCCAUAGGAGGCUUGAAUAAUCUGCCAACAGUAUUCCUUGCUGAAAGGCCGAUCCUCCGUGGAAGAAGAAGGGAAGAAUGGCCGUUAGAUUUCUGUUUCAGCUGGAGAAAACAGCUAGCUUUGAGGGCAGCAGCAGCGGCCAUUAGAGAGGUGCCCGCGCUUUCAAAUCGUUUGCUUCAGGGGCAUGAACCGAAUCCGGUGCAGGCCGUCGGUAAAACCACGUGUAAAAUGAACUAGGGGUUUUACCGUUUUAGCCAUUAUCGGUCUCCUGCCCAACCACCCCUAUAUCAUGUAUGCGUGUAUCUAAUCUAAGGCAUUAAUGGGCAGCGGCUGUCGACAUGUUGAUUUAUAGUACGGGCCAUGUGAAAUGGUACUAAAACGAAAAAAACGGAUCGACAACCACUGCCCAUUAAUUUGAUGGCAAAAACGGAAAAAAGCAAAUGAAUAAAAAGUUAAAAACACCUUAAUCACGUUUAGAUUCAAGUCAUAUGUGAAACCUCAUUCAGUCAUUUGAUAUAAUAACUAUUUAUUUUUUAUACAACAGCGUUAUUUUUUUAGCAAAACAAAAUCUAGAUGAAAUUUAGGCUACUUUUUCUUUAACAAGUAUCUCAAAAAUAUUAACAAUAUCUCAAAUCUAUUAACAAUACUAGGGGAAAAAACCCGCGCCAUGCGCGGGAGUUUAAUACCCAUAAUUAAAGAUAGUUAAUAAUAAUUAUUUAGUAUUUUGUAGUAUAAUAAUUAAAGUAUGACAAUUUUAUUCUGUGCUAUUAAACAGAAAAAUCAUAAAUUACAUAUUGAGUAAAAAUGUAUAAUAUGCAAUGAAAUAUAAUUAUAAAACACGAUUAACCACUUUGCGUCUAAUCUAAUAGAAUAAAAGAUUUACUUAUGUCUGCUCAUGCAUUUUAGAGAUAUUAAAAUUUGUUAUUUAAUUUAAAUUUGAUUUUGAUACGAGGGCAAUCCACCUCAUUAUCUUGUCAUAUGAGUGAGAUUUGAACAAUUGGCAUACUUGAAGAAAUCAUUGCUAGUGGAAUUUCAGUUCUUGCAAGCCAAUUUCUUUGAUUUAUAUUGAUUCCAAUGACAUAUUAUCAUGAAACAUCCACAUUGACCAAUCAAUCAAUUAUGAUUUAUUGUAUGAUUUAGAACAUAUAGCAAAGCAUCUUCUUCUUGGUAGGGGUUACAAUCAGAAAACAUCAGUUUUUGACCUAGUUGCAAAUAUAUACAAUAACUAACAUGCUAAUUUAGAUGAAUAAUUACCUCAAAAAGUACUAAAAUAUUUUAAUCCACUCAAUUCAAGAAAACAAUUAAAAGUAAUGAACUACAUACUUUAGAUUUGCAGCCAAAUAGUUUUAAGUAGAUAGUUAAACAUAUUGGCAAAUCAAAUGAAGUGAAAAUUUGCCUAAAAUUUGUUAUUUAAUUUAAAUUUGAUUUUGAUACGAGGGCAAUCCACCUCAUUAUCUUGUCAUAUGAGUGAGAUUUGAACAAUUGGCAUACUUGAAGAAAUCAUUGCUAGUGGAAUUUCAGUUCUUGCAAGCCAAUUUCUUUGAUUUAUAUUGAUUCCAAUGACAUAUUAUCAUGAAACAUCCACAUUGACCAAUCAAUCAAUUAUGAUUUAUUGUAUGAUUUAGAACAUAUAGCAAAGCAUCUUCUUCUUGGUAGGGGUUACAAUCAGAAAACAUCAGUUUUUGACCUAGUUGCAAAUAUAUACAAUAACUAACAUGCUAAUUUAGAUGAAUAAUUACCUCAAAAAGUACUAAAAUAUUUUAAUCCACUCAAUUCAAGAAAACAAUUAAAAGUAAUGAACUACAUACUUUAGAUUUGCAGCCAAAUAGUUUUAAGUAGAUAGUUAAACAUAUUGGCAAAUCAAAUGAAGUGAAAAUUUGCCUAAAUAGAAUCAUCAAUAAAGUAGCAAACAAUUUGAAAAUUACCGUAACUAAUAGUUAAAACAACAAAAGAGUUAGAUGCAAUUUAUAAAUGAAAAAAUUUAUGAUGAUAAACUUAUUCUAAACCACAAAUAACAAAUAACAAAUGUGAUCUCCUCCCAGUCAAACCUAUCUAACAUGAGCAAUUGAAUUAAAACACAAAAAAAAGUAUUGCACGUACAACUUGCAAGAUUACAGAUUUCUUACAACAAAAAAAGUAGACUAGUUAAAUAAAACAUACCUAUUGAAAAAGAUGUUACAAAAUGGGAAAUUGGGAAUAACUAAUAUAGCAACAUCUGAAUUCAAUAGACUACAUGAUUGUAGUGGAAUAAAGUUAUAAGUAAAUGAAAUGAAUUUGAAUAGACGGGGGUUACUAUAGUAACGGCCAAGAAACCAAACUUCUCUACUAAUCAGUAUUAAUUGUGUCUUAACAUCUAUAUAUCACAAAUUUGCAAAUAACUAAUAAAAAUGGCUUUAAGAAAUUAAUAGACUUGGAUGUUAAUCCAAUUAAAUUAUUAAGGAUUUUUAUGUAAUUCCACUAAAAUACAACCUGAAUUUAAUUGUACCCAAUGUUUAAUCAGAUAUCGAAUACUACCACAUGUUAAACUUACUCAUAGCUUUAAAUGUCUGUGUCAGACAUUUAAGUAAUUAUAAAAAAAUCAAAUUAAUUAUAAUGAUUCAUAUUCAAUACUCCAAUCGCACUUCAAAUACUCUCAUAUUUCUAAAAUAACCCGACCCUUGCAGUUGAAAUCUUUGCCCUUAACUCAUUCUUAUAUAAUAUAAGGAUCUCUUUAAAAUACUAACAAUAUCUAAAAAAUAUCUCAAAAAUAGUAUCUCAAAUCUAAAUGAAAUUUAUUUGGUAGGAGGGUUGGAUUGAGCACUUCAAGGGCGGGAAUAAAACUAAAAAGUUACUAUUUGAAUAUUCUCAUUUACACUAAAAAAAAAUUAGAAUAAAAAAGAGCACUGAUAUCUUGGUAUCAUGUCUAUUACAAUAAUUCAAUAAACGAUCAACAAAUACUCACAAUUGUAAAUGCAGAACGGAUCAACCUAACGGCCGAACCCAACAAAAACCUAAUGGCCAGACCAAGGCGCAGGCUGGCCCGAACUAAGGCAAUAGCUACCCUGCAAACCACAGGCUGGCCCAUGCAAAGUGUGAUAUUCCCCAGAGCCAGAGGUCCUUUUGCGGCCGAUGCUAUUUGAGACCGGCCCAUUGUCUGUGAUGAGGUUUUUAAAACCAUUAGCCGAAUUAAUGGAAGGGGAGGUAAAACUUAAAAGAGGGGUCUUAUCUUGGUAAAAAAAAAAAAAAAAUGCAGAAAACUGUGUCAUUUUUAUUUUUUAUACACAAGAGACUAAUAGUGUGAAAGAACAAAAAUUUGCUGUUUGCUACUGAAUUAUUUAGGUGAAAUAUGCAAGUAGAAAACAGAUAACACAACGAUUAGUUUGUUUAGUUACAUACCAAAUCAAAAGGUAAUUUAUAUGGGAAUUGUCCAUUAACUUUUGUUUUGUUGUGUCCAUAAACUAUUUUAGUGGCUUUCGAGUUAUUAAGGACAUUGUAUUACAAUUGUGGCCUGCAAAUGUCGACUAAAACAUGAACUAGCACAACAAGCAUAUAUACAACUAUUUUUUUUUUUUUAAAGUUAUUGUUUUCACCUAUACUUAAGAUCAUGGUAGAGAAAAAAAAGGGAACUUUAGAGGGCAAUUUAAAAACUAACUUUAGAGGGCAAAUUUUUUUUAUAUAUAACAUUAAGUGACAUGAAUUAUUUACACCAAAAAAAAAAAGCUCUCCCAUUAUAUGUAAUAUAGAUUAUUUAUAUUUGAUAGGGGAAAAAAAAUUAUAGCUCUCUCUCAUGAUUCUUAUCUUCCAACCCUAGUGCUGAAUAUACAACGAAUAGAAGCCCCUAAUUUUGGGACCUAAGAGAACUUGGCUUGUUUUGCCAAUGUAUAACCUAGCCUCUUUGUUAAUCUUGAUCCUACCAGGAGAAUAGAAUUAUUAUCCUUUAAUAAGUCCUCCAACCAAGCCCCAAGUCUGACAAAUUCUUCUCAACUUUCAACAUCUUCAUCCUAUUUAACACCAUCACCUUGAAUGAUGCAAGUGUUGAAAUCUAGAUGCACACUAUAAAGCACUACUUCAACUGCCACCCCCAACUCCAACACAACCACUCCAGCCUCAGGAGGAACAAAAAUCCAAUGGUCACCCUUAUUUGUGCAUCCAAUAACAUUUGAAUUGCGUCAAAUUUGGGGCCCCUAUUAUCCUUAAUUUACCACUAAAUCAGCAGCGUAUUUUGAUUACACGUUAUUUUCACCUUAUUUACACACACUACUGACUUGUUUGUAUUAAUAGUAUAUUUUUUAAUCACUUUUUUGUCUCAUAUACAUCACAUAAAAAAAAUGCUACAUAAUUUUUUUCACAAAAUUAUCUCAAAUAAUUUAUUAGCUAUUUGAAAAGGGUUCUAUUUAUUUUUUCUUUCUUUGCUUAGGAAUAAUAAGGCAGUUGAGCUCCCAACCUCGUCCAAUAUUUGCAUUAUCUUACUUCUAAACCACCAGAAGUUCAAGUUGAAGUUUCAUUCCAACUUCAAGCAUACCAUAAAAAAAAAUAAAAAAGGGUUUCAUUCCAUUGAGAACAAAAUAUUACGCAUAGCAAGGAAACUUGUGUAAUGAGCUCGAUCUUGACUGAUUAAAUAUUUAAGUUAUAGAACUUUAAUUGAAUGAACUCGACUGAGGUUUGAUUAGUUUACAAUUCUAAACGUACAAGUUGAAUAUGACUUUUGUCCCUUUUGUUCCUUCCAUCUUUUCCUUUCCAUAUUGCCUUUUUUUUUUGUGUGUGUUUAACUAUUUCGUUUAGCACAAUGACAUGAAUAUCUCCGCUUGGACUGCAAAAUCUGUGGCAGAGUUUUCUAAAGAAAUGUUUGUAUAUAGUGGAAAGACUGCAUGUCCGAUAAAAGGUUUAAAAUACCAUUGUGAAAAGGCAAAAACAUAUCAUUAAAAAAGAAAAAGACCCAACUGUUGUGGGCAAAAAUUCAAUACCUAACUCGGCCUCAAUUCCAUUAAUUGUUGACUCCAUCGCGGGCCCAUUUAUGCAUUGCAUGGCUGAGUAAUCCACCACCGACGCAAAGGUCGCCAUCUCUAACCAGUCAAACUUUCUUUUUCUUUCCUCUAAUUUUUUGCACCACUAGCCAUAAAAGACAUUUGGAUCGAGUCAUAAGUUCCGUCACGAAUCAUAUCACAGAUGCAAUUUUCUAUUUCGCAUUGUCCAUGCCACAAGGGCACUUGCAUGUAAGCUCAUAUAAUCUUUAACUAUGUGAUUUUUGGAUGACUUUGAAGUGUUUGAUCCAAUUCUUGUUGCUUUUAUAGAAAGUUCUCAUGGCAAUUUUGUGAAAAUUAGCUAUAAUGUGAAUAAUUUUCAAAGUAUUCAUUUGUGGGAUUUAUGAUAUCAAGAGGUUUAAUCUAUUACCAUAAGCAUUUGAAGAGUGUAGAGUAUAGCCAAUGCAUGCGUGCAUGGCUAUUACAUUUUCUUUUUUCCCAUUUUUUUUUAUUUUUCCUCUUUCAGUUUAUAAGAAAAGGUUAGCUGUAGGGAUCGAAUUAUGUGUUUAGAUGAAAAUUAUUUAGAAAUUUUCUUUUGAAAUAAUUAUAGACUUUCUACAAUAUACUGUAUUGUUGUAUGUGAAAUAAAAGAUAAUUUAUACAGUUGUAAUUUGGAUACAAUAUAAAAUAAUUUUUCAAAUAAUUAUCAACUCAAAUAAAAUAUAAAAAAUAAUCAAAAUACUAUAUUUAUAUAUGAUCAAAAUAUUGUAGAAGUACUAGUAGAAUUAUAAAAAUGACUUAGAUAUAGUAAUAGACACUGGUGUGUGGGCGUGUGCCUCAUCCAAUUUCAUACAAAAAAUCAAUUUGUAAAUAUGCUUUCCCACACCAUCCUCCAAUAAGACUCUUAGGUCACCAAUUUCUCCAGUCUCACACAGCUCACGUCACUGCGUCUUCCAUCUUUCACCCUUCUUCACCCUUUUGCCAUAUACCUGACUUCAUUCUCGCACGUGCCUCCUCACACCCUCACGUGCCAUAAGCAGCCAACAGCGACUUGAGUCUGGACCCCCACCACCAAAUCCCUUCUGACGUGGACCAUUAUAGCCACGUCACCAACCGAAACCAAAGCUCCCGGCCACGUGGCCAACCAUUUAUUGCCCCCUCUUUAUCCUUCCAACAACAUCUUCCCUUUUCCAUUUCCAUUUCUUUUUCCCUUCUUUAUCUCCAAUCUACUUUUCUCGGAUUCUUCUUUUACCAGACAGGGGUACAUUUAUGAAAUCUGAAUCUGAAAUCACAACUAAAAUUUAAACUUUUCGGUGGUAAAAUUGAGAAUUUUGGGUAUAAAUAAAUAAAUAUUUUAGAAAUGGCGAUGCCUUUAACUACGGCGGCGGGGGUCCAAAACGGCGGCGUUGGGGUAAUGUCCGGACCGGCAAUCGGGCAGCAGAUGGAAAUGGAUCAGAAUGGGACAGUGAAUAGAUUGAAAAGCUCGUCGCCAAUUCGGAUUUUCUUGUUUUUCCAUAAGGCAAUUCGGGCCGAGCUGGACGGGCUUCACAGGGCGGCCAUGAGCUUUGCUACGAAUUCUAAUGGCAGCAGUUGCAAUUGUAAUUCUGAUAUCAAGCCUUUGCUGCAACGGUAUCGUUUUUUCAGGUCAAUAUAUAAACAUCACUGCAAUGCUGAGGAUGAGGUUAGUUGGCGAAUUAAUUAUGUAUUUUUAGUUAAAUACUGGAUUAUCAAGCUUAAUUUAUGUGUGUUUAUGUAUUUAUGCUUGAAUUCGGUGUUUUUCGGAGUUAUAAAUGCUGAAAUUUAGAUUUGGAUUGCUUUUUAUUUGACAUGAUUAUUUGGUUCCAUAGGAUAAUUUAAGCUUGUCUUAUUGAAAUUAAUGAGUAUUAUUUGUUCUUCUGUUUUGGAAGUAGAACAUUUGAAUGGGCUGAAAAGGUGAAAUGACGGAUUUAACAUAGAACAAAAAAAAGAUAAUAAAGAUGGGAUCUUGUGAUGUUCACAUUGGCGGAAACCAAAGUAAAUGGACAAAGAUGAUUUUUUUCCCUCACCAAAAACAUUGUGAAAAAGGUUUUACUAACUAAUAUCUGUUCAAUCUCGAUGAUUUUGAUUAUUGUGGUGUCUUUCUACUUGUUUACACGUUCACAAGCGUCUAAAUGUAUAUGUAUGGCCAUGAUGAUGAAAAAGAUUUUGUUACAUCUGACAAAUUAUAAGUUUUUGGGGCAUUUUGGUUUGGCUCAGUAACUUUGUUGUUUCUUUAUAAUUAUUGUGAUAUAAUUUUUGUUUUCACCACCCUAAUUAGUGUUUGCAGGGAACAUAAUAUUUGGAUUACAUAGAUAGUUGUCUUGGUAGAUGUUUUCAAGUUUACUAGACUAGUCUGAAGGUUUAUUUCAUGUUGUUGUUAUAUGAAGAAAAAACUAGUUUUGAUGGUGUAAGCUACAGUAUCUUGGUUGGAUUUUGAAUUUUCUAUUUGAGCAUUAACUUGGAACCUCUGCAUGAUCGGUCAUUUUAGUUCCUUUUUAAAUGCGGGAACAUGUGGGUGUUAAAAGCUGAAACAAAAGAUAGUCACUAUCCAUCAUGCCUUAUUGAUAGUGGAAGCAUUUAAUGGAAGGAAUAAGCUCUUAAAGAGAAUGUUUCAGGCACUGAGGAAUUUGUCUAUUCCAUGAAGUCAUUCUAUUCAGAAAUUCCUAAAAGCCAUUAUAAUGUCUUAAUCAGUAAAACCUUAAUGCUUAAAAGCCUCAGUCAUAUGGUUUUUAUCCUCAACUAAGACAAUAUCCUUAAAACUCUUUGAGUGCUAAUAUUGUAUCUUAUUUGUAUGCUCAUCGAUAUUGGCAGCACCAUAGUUUUCGGAUUGCGUUUCCUCUAUCAAGAAGACUUCUAUCACUUGCAUUAGUGGUUGCCUUCUCAGCUGCUGGUUUUCUAUGCCAAAUCGAAAGUUUUGCUUGUGACGUAGCUUGUGUCUAACCUUGGAUACCCCCUGCAAUUGCAGCUAUUUGGUCACUUCUGAACUGUUUCUAAUAACAAUACCCACUUCAGUGGCUCUUUAGUUGACCAAAAUAUUCAGUAUUAGGACAUACAGAGCUUCAUCCCUGGACCAAAUGUUGGCUGAAACUUUACUGCAAGAGCAGCGACAUACAGAGAACAAUUUGGAAGUUAAGGCAGUCAUCAUCUUAUGUUUUGACAUAGUAAAACAUUUGAUCUUUGUGUGAUUGAAUCUAAAACUACUGUGAACCUAUAAAUUUGAUGGGCUCAUUUCAUGCCUGCACCAAAUGUUGACUGGUUGAACUUUACUAUAAGCUGAGAGAUAUGCAGAAAACAAGUUAAUCUUUUGGAAGUUUAGACAUUCAUCUUCUGUUUUGACGUAGUAAAACAUUUGAGUUAUGUGAAAUUAUAUCUAAAACUACUGUCAAUCUAAUCAUUUGAUGGAAUCAUUUCUAUGCUUCUCACUAGAAGACUCUUGGAAUUAGUAGUCUGCUACUGCCACCAUGUUUCUGGAAACUGGAGAGUUCAUUUGUCACCAGAUGAGGAUAAGUUUCGUAGCUUCUAAUUUCCUGUGCAAGAAUAUCUCAUCCUUUCUUCAUAUAUUUGGCUGAAUGGAAUUCUAUGUUGUCUUGAAAUCCUCAAUGCCCCAUGAGUGCCUUUUUUAAGUUGGAAGUGGGAGAUGUUUUUGAGCAAGUUGGUUGCAUUGUGAUUCAACUUGGUUUCAACACAUAGAUAUAAUAUAAUGCUGCCGCAAGGGGUAUUAUCUUAAUUACGGCUCAUUAUAAUUUCUCUUCACGUGCUUGAUGAAAUUUCUCUCUUAUAUAUGGAUCUAUUAUGCCAGUUCUCUCCUCAUCUAGCUGAUUACAUUGUUCAUGUUUUCAGUUAUGACCUUUUGAGCAAUAGGUUAAUUUAUUGAAUCCUAAGUGAGGUUUGCAACUUCUUGUCAUGUUGUAUUUUUGGAUAUAUCAGGUAAUCUUUCCUGCGCUUGAUAUCCGUGUAAAAAAUGUGGCACGAACUUAUUCUCUUGAGCAUGAAGGAGAAAGUGUGCUUUUUGAUCAGCUGUUUGCACUACUGGAUUCUGAUAAGCAAAAUAAUGAAAGCUACAAAAGAGAGUUGGCCUCUUGCACAGGGGCCCUUCGAACCUCAAUCAGCCAGCACAUGUCCAAGGAAGAGGAACAGGUAUCUUUUUUAUGCAGUAAAUGAAAAAAAAAAAAACUUCUGCAUCUGUUAUUGGAUAGGUGUACAACAGUAUGACAUUUGGCUCCAAGAGAAUUAAAUCUUUGUUUUAGCUACAAUGAUUUCAAAGACUUAUAAUUUUUGUCAUGUAACAAAAAUUGCUUAGUAUUGGGUUGUAUAGGAGUUUUGCCAAGGAUAAGCAGGUUUCACAGUAUUCGGACCAAGUUUUGGCUUAGAUGGGAUGGUAUCAUGUGCCAGCAGCCACAAACAUCGUGCUAGCUUUGGUAUCUUUUGAUGGAACAAAGAAUCCAUUUAAAGACUUGAUGUAGUUAGAGAGCAAAGAAAAACAUGCAUGAGAUGUUUUGUGGCACCUGUGGUGACAUAGUUCUUUUGGAUUCUUCUUUCUAUCAGACUCUGUAGCUCCAUGGCUGUUUCCCGAUAAACAUUUAUGCAUUUGGAAGAAAAGAAGGUUUUGACUUUCUUGUAAAUAUGCUCCAUUUCUUGGAAUGUUGGUACAAAAGAGAUAUAUGCUGUUAGCUGAUAUUUGUAGAACUCUUUGUGCAAAUUAUAUUCAGGAGUCUUGUACUGGUUCUCUUCUGACAUAACGUUAUUUCAUACUUGUUCUUUUCUCAUGUGUUUGUCUUCGUACGUUUACCAUGUGACAGAUCACCUUCUCCCUAGUAUUACUUGAUCAAUAUUGCUUCUAAAAUCAAGAUGUAUACUCCAUACAACAUAUAUUUACAUUUCUCUAAUGGAAAUGCAAUGUUAGCAUGUUGGGUCAAGGCUGCAUAGUCUUGCCUUUCCAAGACCAUGGAAUGAUGAGAGCCUUUUGUAUGAUUAUUUUGUCUUCAUGUGAAGUAAGCAACACUUGUCUUGUGUUCAUGCUACUUAAUUGUCCGGUGUCUUAGGUUUAUGUGAUUGGGAAAUAUUGUCCAAUUAAUUGAGAUCUCCCUUUGUUUGCUCAGGUCUUUCCAUUGCUCAUUGAGAAAUUCUCGUUUGAGGAGCAGGCUUCAUUGGCAUGGCAAUUUUUAUGCAGCAUUCCUGUUAAUAUGAUGGCAGAAUUCCUUCCAUGGCUUUCUUCCUCCAUUUCAUCUGAUGAGCGUCAAGACAUGCGUAAAUGCUUGUACAGAAUAAUCCCUGAGGAAAAACUUCUUCAACAGGUGAGUGGAUUUUCUUAGAGACAGAGAAAAAUCUUUCAUCAUAUUGUAUCAUUGCUGACUUAAAAUCCUUUUGAUGAAGGUAAUAUUCACCUGGAUGGAUGGCAUGAAGAUUAACAAGAAGCGUAGAAGUUGUGAGGAUGAUAUAGCUAGCAACUUAAUUAGACCAAGUGAGAAUAGGCCUUGCCCUUGUAAAUCUUCUACUGCAGAAAAACGAAAAUUUUUCCCAUCAACCUCCAGUGGUCUAAGUCACCCUAUAGAUGAGAUAUUGCACUGGCAUAAGGCUAUUCUAAAGGAAAUAAAUGACAUUGCUGAAGCAGCUAGAAUGAUCAAAUCUUCUGGAGAUUUUUCUGAUUUGUCUGCCUUUAGAGAGAGGCUACAAUUUAUUGCUGAAGUUUGCAUCUUCCACAGGUAAAUUAAUGUUUGCUUCUCACCUCUGUGAUUCUAUCUUGAAAAUAAUUAGUAUUGUAUAACCAUAUUAUUGCUAUUUUUCACUUGAUUUGCAGCUUCUGGUGUUAGAUUUACUCCAAGGGAGUAAUUUUGGGAAUUGCUAUAUGAGCAUAUAGUUUUCAUAAUUUUAAGAACUAUGAUCUAAUGUUAGUUAUUGUAGAAACACUUCAUUUCAGAUAAUGGAGAUGUCUGAGAAUAUUUAAUUUAUCCUUCCAUCUUCUAAAUGAUAAUGUGAAAAUAAAAUUUGUGAUUGACAAGCUUCCGUUCAACCUUUGACUGCAGCAUUGCUGAGGACAAAGUUAUAUUCCCUGCUGUAGAUGCAGGAUUAUCUUUUGCUCAAGAGCACGCCGAAGAAGAAAGUCAAUUUGAAAAGUUCAGAUGUUUAAUGGAAAGUAUUGAACGUGCAGGAGCAAACUCCUCUUCUGCUGAAUUUUGUUCAAAAUUAUGUUCACAUGCUGAUCAUAUAAUGGAUACCUUAAAGAAGCACUUCCAGAAUGAGGAAAUUCAGGUGAGCUCUGGCCUAAGAUUCAAAAAUUUUCUCUUAGUUCUUGUUGACCUAAGGCCUGGGGCUGAAAGGCUGUUAACUUCUUUGUCUCCUAUAUGGACGUCAGAUUUGCAUUUUCCUCCUGAAGUUGAAAGUAUGUUAGCCUAUUAAGACUUUUUUGAGGUUUAAAUUAAAUGUAUUGCCAUCCCAGGUUCUUCCACUUGCAAGAAGGCAUUUCAGCUAUGAACUGCAGCGGAAGCUUCAGUAUCAGAGCUUGUGUGUGAUGCCUCUGAGGCUGAUUGAAUGCGUAUUGCCAUGGUUGGUAGGAUCACUAGAUGAAGAGGUAGCGAGAAAUUUUCUAAAGAACAUGCAUAUGGCAGGUCCUCUAUAAAUUUCCUACUCCUUGAGAUCUGUCUUUUCCUUGUGGAAUGUAUGCUCAAACAUAAUUGUUGACUGUUUCUGACUUGUUUAUCUGACAGCUCCAGCAUCAGACUCUGUAUUAGUUACACUUUUCUCUGGUUGGGCAUGCAAAGGUCGUCCAAGGAGCAUUUGUUUGUCCUCAGGUGGAAAUGGUUGUUGCGCUUCAAAAAUGCUGACAGAAUCACGAGAGAGCUUUGACGGAUAUUCUUGUGCCUGUUCCUAUUCAAGCAAGACAGGCCAAAGUAUUUUGAUUGGUGAGGCAGUUGAUGAUGAAAUUCCAGUAGAGUCUGGAGACUCCGUAAUACUGGAAGAAAGUACAAGUCUUGUUCCUGUGAGAUCUAUAGAGCUCCAGAAAGCAAAUGUUAGUAAUCAAUCCUGUUGUGUUCCUGGGUUAGGAGUGAACAACAAUAAUCUGGGAACAAGUUCUCUUGCUGCAGGAAAAUCUUUGCGAUCCUUAUCUUUUGGUCCUAGUGCUCCUUCACUUAAUUCCUGUCUCUUCAACUGGGAAACAGACAUCAGCUCAAAUGAUUGUGGUUCUGCAACUAGACCCAUAGAUAACAUAUUUAAGUUUCACAAGGCCAUUCGGAAGGAUUUAGAGUUUCUGGACAUUGAAUCUGGGAAACUUGGUGAUUGUGAUGAGAUUUUCAUUAGGCAGUUUAGUGGCAGAUUUCGUCUUUUGUGGGGCUUAUAUCGAGCUCACAGUAAUGCUGAGGACGACAUUGUCUUCCCGGCUUUAGAAUCGAAAGAAACUCUACACAAUGUUAGUCACUCCUAUACGUUGGACCAUAAGCAGGAAGAAAAGCUAUUUGAAGACAUUUCAUCUGCUCUCUCUGAGCUUUCUCAACUUUGUGAAAGUUUGAAGAGCAAAAGUAUGACAGGAGAUCAAAGUUCAGGAGAUGAUGACUCUUGCAGUACAACUAAUAGCCUGAGAAAAUAUAGUGAACUGGCUACAAAAGUACAGGGCAUGUGUAAGUCCAUCAGAGUAACAUUGGAUCAUCAUGUCAUGCGUGAAGAACUUGAGCUGUGGCCAUUAUUUGAGAUGCAUUUUUCAGUUGAGGAGCAAGACAAACUUGUUGGUCGCAUAAUUGGUACCACAGGAGCAGAGGUGCUUCAAUCCAUGUUACCAUGGGUAACAUCUGCUCUUACUCAGGAAGAGCAAAAUACCAUGAUGGAUACUUGGAAGCAAGCAACCAAGAACACGAUGUUCAGUGAGUGGCUAAAUGAAUGGUGGGAAGGUUCAGCUGCAUCAUCAGAGGCAUCAACAUCAGACAAUAGUAUUUCACAAGGUCUUUUUAAUCUUUAGUUCACACCAGAA